rnacentral:lncRNA from 1 species
CAACUGCAGAGGCAGCAGCAAUAGCAUGUAGUAAGUAGCAAAGGGAUGCAAAUCUCUAGCUUCAUAACAUCAUAUUGAAGUCAAACUCUGUAAUUUAGCUUGAAAAGGUAGCACAUAAUUAAUUUGAGGGAAAAAAAUUACAUUGAAAACCCAAUAUUUCUCUGAAAACCCAAUAUUUCUCUGAAAACCCUUUCUACUGGUGACAGAGACACUUGAAACAUCCAUAAUCUGCAGGUUCAAAAAUGUCACAUCAAGUUAAGGUUGAAUUUUCAUGAAAGUUCCAGAAAAUGUGCAAAAUACUGUCGUAAUUCUAAAAUGCAUAAUGAACAUAGGAAAAAAUAGAACCUUUUAUGGGAGAGGGGACCUUGCUUUCACAUUCCAACUGCUCUUAGGGAUCCUAAGAAAAGCACCAACUGAAACCUAGAUCAAGAUAAUGCACAGGUUAUAAGCAAAAGCAAUUUCGCACACAAGUGGUUCAGAUAAAUAUUUUGGGAAGGUGCAUGCAAAUUAGAAAUCAACUACUAUCUAAAAAGAAAAUUAGGUAAUAAUAAAACAAAACACCACAAUAUUUCCAUACUUUACAUUACUUUAAGAGCCAAAACGAAAUUUAAAAAAAAAAUUAAAAAAAAAGUAGGGAAAUUUCUGAAAAGAAAAACAAAAUUAUCUCUCAAUCAGAGGAGAAAAAUACAAUAGUGAGUUGAGAAAAAUGAAAGGAGAAAAUAGAAUGAUGAGAGAGUGGUCGGAAACAAAAUGUGAAAGAAAAGCAUGAAGGAAAAUUUGAAAGAUUCAAAGUUGAAAGCAUUUCGUAUUCUUUUUUUUUUUUUUCUAAAUUACCAAGAUUUAAAAGUGAUGACAAAUUGAAUCUCAGUAUGACUUACCAAAGCUUUGGAACUGAAUUGCCUGGACUUUAAAUAAUAUCAUAAAUUUGCGAACUUGCACCUCCUCAAAAGAAACGAAACUAUUUCAGUUUUUUAGGCUCUGGUUCUUCAUCUUCAUCAGAGCUAAAACGUCUUUUGUGCCUAGGUCUCAUUGUAGUCGUAGGAUCAUCAAGGCCUUCCUCAUCAUUAGCUCUGUAAUUUGUGCUGGACACAACCUCUUUGUCAUUGGAUCUGCAGCAUCCUCAUAUAAUACAUUGACACCACAUUUUUUCACUUUGAUAUGCUCAAUAUUGGAAUCAAAAUCCUGAGCUCUAACGGAGAAUUCAAUGGAGGCCUCAUCAAAAUGCUUGUUUAUGGAUUCAUUGAUUUCACUUCCAAAACCUUUACAAAAAAGGAUCACAUGAUUCGAAUCAAAGCUUGGAGAGAAAGCGAUAGUCCAAUGCCGAUCAUGAGUAAAUUCGAGAGGAUCACAGUCACGGUGCUCGGUUGUUAAUAGACAUUUGCAAUCAACAUAGUAUUGACUGAAUUUAUGAGGGCGCUUAAAAUUAACCACAAUGCAUAGAAGAAAGCCCAAAAAUCUUUUGCUAGAACAAGCUGGACCCAACUUGACAGUUAUUGAAGAAUUUUUACUCCGAUUCUUGAAUGUCUUUGGAAUUUUACUUCCAGGGAAACAAGAACUGAACCACUUACAAUAAGCAAGAUCAGCAACUUCAGAAGAUUCCAUCGCAAACCGACAUUGAGCUUUAAGCUGUGCGUUAGCCACAAUGUUGUUGACUGCAUCCCCGUCUAGAUUGAAGCAAUUAUUGAAUACAAAGCAAUUGGCUUGAAAUUGACAAUACAAUGCAAAUAUCCGAGCUUUCAUAGAGUGCGCAUGUUCCCACUGGGGAACUCUCUUUAAAGAUCUGCAGUUUUCUGCAAGUAAAUAUUGUAAACAUGGUGGAAGUUCUGGCAAUGAUCUGAGGUUCCCACAAUCUUUUAAAACUAGAGAAUAUAAAUUAGAAAGUUGUUUGAUACUCUGAGGAAUUUCCACUAUAUCUGAUCCAGAUAGAUCCAAUAUUUCCAAAGAGACAAACCGAAAUAUAGUCGAGGAUAACACUGUUAUGGCUGUUCCCCUUAAUUUAAGACAGCCUAGACAUUCCAUGGUCUCUAAUAUUUCUGGGAAACACUCUAAGUUUGAACAGCCAUGGAGAUCAAGUGAUACAAGAGAUUUUAACUUACAAAUGCUGGUUGGAAGGCUUUUAAGCCUUGUGCAUCCAUACAUGCUGAACCAAGCAAGGUUUUUAAGCCUUGAGAUUGAUGAAGGCACUUCUUCUAUUGAAGUGUUAUCCAAAUGUAAGGUUUCUAUGUUCUCCGGAACAAUCGGAAAAUUUCUGAUGUUUGGGCAAUCAAAGAGCCGGAGUUCUUUGAGGGCAUGGAACUGAAUAAUAGUGCUUGGAAGAUUAUGAAUUCGGCCACCACUCAUACUCAAAAAAGCAAGUUGAUGGAGAAACCUGAUUGACACCGGAAUUUCUUCUAUUGCAGUUCCUCUUAAAAUCAACCCUUCAAUAUGCUGUGGCAGCUCAGGAAAUUUCCUCAAAUUUGUCAAUCCACAAACUCUUAGCCUAGAGCAAAGAGAUUUCAAAUGAACCAUGUGUAGACACCCAAUUGGGUCCAGGCCCAGAUCAAUUGGGCCUGGCCCAAAUGGGUAAAGCCCAAUUAAAUUUUUAUCUUGUAUUUUUUUUCCUUUUGUAUAUCUAUAUUUAUUUAUUUUUAUUUAGAAUAGAUUUAUAUGUAUAUAGUUAUAUAUUUAUUAUUAUUAUAUUAUUAUUAUUAUUUUUUUUUUUUGUAAUAUAUUUUUGGGUUUAUCUUAUUUUAUUUUUUAAAUUAUCUGUUAAUUUUUUUUUUAUUUUUUUUUAUUAUCUGAUUUUUUUUCUCUUUUUAUCCUAUCUUUUCUAAUUAUCUAUUUUUUAUUAUUUUGAUUUCUGGAUGGCUAAGAUUAAAUGUUGAAGAAUCCUACUAGGAGUGGGGAUUCAAUCAAAAGAGUCCAAUUGGAUUCAAAGAUUGAAUCUCCGUCCAAGGAGAAAUUGGGAUUGAUCAGGAACUCCUGAUCAACCCCUAUAAAAGGCAACCUUUGGAACAGAUGAAGAACACACACACAAAAACAGUGAGCAAAGCUACUGAAUUUGAGAGAAAAGAAGUGCUUAGAAGAGUUUUCGAAUGCUAAAGAAGGUCGAGAAGUGUUAGGAUAGCUGUAGGGAUCAGAAAUAAUUUUUUGGAAAUUUUUGGCGAAAAAUUUUUCUGGAAAUUUCUGGGAAAUUUCCAGAUUCCGGCGAAAAUUCCGGCUAAGUUUGAAUUUUCCGGCAAACAUUCCGGCCAACAUUGAAGUUUCCGGCAACCAGCCCAGUUUCCGGCGAAGAAUCCCAGAAACCGGUGAUCUUCCGGUCAACUUCCGGCGAAAUUUCCAGAUUCCGGCACCGGUGUUCUUCAGCUUUUAGAGAGAAGGGGGAGGAAAGAUAGAGGAAGAAUCCGAAUAGGAGAGGGAAAAAAAAACAGAGAAAAAGAUAGAGGAGGAAUCUGAAUAGGAGGAGGAAUCCGAAUAGGAGAAAAAAAAACUCGAAGGCAUUGUCACAAUGGCAUGGAGAAGUAAGCCCAAAGCUUGCAGCUUGGGCAGCUGAUUUAUCCUCUCCCUAACCCAAUUCUGUCCUUGGUUUUGAAGUAGUCUGCCAACUUGGCGCAUCAGCUCUUGCUUAUUGGCCAGUAUCUGGUUCGACUCCUGGCCUCUUCCACUUAAUUCUUGCAUUGUUCGAACGACUUCAUCACUGGCCCUAGGGUCCAAAGGAGACUUGCAGUUUACUUCGUCCUUUGAAUAUCUUGUUGACGAGGAUACUGAAUACAAUUCUGCAUCUGAUUUAUUGCUGGAACGCAACCGUGAACAGUGUUUGGUUCAUCUUUUGGUUCCUUCUCUUGCAUUGCUGAUCACUCUUGUGUAGAAAAUUACAGGAAGCUAAGGAGCAGCAACAGGAAGAAAGAUCCAGAGAUCAGAAACUGACAAAAAAAUUCCCCUGAUCCGCUACCAAUUUUGCUUGAGCGCAUGAGCAGGUUAGUUGAGCAAGUAAAAGCUGGCACAGGCGCAAGCCGAGGCCCAAUCGCAGCUGUCUCAGAUUCAGACUCAAGAGCCACGACGACAGUCCAUGAAGGAAGGCUUUGCUUCGAAGGAAGAGGUGAAAGAUCACCUGUACAACCUGUAAGUAUUCAUUUAUUUAUUUGGAAGAAUAUAUUAUUCACAGAAUCAUCAAAGUUUCGAAACAGAAAAAGUGAAACCAACCAACAGAAAACAGCAACAUGACAAUUGGUAGACAGCGAAGCUGAGAAGGUAAUAAUGGCAAUGAAAAGAGAUGGUGCUGCUGCCUCCAAGAAGCGAAGCAUCGAAAGGUUGGACUACAAAGAUGGUAUAUUCUAUCGGAAGCUGGAAGGGUCUAAGCCUAGAAAAGUUAAAGCUAGAGAAGGAACUUCAACGUGCUACAUCUGAAAUUCUUCGACUCAAAUUGAAAAUUAGAGAUCUAUUUCAACGUAUUGAUUCACUAUGUGCUAAAGGAAGGCUCCCAGAAUCUUUUAUUUGAUUCUGAGGGAUAAAUUGAUAGUGAAGAUAUAUAUUGUACAAAAUGUGGGUCCAAGGACCUAUCUUUCGACAAUGAUAUCAUUCUAUGUGAUGGUGCUUGUGACUGUGGAUUCCAUCAAUAUUGCUUUAGCCGCCUUUAUUAAAAGAAGACAUUCCUCCUGAUGAUGAGGUUGGGAAAAGGUUUUUCCUGAUGCAGCAGUAGCUGCAGGUGGACAAAGUCAAGAUCCUAACUUUGGACUACCUUCAGAUGAUUCUAACGAUAAUGAUUAUAAUCCUGAUAGUUCAAAAAUCGGUGAGAAGGAUUGGGGAGAUGAGUCAAGUUUUGAUGAAUCUGAUUUCACUUCUACAUCCGAGAAAUUGGAAGCCCCAGCUAAGGAGGCCAGAACGGAGGAAUCGGAAAAGCAAUGGCAGUGGAGUUCACAACGAUAAAGCCGUAGCUGAUGGUGGAAGCACCAAGGGUAGUUGAUGCACUGUAAUUCUACAAGAUCGCGUUUGACACUAUCGAUAAUAGCUGUACUCUUUACCCAAAGUGCAAGGCUGAGCAGGAGCUUAUUCAUAUCCUUUCGGUUCAGUUUGAGCUCACUGGCUUUACCGUUCUUGUAUCUGACUUCACUGGUAACUCUGCUCUUGUGAAAAGUGAGGAAACUGGAUGUGUGCUUUGCAUCAAGACUGAGGAGCGUGGAAGCUGUUAUAGCCAAAGUCGUGAGCAUUGGAGCCAUUGCAAAGGACGGUGACGCGUGCUGUGGUGGACAUGUGGGCAAGGACAAGGAUUCAUAUGGAUACGGUUGGCUCAUUUGCUCUCUUGCCAAAAAUGUUGCUGAGGUCCCUACAUUGUUGGGAUCUGGCUUCCUUAAAUAUUUUUGAGGAAAAGUUGAAAGUAUCAAUUUUCUUCGAAAAUCAAGGUUUCCAAAAAAAAAAAUUUUUGAGGAAAAGUUGAAAGUAUCAAUUUUCCUUGAAAAUCAAAAUUUUCAAAAAAAAAAAAUAUUUUUAGGGAAAAGUUGAAAGCAUCAAUUUUCCUUAGAAAUAAAUUUUCAAAAAAAAUAAAUUUUUGAGGAAAAGUUGAAAGUAUCAAUUUUCCUCGAAAUUAAAAUUUCAAGAAAAUAUUUUUGGGGAAAAGUUGAAAGUAUCAAUUUUUCCUGAACAAAAAAAAAAAUCCUUCUUUUCUUCUGUUCUGAUUUUGAUUUUGAUUUUUCUCUAAAUAAUCCGACGACGGAGCCUCUGCAAGUGAAACAGUAGUUUUUCUUGCAUACUCUUGAGGUGAGGGAAUUUUCUCAAUUUUUUGCUAAAAGUAUUAGAGUCAAUUGAGAAUAAUUUUCAAUAAUUAAUUACUUGGUAAAAUUUUAAGGCUUUUGGAUAAUACAAAUUUCAGCUGGUACCAUCUUCUGAUGGGCGUUGUGAGGGUGCUGUAACCUUCCUCACACGUAACCGAACUCCCGAACUUUGUUCUGGUUAAUAGACCUGAACCUAUUUUUUUAGGGACCCUUAAACUUAGGUGUUCCUUGAAAGGACAGAUUCUUUAGGUGGCCAAUCGCACCUAGAUAAAAAAAAGAUUGGUGGCGACUCCCUAAAGUCAAUGUCUAGCGAUAGAUCCCCGGAUCUAGACGUUAUGACACCAUGGAUGGGAGUUCAACCAAGCUUUCGCAUCAAUCAAUUUCCAGUUGUUCAAUAUUUUUGAAUGCAGACAAACUUCGGAUCCUGGUUAAAUUCUUGCAAUCCGAAAUACGAAGCACUCUUAAAUUCUCAAGAUUCUGUGCAAUGAAAGCGAAGAAAGAAUAUGAGAUUAGUUUAAACUUUAAAGCCUCUAAACGGAUAGGGUACUACAAAAAUAAAAAUAAAAAACAAUAAAUAUUAUUUUUUAAGAAAAUAAAAUGUUAAAGAAUACCUGGUCUCCAUUCCAAAGUUGUUCAACAUUGCUAUGACGCAAUCUUAAUUCAACAAGAUUCUUAGGACUAAAAUUUGACAGUAUAGAUUUCAGCAUGCAAUUCUCCCAAUGAAAAUACCUUAACGCAUUAGGAAGAGAUUUGAGACCUUGGUGCGAAAGAACCAACAUCCUCCCUUCCUAGAAAAAGUAGGCUGAUAGAAUUUGAUAAUUCUAAGAUUAGGCAUCCUUGCGAAAGCACGUGGAUGUAACUGUACUUCAUUAUUAAUUUGAGCCAGGUCUAAUAAUAUUCCCUCCACUGAUUUCGUCCCCUAUAAUCAACAGUAAACAAUAAUUUACCGUAAUGCAUCAAACAUUUAUCAAGUCAAGAUAAGCAAGAAAAAAAAAAGUUAGUUCAGUUAGCUCUUACCUUGCCAUUCUUUAACACUUUACAAACAUAACUUGGAAUCCAUAAUCUACUACGUUCUUCUGGCCAUUCAGAUUCUGAACGGAUAAUUUUCCUUCCCAUUUCUUGUAGCAAAUCAUGCAUGCUAAGAGACAAGUUCUCUUUUGUAUCAUCUAAGAGGCAUUUAUCAACAAGGUUCGUAAUUCCCCAACGAGCAGCCUCAUUAUAGCAACGGUCUAGUAUUUUUGUUACACUAUCUCUAUCACACCCUUUAAAGAAUAUUGCGAUAUCAAGAAAUAUCUUCUUCUCUACAUCUUCCAGCCCUUCAAAGCUACUCUUCAGCACAUCGUGAAUUUUUGGAUCGGAAUCUUGCUUUAAUUUAUUCAAUGCACUUGCCCAAUAUGCCAUGUCCUUAUUACAAACUGUAGAACCCAAGACUUUAAGAGCUAGUGGAAAGCCUUUAGCAUAUUCCAAAAACUUAUUUGAUAGAUCCUUCAAAUCAUCAACAAGGUGGUCUUGCUUGAAGGCAUACAUAGAAAAGAGCCGAAUAGAGUCAUUGUGACUUAAUUCCUUAACCUUAUAUAUUCUAUCAACUGAUCCAUUUGUAAGGACUUGUUUGUCUCUAGAUGUUACAAUGAUUCUACUACCAAAACCAAAGUGGUCGUGGCUAAUUUCUAAUUUUUCUAGUUGGUCCCAAUAAUUGACAUCAUCAAGGACAACAAGAACUCUCUUACGACGGAGUCUAUCCUUAGUGAAUGUGGAUCCCAUAUUAUUGAUAUCGAGGCUUUCCUCGUUUAAUAAUUGGGAAAGAAGUCUAUUCAGCAGAGUGAUUACAUUUGCACCAUGUUUUUCUAACUCCUCUCUAACAUCUGCCAAGAAAUAACUACUUUCAAAUUGACCACAGACUUCAUUAUAUAUAGCUCGAGCAAGAGUUGUUUUGCCGAUACCAGGCAUUCCCCAUAUCCCAAUAAUACGAACAUCCUUCUUCUCUUCAAUGCACAAUAGCGAUUUGAUUUGCUCCAUACGAGGAACUAUUCCAAUAAGGCCUCUGCGAUCACCUUUAAACAACCGUUUCAACUUGUUUCCAAUAUCUUGAACAAUAUGCUCAAUGACUAUAGGCUCAGGCCUAUCGAAUAAGCAAAAAAAGGAAUAAGUUAAGCCUAAGGUAAUGAAGAUUAUAUGAACAAAACUUACGCUUUUUAAGGGAAAUUUUUUAAAAUAAAAAAAUCAAACGAAAUCAUAUAUAAUAUUAUAUUACAAAAUAUGUAAAAACUUGAUAAGAUAUGUCACUUAAAUGUUUAUAUGAAUAACUUAUAUUCAUGACACGUAAGAAAUUGCUUAAAACAUUUGCUUACAUGGAUGUCUAUUUGAAUGACUUUUAAAUUGUUACUAAUAAAAUCUAAUUUAGAUAUAUUAUCUUUGUAAAUUUUAAAUGAACUUUCAAAUAAUCUAAACAAUAUCUUUUUAAAUUUAAAAUUUUUAAAUAUAGUGAUAUUUUAUCAUUUAAAAUGAAUUUUCUAAUCAUCUAAAUAUAUAUCUUUUGAAAUAUAAAAAUCUUGAAUUAGUGAUAUAUCUUUUUAAAUCUAAAAUAUAGGUGUGUAAAAUCAAGAACAUAUUUUUUAAAAAAGAAAAAUAUAUCUGAAAUAAGAUCAUAUUUAUUAUAUUUUAUUCAAAUUCAAAUAUAAAUAUUUCCAAUAGAUUAACAAAAAAAAUUGUUAAAUAACAUUUCAAUCAAUUUAGAUUUUGAGUCAUGAAAUGGAUAAAACUACCCAGAUUCAAUAUUGAAUUCAAAUGAAUAGAUUAAAUUUCAAUAAAAAUAUAAAAUUUAACAAAUUCAUUUUAUUUUAUUCAAACUUUAUCGAUUUAGAGUUUUUUUUUAAUUUAAUUUCUCAAAAAAUAUAUAUUUACUUUCAUAAAUUUCUUUAUGAUCCUUUAGUUUUGUUUUUUUUAAUGUAAAAAUAUAAAUAUCACUUAUUAUGUUAUAUUUAAAUUUAAAAAAUAUUUAUCAAUUUAAAAGUUAUCUAAAUAUCUUAAUUAUCAUCCAGUAUCUAUAAAUGAUUUGAGGUGCAUAGUUUUUUUUAUUCAAUUUGCAACUUUUCAAGAUUUUGUUUUCAUACAAAAACAAUACAAUUCUUUUUUGCUUUUGACACACGUUUAUUAACCUUUUCUUUUCAUUUUUUUGCAAAAAUUGUUUAAAGAUCACAAGUGAAAAUAUGUAAAUACUACUUUUAUUUCUUUUUAAAAAAAAUAGUAUUUUUCUAUUUUUCAUGCUUUUUAAUAUUUUGAUCACAAUUAUAAUAGUAAAGGUAUGUCAAACUUUUUUAUGAUUCAAUUAAAUUUUUAUUCAAUGCAUUAAGAGAAAAGAAAUUGACAUAGUAAUAUAUAGAUUGUCUAUAUAAUCUAAUAGUCAUAUGAUGUUAAAAUUUUAUGUUAUCUUGCAAUCCAUUUCUUCUCCUUUUUUUUUUGUUUUUAUUCUUAUCAUAUUCAUAUUCAUAUUAUAUAUUUAUUGGCACGAGAAUACAUUUUUCAUAUAAAAUUAAGAUUUUUGGUAAUGUUAAAAUGCAUUUUUUUCUUUUUUUUUUUCUUUUUAUAAUAUUUUAUAUUUUGAUAUCUACUUCUUUUCUUUUUUAGAAACUACAGACUUAUAAAUUUUAAAUUUGUAAUUUUAUAGAAUACAACAACGGUAAUUAAAAUAUAAUUUUGAGCUGUGCUAUGUCAUCAAAAUGGAUCACAAAGAUUUUCCGACUAUGAUUGUUUUAUUCUAAACAUUAAUUUGAUAAGAUAAUUCUCCAUUAUCUUGGAGAGUUCAUCCAAGCACCAUGAUGAAGUAGCAUAGUUUUGAGAAAAAACUAUUACUGAAGUCAUUGAUUCUUCGAUUGCUUUCAACAGGGCGGGAGAAAUUUCCUCUCCCCUUGGAAGUUCUUUGAAAUCAGCAUAAGUUCCAAUCCCUUUUCUUUUAAAAGCGUCAUAUAGGUGACUGAGGAAGGUAUUGCGUGUGUCUUCACCUCUGAAACUCAGGAAAACAUGAUGCUUUGCUUGGCGGAAGGAAGCAAAAGCAGAGGAAGAGGAAGCCAUAACAGAGAACAAGAAGGUUUUGUUAUGUAAGUCCGCAAUACAGUAAGAAAAAGACAAAGAAGUGCAUAAUGAAGACAACCAAAAGGACUCCAAAGUCAAAAUGAAAGAGGAGCAACGCGGAACCAUCAUAUAGCAAAGGAGUCAAGCCAAGGGACAAUUACAAAAUGAUGCAAUUCAAUGAGAAUAUUGAAUAAUUGUAUACCGAUAAUAUUUAUGGAAAAAAGAAAUAUCAAGUGAGAAAAUUAUAAAAAAGGGAAGUUUAUGUUAGUUUUUUACCUUCACCACUAACUAACAUAGCGGAAAAGCGUAUUUUUGUAUUAUUUAUUCAUCUUUAUAUUAUUUAAAACUUUAUUAAAAAUAAAAUACUAAUAUUUGUUCAAUCUCAUAUUGUUUGAGAACUUUUUAUUUUCAUAAAAUUUUUUAAAAAAUAUUUUGAUUUUAUUACAUUUAAUAUUAAAAUUUUAAAAUUUUUAUAAAAGUGAAGUUCCAUAAUUUUUAAUUUCAAAAAAUAAAAAAUCAUGAAAAAUAAUUUGAAAAUAUAAAAAGUAAAAAAUUUAGAUGUUAAAUAAAAUAAUUUUAAGAUAUCUCAAUGGGCAACAGAUUAAAAAAAAAAAAACUGGAGAAUACUACUGAGAGAGCCGAUAACAAGGUAGAAAAUGAUCAUUCAUUACAGAAAAAUACUAUAAUAGUUUCGGAGAAGACACAGAAGAACUUAAAAAUAGUUCAAAUUCAUGAUGAACCACAAUGACUAAGAUGAAGAAAGGACAGGUUUGUCGAGAACUCGUAGUGCCUCGAAGUCUCAGUUCAAGCACAGGCACAAAGCAAAGAAUCUCAAAGAAAAAUUGAAGCUCUUUAAAGGCUUGGUCAUCCCUCCUAUUACUGCAAAAACUUAAUUCUUUAUUUCUUUAUAGGGAUAGUUUUAAAUUUAUUUACAUAAAUGGGGUACUUCAUGCCAUGUCAUGCCAUGUCAGAUUUUUUAAAUAAUCAUUUAUAUUUUUUAAAAAUAUUUUAAAAAAUUGAAACACCUAAACACUACCAUUACUUUGUUUACUAAACACUAUUUUCUACUGGCCUCUGAAGCAUAGUGAAGCAGAGUAGGAACAGGGCUUCCAAUUCAACAAGAGAUUUCAUCAUGAGAUAACGAAAUGCUAGGGAUAUUUAUUCCUUUCAUAGGAUAAAAAGGGAAGGUGGCAUUUUAAUGUUUUUGAUAUACAUGCCUUAUAAUAUUCCUAUGUUCUUAAACUCACUGCACAUAUUUUCUGCUGUACAUUAUAACACUAUAAAUAGCAUAAAUAUUUGUAAGUAAAAGUUUUAAGACUAGUACUUAAUAAUAUAAAUGGAACCCUUCCUCUUCACUCAUAAGUCAUUUGCUAUGCAAGUUACAAAAACUGCUGUUAUAUUAGAACAGAAAUUAUCCCUAGUAAUCAAAAGAAAAAUAUAAAUGCAUGCAACAACAAGGCCACCAAGAAGAAACUAGCAAAACAUUUAUCACGAUGCAAUAUAUCUGUUUUCCAUGAAAUUUGUUUGAUAUGCUGCAUAAUGACAAUAAGAUUGCAUGGAAAAAUAGACAGAAUAAAAGAUACUUACAAUUGAAGAACCGAAUAACGAUGCUGUAUAAAUCUGUAGCAGAAUCAUUUUAUUUUUGAGCCGGGUGAAUAGCUCAUCAGCUUUGAUAUGCAGCUCCUUGCCCUUUGAAUCAUCACUGCCCCUGAAAAUCUUCUUUACACAAUCAAGCUCCUUUGUUAGUGUUUCUGGACCCCAGUCCUUUGCACAGCAUAAAAACACAUCCUUAAUAAACCCAAGCGUUGCUGAAGCAUGACCACAUCCCAUGAAGUGAAAUUACAUUUCAGUAGUACCAGAUGGCCCCUUUAAGCUAUGACUUGGCUUGAUUAAGGUUCCUCUGCAUACCACAAGCAGCAUAGCACCAAUAGCAACAAACAUCACAACCAACCCAACGGCUAGUAUUGUUAGCACAAUUGAAGUUCAGUGCAUUUUCCAUGUCCAAUUAAACCAACUACAUUAGAAUUAGUUUCAGUCCGCAUUUGCCAUAUCCAACUAAACCUAGGCCAUACAGUUGGCCAUCUUCAACAAGGCAUCAAAGUAAUGUGCUUACACAAUCAAGUAAUGUGUAGCCUUAAAAGUAGCCCAAACCAUAGAAUUCAGGUAGCAUCCUAACUAGUGAUGGUAGCAGCUCAUUAAUGCCUGUGAAUAGCAAAAAUAUUCCUUAAAUUGUGGGUAAAAGUAUAAGAUUAUCAACUUUCUCUUUUACCUUUUGGAAUUUGAAAUGACAAUUUAUAUUAUGUAUUGCAAGCAGGGAAAAUAUGAAAGAUAGCACAUUUGCCCUAAAUAGCCAAAGUCUUCAAAAACUAACCUUCCACCAAAAAGCUUCGCUAGCAAACCCCUGGCAAUUGACUCAAUGCAUAUCCCCAAAAGAAUGGUGGUUGCAGUAAUCCAGCUACUGAUGAAUUCCACCCAAACUGAUGUGACAUACGAAUUAUAGCAACACUCAAGUUCACCUACCCCAUUUAACAAGCUUAACAAAAUUAGUUCAACCUAAAUAUAAAACCCGAGUCCACACAAGUGAUUGCUGUUUCUACUACAUAAACCCAAAAAUCUACAAUUCAAAACUAUAAACCCCAAAAACUAUAAUUCAAAACUAUGAUGGAAUUAAGCAUAUAGAUGAAGAGUUUGGGAAUUUAAUUUCAAGGCAACAACAAAUCCCCAAAAGAAAAAGAGAGAUGAAGCACAUAAAUGAAGAACCCACCUAAAUUUUUCCCUUUCAUACUUGCCACUGUUAUUUGAUUGAAGGAGAGUUAAAGCAUCGAAGCAGAGAAAGUGUAAUCCCUUGUAUUUUGUAUGUAAAAGGAAAACAAAAAAAAAAUGACAUAGCAUGAGUAUCCCAUUUAGGUAAAUAAGUUUCAGACUUUCCUUAAAGAUGUUAAAAUAACCUUUUAUUGAAAAAAAAAAAAAAACUCUAGUUUCCUUUUUUUUUCUCUCUUUUUGUUUUUAUUUCCCCAAUUCUCAAUAAUGGUGCAAGUGUGAUCUAUUUUUUCUACUGUGAGAUGAUAACGACAAAGUUCUGACUAUCAGAUGAUAUAAACUUACUACAUCACUGAUGUAGCUUUAAGCAAGCACUGAAAUUGAUUACGAUUCAAGACCACAUGAUAGUUAAAGAUUUCAUGUUAUGCUUCAUAUAAUUUUUCUGAAAAAAAAGAAAAAAAGAAAAAGGAAAACUUGCACUUUCGACUAGUUAUAGAAGCUCAUUUACCUUGAUGAUCUACAACUGUAGAGGCAGCAGCCAUAGCAUGUAGUAAGUAGCAAAGGGAUGCAAAUCUCUAGCUUCAUAACAUCAUAUUGAAGUCAAACUCUGUAAUUUAGCUUGAAAAGGUAGCACAUAAUUAAUUUGGGGGGAAAAAAAUUACAUUUGUCACAACCUAGACUUGAAAACCCAAUAUUUCUCUGAAAACCCUUUCUAUUGGUGACAAAGAGACACUUGAAACAUCCAUGAUCUGCAGUUUCAAAAAUGCCACAUCAAGUUAAGGUUGAAUUUUCAUGAAAGUUUCAGAAAAUGUGCAAAAUACUGUCGUAAUUCUAAAAUGCAAAAUGAACAUAGGCAAAAAUAGAACCUUUUAUGGGAGAGGGGACCUUGCUUUCACAUUCCAACUGCUCUUAGGGAUCCUAGGAAAAGCAUCAACUGAAACCUAGAUCAAGAUAAUGCACAGGUUAUAAGCAAAAGCAAUUUCGCACGCAAGUGGAUCAGAUAAAUAUUUUGGGAAGGUGCAUGCAAAUUAGAAGUCAACUACUAUCUAAAAAGAAAAUUAGGUAAUAAUAAAACAAAACACCAACUAAAACACCACAAUAUUUGCAUACUUUACAUUACUUUGAGAGCCAAAACGAAAUUUAAAAAAAAAAAAUUUUAAAAGCGGGAAAUUUCAGAAAAGAAAAACAAAAUUAUCUCUGAAUCAGAGGAGAAAAAUACAAUAGUGAGUUGAGAAAAAUGAAAGGAGAAAAUAGAAUGAUGAGAGAGUGGUCGGAAACAAAAUGUGAAAGAAAAGCAUGAAGGAAAAUUUGAAUGAUUCAAAGUUGAAAGCAUUUCGUAUUCUUUUGUUUUUUCUAAAUUACCAAGAUUUAAAAGUGAUGACAAAUUGAAUCAAAGGAUGACUUACCAAAGCUUUGGAACUGAAUUGCCUGGACUUUAAAUAAUAUCAGAGCUAAAACGUCUUUUGUGCCUAGGUCUCGUUGUAGUCGUAGGAUCAUCAAGGCCUUCCUCAUCAUUAGCUCUGUAAUUAGUGCUGAACGCAACCUUUUUGUCAUUGGGUCUGACAGCAUCCUCAUAUAAUACUUUGACACCACAUUUUCGCACUUUGAUAUGCUCAAUAUUGGAAUUAAAAUCCUCAGCUUUAACGGAGAAUUCAAUGGAGGCCUCAUCAAAAUGCUCGCUGAUGGAUGAUGCUUCAUUGAUUUCACUUCCAAAACCAUUACCAAAAAGGAUCACAUGAUUCGAAUCAAAGCUUCGCCAGAAAGGGAAAUUCCAAUUGCAAUCAUGAGUAAAUUUGAGAGGAUCACAGUCACGGCGCUCUGUUGUUAAUAGACAUUUGCAAUCAACAUCGAAAUGUUUGAAUUUAUGAGGGCGCUUAAAAUUAACACAAUGCAUAGAAGAAAGCCCAAAAUUCUUUUACUAGAACAAGCUGGACCCAACUUGACAGUUAUUGAAGAAUUUUUACUCCGAUUCUUGAAUGUCUUUGGAAUUUUACUUCCAGGGAAACAAGAAAAGAAACAGUUACUAUAAGCACGAUCAGCAGCUACAAAAGAUCCAAUCGCAUCCACCUUUUCCGUACAUUGAGCUUUAAGCUGAGCAUUAGCCACAAUGUUGUUGACUGCAUCCCUUUCCAGAUUGAAGCAAUUAUGGAAUUCAAAAAAAUCGUCGUCCGAUUGAGGAAUUAAUGAACGACGAAGUAAUUUAUAUGUCCGAGCUUCCACAUAUUGCAGAUGUUUCCAUUGGUGAACUCUCUUUAAAGAUUUGCAGUUUUCUGCCUCUAAAAUUUGUAAACAUGGAAGUUCUGGCAAUGGUUUGAGGUUCUUGAAAUUGUUUAAACAUAGAGAACAUAAAUUAGGAAGUUGUUUGAUACUCUUAGGAAUUUCCACUAUAUCUGAUCCAGAUAGAUUCAAAAAUUCCAAAGAGACACGCCGAUAUAUAUCCGCGGAUAACACUGUUAUGGCUGUUUCCUCUGAACCACGAUAGCCUAGACAUUCCAUAGUCUCUAAUAUUUCUGGGAAACGCUCUAAGUUUGAACAGCCAUAGAGAUCAAAAUAGAUAAGAGAUUUUAACUUACAAAUGCUGGUUGGAAGCCUUUUAAGCCUUGUACAGCCACGCAUCCUGAAUGCAGUAAGGCUUUUAAGCCUUGAGAUUGAUGAAGGCACUUUUUUUAUUCGAGUGUUAUCCAAAUCUAACAUCUCUAUGUUCUCCGGAACAAUCGGAAAAUUUUUUAUGUUUGGGCAAUCACGGAGCCGGAUGUCUUUAAGGGCAUGCAACUGAAUAAUAGUGCUUGGAAUAUUACGAAUUCGGCCACCAAUCAUAUCCAAAAAUGCAAAUUGAUGGAGAAACCCGAUUGACUCCGGAAUUUCUUCUAUUGCAGUGCCUGUUAAAAUCAACUCUUCAAUAUGCUGUGGGAGCUCAGGAAAUUUCUUCAAAUUUGUUAACCCUUCACCUCUUAGGCGAGAGAGAAGAGAUUUCAAAUGAACCAUGGAUGGGAGUUCAACCAAGCUCUCGCAUCCACUAAUUUCCAGUUGUUCAAUAUUUUUGGACGCUGACAAACUUGGGAUCCUCGUUAAAUUCUUGCAAAACCGAAGAUCUAGCACUCUUAAAUUCUCAAGAUUCUGUGCAAUGAAAGCGAAGAAACAAUAUGAGAUUAGUUUAAACUUUAAAGCCUUUAAACUUAUAGGGUACUACAAAAAUAAAAAUUAAAAACAAUAAAUAUUAUUUUUUAUGAAAAUAAAAUGUUAAAGAAUACCUGGUCUCCAGUCCAAAAUUCUUCUACUGGAGUGUUAUCCAAAUAUAAGACCUCUAUCUUCGCCGGAACAAUCGGAAAAUUUGUGAUGUUUGGGCAAUCACAGAGUCGGAUGUCUUUAAGGGCAUGCAACUGAAUAAUAGUGCUUGGAAGAUUAUGAAUUCGGCCACCACUCAUAUCCAAAAAAGCAAGUUGAUGGAGAAACCCGAUUGACUCCGGAAUUUCUUCUAUUGCAGUGUCUGUUAAAAUCAACCUUUUAGUAUGCUGUGGGAGCUCAGGAAAUUUCUUCAAAUUUUUUAAACCACAACCGCUUAGGCUAAAGCAAAGAGAUUUCAAAUGAACCAUGGAUGGGAGUUCAACCAAGCUUUCGCACCAACUAAUUUCCAGUUGUUCAAUAUUUUUGGAUGCUGACAAACUUGGGAUCCUGGUUAAAUUCUUGCAAAACGAAAGAUCAAGCACUCUUAAAUUCUCAAGAUUCUGUGCAAUGAAAGCGAAGAAACAAUAUGAGAUUAGUUUAAAUUUUAAAGCCUCUAAACUUAUAAGGUACUACAAAAAUAAAAAUUAAAAACAAUAAAUAUUAUUUUUUAUGAAAAUAAAAUGUUAAAGAAUACCUGAUCUCCAUUCCAAAGUUGUUCAAAAUUGCGACCACUUAAUCUUAAUUCAACAAGAUUCUUCGGACUAAAAUUUGACGGCAUAGAUUUCAGCAUGCAAUUCUCCCAAUGAAAAUACCUAAACUCAUCAGGAAGAGAUUUAAGACCUUGGUGCGAAGGAACCAACAUACCUCCCUUCCCAGAAAAAGUAUGAUGAUAGAAUUUGAUAAUUCUAAGAUUAGGCAUCCUUGCGAAAGCACGUGGAUGUAACUGUACUUCAUUAAUUUGAGACAGGUCUAAUAAUAUUCCCUCCACUGAUUUCGUCCCCUAUAAUCAACGGUAAACAAUAAUUUACCGUAAUGCAUCAAACAUUUAUCAAGUCAAGAUGAGCAAAAAAAAAAAGAAAAGUUAGCUCAGUUAGCUCUUACCUUGCCAUUCUUUAACACGUUACAAACAUCAUUUGGAGUCCAUAAUCUGCUACGUUCUUCUGGCCAUUUAGAUUCUGAACGGAUAAUUUCCCUACCCAUUUCUUGUAGCAAAUCAUGCAUGCCAAGCUUGUUCUCUAUUGUAACAUUUAAGAGGCAUUUAUCAACAAGGUCGGUAAUUUUAGAAUGAGCAGCGUCAUCAUAGCAACCGUCUAGGAUUUUUGUUACACUAUCUCUACCACACCCUUUAAAGAAUAUUGCGAUAUCAAGAAAUAUCUUCUCCUCUACAUCUGCCAGCCCAUCAUAGCUAAUCUUCAGCACAUCGUUAAUUUCCGGAUUGGAAUGUUGCUUUAAUCCAUUCAAUGCACUUGUCCAAUAUGCUUUGUUCUUCUGAUAAAGUGCAGAACCCAAGACUUUAAGAGCUAGUGGAACGCCUUUAGCAUAUUCUAAAAACUUAUUUGAUAGAUCCUUCAAAUCAUCAACAAGGUGGUCUUGCUUGAAGGCAUACAUUGAAAAGAACCGAAUAGAGUCAUUGUGACUUAAUUUCUUAACCUUGUAUAUUCCAUCAACUGAUCCAUUUGUAAGGACUUGUUUGUUUCUGGAUGUUACAAUGAUUCUACUACCAGAACCAAAGUGGUCAUGGCUAAUUCCUAAAUUUUCUAAUUGGUCCCACUCACUGACAUCAUCAAGGACAAGAAGAACUCUCUUUCGACAAAGUCUAUCCUUAAUGAAUAUGGGCAUUCUAGGAGCACCGAUAUCGAGGCUGUCCUCGUUUAAUAAUUUGGAAAGAAAUCUAUCUCGCAGAGUGAUUGCAUUUGCACGUUGUUUUCCUAUCGUCGCUCUAACAUCUGCCAAGAAGUAACAACUUUCAAAUUCACCAGAGACUUCAUCAGAUAUAGCUUGAGCAAGAGUUGUUUUGCCUAUACCAGCCAUUCCCCAUAUCCCAAUAAUACAAACAUCCUUCUUCUCUUCAAUGCACAAUAGCGAUUUGAUUUGCUCCAUAGGUGGAACUAUUCCAUUGAGGCCUCUCAAUCACCUUUAAACAACCGUUUCAACUUGUUUCCAAUAUCUUGAACAAUAUGCUUAAUGACUACGGGCUCAGGCCUAUCGAAUAAGCAAAAAAAGGAGUAAGUUAGGCCUAAGGUAAUGAAGAUUAUGUGACCAAAACUUACGCUUCUAAAGGGAAAUUUUUUAAAACAAAAAUAUCAAACGAAAUCAUAUAUAAUAUUAUACUACAGAAUAUAUAAAAAUUUGAUAAAAUAUGUCAUGUAAAUGUUUAUAUAAAUAACUUAUAUUUAUGACACGUAAAAAAUUAUUUAAAAAAUUUAUUUACAGGGAUGUCUAUUUGAAUGACUUUUAAAUUGUUACCAACAAAAUCUAAUUUAGAUAUAUUAUCUCUUUAAAUUUUAAAUGAACUUCCAAAUGAUCUAAACAAUAUCUUUUUAAAUUUAAAAUUCUCAAAUAUAGUGAUAUUUUAUCAUUUAAAAUGAAUUUUUUAAUAAUCUAAAUAUAUAUAUUUUUAAAUAUAAAAAUCUUGAAUUAGUGAUGUAUCUUUUUAAAUGUAAAAUAUAGGUGUGUAAAAUCAAGAACAUAUUUUUUAAAAAGAAAAAUAUAUCUGAAGUAAGAUAAUAUUUAUUAUAUUUUAUUCAAAUUCAAAUAUAAAAAAUUCCAAUAGAUUAACAAAAAAAAUUGUUAAAUAACAUUUCCAUCAAUUUAGAUUUUGAGUUAAGAAAUGGAUAAAACUGCCCAGAUUCAAUAUUGAAUUCAAAUGAAUAGAUUAAAGUGAAAUAAAAAUUUAAAAUUUAACAAAUUCAUUUUAUUUUAUUCAAAUUUUAUCUAUUUAGAGUUUUUUUUUAAAUUUAAUUUCUCAAAAAAAUAUUUACUUUCAUUUAGUUUUGUUUUUUUUAAUUCAAAAACAUAAAUAUCACUUAUAUGUUAUAUUUAAAUUCAAAAAAUAUUUAUCAAUUUAAAAGUUAUCUAAAUAUCUUAAUUAUCAUCCAGAAUCUAUAAAUGAUUUGAGGUGCAUAGUUUUUUCUAUUCAAUUUGCAACUGUUCAUGAUUUUGUUUUUAUACAAAAAUAAUACAAUUCCUUUUUUUGCUUUUGACACACGUUUAUUAACCUUUUCUUUUCAUUUUUUUUUGCAAAAAUGAAAUAAAGAUCACAAGUGAAAAUAUGUAAAUACUACUUUUAUUUCUUCUUUAAAAAAUAGUAUUUUUCUAUUUUUCAUGCUUUUUAAUAUUUUGAUCACAAUUAUAAUAGUAAAGGUAUGUCAAACUUUUUUAUGAUUCAAUUAAAUUUUUAUUCAAUGCAUUAAGAGAAAAGAAAUUGACAUAGUAAUAUAUAGAUUGUCUAUAUAAUCUAAUAGUCAUAUGAUGUUAAAAUUUUACGUUAUCUUGCGAUCCAUUUCUUCUCCUUUUUUUUUUUUGUUUUUAUUCCUAUCAUAUUCAUAUUCAUAUUAUAUAUUUAUUGGCACGAGAAUACAUUUUUCAUCUAAUUCAAUAUUCAUAUAAAGUUAAGAUUUUAGGUAAUGUUAAAAUCUCAAUAUAAUUUUUAUCUUCAUAAAUUUCUUACAAUUCUUUAUUAUUUGUUUUUUAAUUUAAAAAUAAAAUAUCACUUAUUAUAUAAUUAUUUUUAAAUUCAAAAUAUAUAUAACAAUAUUAAAAAAAAUGAUUUAAAUUAUAUCGGUAUCUUAUUUUAUAUUAUAUUUUAAAUAUAUUUUAAAUAUAUAAAUUAAAUAAUAUGAAUUUAUAUAUUUACAUAUAUAUUUAAAUAAAUAAAAUUAAUUCGUCCACUGCACGAGUUAUCAAACUAGUUAACCAAUGGUGCAAGAAGCUUAGAGUAAGAAAAACAACUACUUACUCAUGUCCUGAAAGGUCCACCCACUUAAUUUGGCAGCUUUGGUCAAAGCAUCUCUCCACCCCUUAACCUUGUCUGUCCUGUUUCUUUCAUGGUCAACAAAAGCUUCUUCAAAACUCCCUUUUAGUUUUCGUAUAUCGGAUGGGUUAACAUGGUAGAAAAUGGGUACCACAAGUUGUUCCCGUGAAUCCCUGCAUUCCAUUAUCUUGGAGAGUUCAUCCAAGCACCAUGAUGAAGUAGCAUAGUUUUGCGAAAAAACUAUUACUGAAAUCAUUGAUUCUUCGAUUGCUUCCAACAGUGCGGGAGAAAUUUCCUCUCCCCUUGUAAGUUCGUUGAAAUCAACAUAAGCUCCAAUUCCUUUUCUUUUAAAAGCUUCAUAUAGGUGACGGAGGAAGGCAUUGCGUGUGUCUUCACCUCUAAAACUCAGGAAAACAUGAUGCUUUGCUUGAGUAGAGGAAGCAGAAGCAGAGGAAGAGGAAGCCAUAACAGAGAACAAGAAGGUUUUGUGAUGUAAGUUUGUAACACGGUAGGAAAAAGAAGUGAAUAAUGAACACAUAUAAAAAGACUCCAAAGUGAAAAAGAAAGAGAAGCAACGUGGAACCAUCGUUUGGCAAAGGAGUCAAGCAAAGGGAGACUUACAACUUGAUGCAAUGCAAUGCGCAUAUUGAAUAACUGUGAACACAUUAGUAAAAAUAAAAGUUAUAUAUUGAGUAACUUUCUAUUUCCCUUUUCAAUAAAUAUUUUUAUGUAUGACGGUAAGUAAAUAUUCUUGGUCCACCGCACGCAACGCGGAAUGGUACACUAAAAGAGUAAAGCAAAUUGUAAAAUGUCUUUGGAUUCCAUUUGGUGGGGUACAAAGUGACGAAAGAAAAGACAAGCAACGCGGAAUCGUAUACUAAAAGAAUAAAGCAGCAAAUUGUAAAAUAUCUAUGGAUUUCGUUUGGUAGGGUGCAACUGUACUAUGUUAAAAAUUCUACGAAGUGAAAAAGACAGGGAAGGAACGCGGAACAAUCAUACAUAGCAGAGGAGUCAACCAAAGGGAGACUUAGAAAUUUUUUUUUUUUUGGUAAGAAGGGAGACUUACAAAUUGAUGCAAUGCAAUGAGAAUAUUGAAUAACUAGUUUGCUAUCUGUGUGUGGAUUAUCUUUAGUUAUUUAAAUAUAUUUAAAAAUAUAAAUUAAUAUUAUUUAAUUUUUUAUAUAUUUAAAAAAUAUAUAAUGCGUAUAUUAUAAUUAAGAUAACAAAGUAUAAUAAAUUGAUUAUAAAUAUCUUUUGAAUAAAUAUAUAUAAUGAUAUAUGUGUUUUUAAAUUUAAAAAAAUAAAAAAUUAUAAGGAAAGUUACCAAUAUAAAAAUAUUGAUUUGAAAAUUUUAAAUUUGAAAAUAGAUAUUUUUAGGUGAAAUUUUAAUCAAAUAGGAUUAAUUUUUUUAAGUUUUAUAAUAUUUUAUUAUAAUUUAUUGAGAUUUUUAUUUUUAAGAAAAAAUAUAAAAAAUUAAUUAUAGAUAAUUUGGAUAAGAUUUUUUUUUAAAUUUGGAUAUUUGAAUUAAAAUAAUGUAUAAUAGGUAUUAUUCAUAUGUCAAAAAAAUGUCCAUUUAAGCAUUCAAGUGGUAAAUUUUAUCAUAUAUUCUUAUAUAUUGUAAUAUAUAUAUGAUUGAUACAAAUUACCAAUAAUAUUUAUGGAAAAAGAAAUAUCGAGUGAGAAAAUUGUAAAAAAAAAAGUUUGUAUUACCUUUUUACCCUCACCAUUAUCUAACGUAAUGAUAAAAGUUGUUUUUGUUUNNNNNNNNNNNNNNNNNNNNNNNNNNNNNNNNNNNNNNNNNNNNNNNNNNNNNNNNNNNNNNNNNNNNNNNNNNNNNNNNNNNNNNNNNNNNNNNNNNNNNNNNNNNNNNNNNNNNNNNNNNNNNNNNNNNNNNNNNNNNNNNNNNNNNNNNNNNNNNNNNNNNNNNNNNNNNNNNNNNNNNNNNNNNNNNNNNNNNNNNNNNNNNNNNNNNNNNNNNNNNNNNNNNNNNNNNNNNNNNNNNNNNNNNNNNNNNNNNNNNNNNNNNNNNNNNNNNNNNNNNNNNNNNNNNNNNNNNNNNNNNNNNNNNNNNNNNNNNNNNNNNNNNNNNNNNNNNNNNNNNNNNNNNNNNNNNNNNNNNNNNNNNNNNNNNNNNNNNNNNNNNNNNNNNNNNNNNNNNNNNNNNNNNNNNNNNNNNNNNNNNNNNNNNNNNNNNNNNNNNNNNNNNNNNNNNNNNNNNNNNNNNNNNNNNNNNNNNNNNNNNNNNNNNNNNNNNNNNNNNNNNNNNNNNNNNNNNNNNNNNNNNNNNNNNNNNNNNNNNNNNNNNNNNNNNNNNNNNNNNNNNNNNNNNNNNNNNNNNNNNNNNNNNNNNNNNNNNNNNNNNNNNNNNNNNNNNNNNNNNNNNNNNNNNNNNNNNNNNNNNNNNNNNNNNNNNNNNNNNNNNNNNNNNNNNNNNNNNNNNNNNNNNNNNNNNNNNNNNNNNNNNNNNNNNNNNNNNNNNNNNNNNNNNNNNNNNNNNNNNNNNNNNNNNNNNNNNNNNNNNNNNNNNNNNNNNNNNNNNNNNNNNNNNNNNNNNNNNNNNNNNNNNNNNNNNNNNNNNNNNNNNNNNNNNNNNNNNNNNNNNNNNNNNNNNNNNNNNNNNNNNNNNNNNNNNNNNNNNNNNNNNNNNNNNNNNNNNNNNNNNNNNNNNNNNNNNNNNNNNNNNNNNNNNNNNNNNNNNNNNNNNNNNNNNNNNNNNNNNNNNNNNNNNNNNNNNNNNNNNNNNNNNNNNNNNNNNNNNNNAUUUCUUCUAUUGCAGUGCAUGUUAAAGUCAACUCUUCGAUAUGCUGUGGCAGCUCAGGAAAUUUCUUCAAAUUUUUUAAACCAUAACCGAGUAGGCUAAAGCAAAGAGAUGUCAAAUGAACCAUGGAUGGGAGUUCAACCAAGCUUUCGCACCCACUAAUUUUCAGUUGUUCAAUAUUUUUGGAUGCUGACAAACUUGGGAUCCUGAUUAAAUUCUUGCAAUCCGAAAGAUCAAGCACUCUUAAAUUCUCAAGAUUCUGUGCAAUGAAAGCCAAGAAACAAUAUGAGAUUAGUUUAAACUUUAAAGCCUCUAAACUUAUAGGGUACUACAAAAAAUAAAAUUUAAAAACAAUAAAUAUUUUUUUUUUAUGAAAAUAAAAUGUUAAAGAAUACCUGGUCUCCAUUCCAAAGUAGUUCAAAAUUGCGACCACUUAAUCUUAAUUCAACAAGAUUCUUCGGACUAAAAUUUGACGGCAUAGAUUUCAGCAUGCAAUUCUCCCAAUGAAAAUACCUUAACUCAUCAGGAAGAGAUUUAAGACCUUUGUGCGAAGGAACCAACAUACCUCCCUUCCCAGAAAAAGUAGGAUCAUAGAAUUUGAUAAUUCUAAGAUUAGGCAUCCUUGCGAAAGCACGUGGAUGUAACUGUACUUCAUUAUUAAUUUGAGACAGGUCUAAUAAUAUUCCCUCCACUGAUUUCGUCCCCUAUAAUCAACAGCAAACAAUAAUUUACCGUAAUGCAUCAAACAUUUAUCAAGUCAAGAUGAGCAAGAAAAAAAGAAGAAAAGUUAGUUCAGUUAGCUCUUACCUUGCCCUUCUUUAACACUUUACAAACAUCAUCUGAAUUCCAUAAUCUACUACAUUCUUCUGCCCAUCGAGAUUCUGAACUGAUAAUUAUCCUACCCAUCUCUUGUAGCAAAUCAUGCAUGCCAAGCUUGUUCUCUUUUUUAUUCAAUGCACUUUCCCAAUAUGCUUUGUUCUUCUCACAAACAGUAGAACCCAAGACUUUAAGAGCUAGCGGAACGCCUUUAGCAUAUUCCAAAAACUUAUUUGAUACAUCCUUAUAAUCAUCAACAAGGCCGUUUUGCUUGAAGGCAUGCAGCGAAAAAAGCUUAAUGGAGUCAUUGUAACCUAAUCCCUUAGCCUUGUACGUUUCAUCAACUGAUCCAUUUAUAAGGACUUGUUUGUUUCUGGAUGUUAUAAUGAUUCUACUACCAGAACCAAAGUGGUCAUGGCUAAUUUCUAAUUUUUCUAAUUGGUCCCAAUCAUUGACAUCAUCAAGGACAAGAAGAACUUUCUUACGACGGAGUCUAUCCUUAAUGAGAAAGGGCAUUCUAGGAGUACCGAUAUGGAGGCCGUGCUGGUUUAAUAAUUGGGAAAGAAGUUGAUCCCGCAGAGUGAUUGCAUUUGCAACAGGUGUUUCUAACUUCUCUCUAACAUCUGCCAAGAAAUAAUAACUUUCAAAUUGACCACGGACUUCAUCAUAUAUAGCUUGAGCAAGAGUUGUUUUGCCUAUACCAGGCAUUCCCCAUAUCCCAAUAAUACGAACAUCCUCCCCUCCAAUGCACAACAGUGAUUUGAUUUGCUCCAUACGAGGAAAUAUUCCAAUGAGUCCUUCGCAAUCACCUUUAGACAACCGAUCCAACUUGUUUACAAUAUCUUUAACAAUAUCCUCAAUGACUGUGGGCUCAGGCCUAUCGAAUAACCAAAAAUAAAGAAAUGAGUUAAGCCUAAGGUAAUGAAGAUUAUAUGAACAAAACUUACGCUUCUUAAGGGAAAUUUUUUAAAACAAAAAAAUUCAAAAGAAAAUUAACCAACUUAGUGCAAGAAGCUUAGAGUAAGAAAAACAAACACUUACUUAUCUCCAGCAAUGUGCCACCCACUUAAACCGGCAGCUUUAGUCAAAGCGAGUCUCCACCCCUUAACCUUGUCUAUCCUGUUUCUUUCAUGGUCAACAAAAGCUUCUUCAAAACUCCCUUUUAGUUUUCGUAUAUCGGAUGGGUUAACAUGGUAGAAAAUGGGUACCACAAGUUGUCCUCGUGAAUCCCUGCAUUCCAUUAUCUUGGAGAGUUCAUCUAAGCACCAUGAUGAAGUAGCAUACGUCUGAGAAAAAACUAUUACGGAAAUCAUUGAUUUUUCGAUUGCUUCCAACAGUGCGGAAGAAAUUUCCUCUCCCCUUGGAAGUUCUUUGAAAUCAGCAUAAGCUCCAACCCCUUUUCCUUUCAAAGCUUCAUAUAGGUGACUGAGGAAGGUAUUGCGUGUGUCUUCACCUCUAAAACUCAGGAAAACAUGAUGCUUUGCUUGAGUUAAGGAAGCAGAAGCAGAGGAAGAGGAAGCCAUAACAGAGAACAAGAAGGUUUUGUGAUGUUGAGUCUGUAACACAGUAGGAAAAAAAAGUGAAUAAUGAACGCAACUAAAAAGACUCCAAGGUGAAAAAGAAAGAGAAGCAACGCGGAACCAUCAUAUGGCAAAGGAGUCAAGCAAAAGGAGAAUUACAGAUUGAUGCAAUGCAAUGAGAAUAUUGAAUAAUUGUGAACACAGUAAAAGCAGUUAUCAAUAAGCAGCGAUUCAAUCGUCCGUAUCAUUUUUUCGAUUAAAUGAUUUUGAGUUCGAAUUUUAUCGACAAUUAAGAGUAUAAAUAAUAUAUUGAUAUUUAUAAAUUAUUUAAAUUAGAUUAAAAUAAAAUUCAAAUAAUUUAAUCGAGUUUGAAUUAAAAUAAUUUGAUUUAUCGAUCGAGUUAAAUUAAAAUAUUUUUAUAUUCGAUUCGAAUAGUUAUUGAGUUUGAUUAAAUUUUUAUAUUUAAAUGUAUUUUUAUUAUUUUAAUUAAUAAAAUAUCUUAAAAUUUCAGUUCGAAUUUAAACAUAAAUAAUUAAAUUUUUUAUUUAAUAUAAAAAAUUAAAUUUAUUUUUAUAUAUUAAUCGAAUGAACUCGAAUAACUUAAUUUUUAUCUCGAAUUAAAUUUGAAUUAAAAAAAUAAAAUUUAAUUGAGUUCGAAUCAAGUAUUAAGUUUUAAAUUUCGAAUUGAAUUCGAAUUCGAGUUCAAGUUUAAUAUUAUAUCAAUUCGAACUCGAUCGAUUAUAUUUUUAUUGAUAAUUAUUUAUUGAGAUUAUUUUAAAUAUUUAACUUAUAAUUAUUUAUUUUAAAUUAUUAAAUAUGAUAUAUUUUAUUAUAACGGAUUAAAUAAUUUAUUUAUUUUCGAAUUUUUGUUAAAAAAAGAGUAAAAGCAGUUUCCCUUUUAUCAAUUUUAUAAGUCUGUUCUUUUUUCAAUAAAUUUUUUAUGUAUGACAGUGAGUAAAUAUUCUCGGUCCACCGCAAGCAACGAGGAAUGGUACAUUAAAAGAGUAAAGCAAAUUGUAAAAUGUCUUUGGAUUGCAUUUGGUGGGGUACGGAGUGACAGAAGAAAGACAAAGCAACGCGGAAUCGUACGCUAAAAGAGUAAAGCAGCAAAUUGUAAAAUUAUCAUUGGAUUUCGUUUGGUAGGGUGCAAAUGUAAUAUGUUAAAAAUUCAAUUAAUCUUAAAACCUUAAAAUUGCUUAUAUCGAGAUAUUAGUUAUAACUUAUGAGUAUAAAUCAUUAAAGUUAUCAGGGGAUGGUUUUUUUCUUAAAACCACAGAUUUUUUUAUAUAAAUCAAUGUUUUUAAAAUCCACAAAGUUAAGGAUUAGUUUUUAAAGUAUAUUUAUAAAAAUUAAUAAAUUAUUUCACUAGUAAGAUUUAAAUACUCCAUCAUUAGUAUAAAAUUAAUAAUUUAUUAAUUAUUUUAUUUUUAUUUUAUUUUAUAAAAAGACAUGAAAAAAUUAAAAUAAAAAACCUUAAUUUAAAAAAGGUAUGUUGAUUAUAUUCUACAAAACAUUUUGUAGUUAAAAUAAUGGUUAUUAUUGUCAAGAGUGACAUGUGUGUGUAGUGAUAGCAACAGGUCGGAUCGAAAUUGAUUUUUGCUCGUCUCGAAUUCGAUCCGACUUUAAACAUAUAAAAUUCGUAUAUGUACUUGACCCGACAAAUUUUUUUAUUUUUAAUACUCAAAUUCGAUCUGACCUGAUAUUGUAUAAAAUCAAAUUCGACUCAAUUUGACCUUAAAUUAAUAAAAUAUUAUUUUAAAUAUAAAUAUAAAAUUAAUUAAUUAAUUAAUUAAAAAAAUAAUUUUUUUAUAUAUAUCAGGUCGGAUUUGCCUAAAACCCGACCUUGAUCCGAACCCGAAAUUCUUCUAAUGCUACCUGAUUCUACUCGACCCGAUACCUGAUUUUCAAAAAAAAACUGACCUUAAAUGAUCGAGUUGGAUCGAAACCUAUCGAUUUCGGGUAUUGUUGCCUUCCCUAUGUGCUUGCGAAAUGAGAUAUAGGGCUCAUUAUUUUUAAAAGAAAUUAUUUGAUAACAUAUAUUUUAUUUUUUAUAAAUUAAUUUUUUUAAAAUUUAUACUAAAAAAUAUAUAUUAUAAUUAUAAUGUUAUUUGUUAAAUUAAAAAAAUCUCAUACCAAUGUAUUUAAUAAAUUUUUUUAUUUUAAUCUUUUAUUAAAAAAAUAAAAAUCUCACUUAUCAUGUCUCGAAUCUAUAAAUAAUUAUUUUUUAUUACAGGAAGAACUAAUAAAUAAUCAUUAGAGUUGGCAUCGGGGCGGGGCGGGGCGGUUUUUUGCUUUCCCCGCCUCCGACCCGAUGCUUCAAUAUUUUACCCGAUACCCGAUCCGUACCCGCUCGAAGGUUGUUAUUGAAAAACCCGACCCCGACCCGCUAGAAUAUUUUUUACCCGAAUUUAACCCGACCCGACCCGAAUUCAAUAUACUACCUAUUUAAAUUUACCAAAAAUGUAAUAAAUUAUAAUCUAAAUAUAUUACAAGCAUUAACAAAUUUAACAUAAUCACUCAUAAAUUCAAACUUAAUACAUACUAUUUUUUUAUCUAGUAAAAAUCUCAUAAAUUCUCAUCAUAAAUAAUAUAAUUAUAAAAUACAUAAAAUAUAGUAAAUUCAAACUCACAAAUUCUUACCAUAGAUGAUGGAAUUAUGAAAUAUAUAAAACUUAGUAAACUAAAAUUCAAAUAUUAAACAAGCAUAAGUUAAUAACUAAAUUUAAACAUAAUACAUGAUACAAGAUGAACAUCAAAAGCUUAAAUCACCACAAUAAAAGCUAAACUGUUUGAACAUCCUUUCAUCCAACAUGAUAAAAAUCUUUCAAGACCAUAAUAAAUCAUUCCAUCAUCACUAAGCUCCAUAUCAUCAUUCUCCUGUAACCACACUAGUCCUAUAAAAUAAAACAAUAAGAUGAAUAAAUAAAUCUCAUAAAAUAAUAUAUUUAAAAAUAAUAAUAUAAAAAUGAAUUAAUUAAAAAAAUAAUAUUAUUUACCAAACUAGUUAUCUUUUCCUCAAUCUCACUCUCAUCAACAUCUUCGUAAAAAUACUUUUCUUCUAAUAAAAUUGACCCUACAAAUAAAAAAAUAAACUAUUAACAAAUAAUAUAUAACAACAAAAUAUAAUAACUAACAAUAUGCUAAAAUAAAAAAUAAAAUUGCAUAAUAUAUAUUAUUGUACCUUCUUCUUCAACCCAUAACCAAUUUUGACAACAUGUUAAAGCUUCUAUAGUUGAUGGAUGAAGUCUAUUACGUUGCGCACUCACUAAUCUCCCUCCGGUACUAAAAGUAGACUCUGAAGCAACAGUAGAAACUGGUAUGGCAUAAAUAUCUCUAACAAUAAGUUGUAAGGUCGGAAAUUGAGGUCCAGUUAGUUUCCACCAAUUCAAUAUAUCAAAAUCUCCUUUUCUUGGUAUGACUUCUUCAUCCAAAUAGCGAUCUAACUCUGACUUUACUUUUGAUUUUUUCUUUUUUUUCCUUGAAACAAAAUCAUCAUAGUCUCCCAAAUUUCCCAAUUCAGUAGCAUCAACACCAUCUAAGAAUGAAAAGCUUGAACUAGAAGGUCCUUCUUCCUUUUUCAAAGCCAAUUUCUCCUCAUACUCCUUAACCAAAUCCCGACAUAUUUGUACAAUCCUUUCAAUUUCAAAUUCAGCAUUUUCUCCAUAAAUCUUUUCAAAGUAAUACUCCAACAACUCUGUUUUGUAUCUUGGAUCUAAAAUUGUGGCAACACCCAUUAUACCAUGCACAUCAUUCCAAUACUUUUCAAAUUUGCCUAACAUGCUCACAGCCAUACAUGAAAUAAUUCUAUUGGUAUGCAUAAUCCAUUCAUUCAAUGCCAAUCUGAUUUUGCAAACAUUAGGAAAAUAAAGAUUUGCAGUAGCAUAUUUUGUGCCAGAAAAACCUUCAGUGAUAUCAUAAAACAAUUUCAACUUCUCACAAAUCUCAGUUGCAAUGAUCCAAUCAUUUUUAGUUGGCAAAUAUUUGUACAAAAGAUCACCAUGUAAUUGCACACAACGAGGAAAGACAUCUUUAUAAAACAAAGCUGUUCGAAGCAUUAAGUAAGUAGAGUUCCAUCGUGUUUUGACAUCAACACACAACUUUUUUAAAGUUGGAAUGCGCAAUUGACGCGCUGCCUCUUCAAAUUUUUCCCAUCUCUUUGGUGUAGCACUCCAAAAGAGGACACUAUCACGAAUUCUAUCAAUUCCAUCUCCAAUCACACUUAAUCCAUCUUUCACAAUCAAAUGCAAGAUGUGUGCACAACAACGCAUAUGAAAAAAAGUCCCACUAAGCAAAAGUGCAUCACAACCAAUUCUAUCAAUUAACAACUCAAUAACACCAUCAUUCACACUACAAUUAUCCACUGUAAUAGAUGAAAGUUUUCUAUCAAUAUUCCAAUCUAAGAAACAUUUCAUCAAACUUGAAGUAAUGACCUCUUUCGUAUGUGGAGUUGGCACAUAUUCAAACCUAAUUAAACAAUCAAUUAUUUACACUAAUUUAAUAAUUAAUUCAAUAAUAAUAAUUACUUAAUAAAAAAUGAACAAUAUCAAAAUAAGACAAUUUAAUAAAAUAUACCUGAUGAUGCGUUUUUGUAAGUUCCAUUGAUUAUCGAUGUAAUGAGCAGUGACAGCCAUGUAUCCUCUUUUUUGGUGAUCAGUAGUCCACAUAUCAGUUGUGAUAGCAAUUCUCCCUUCAUUAGCUUCCAACUUAGAUAUUGUCUUUGCCUUUUCCUCUCUGAAAAUCUUUAAAAUAUCACUCUUUAUAGUAUUUCGAAAAGGCAUAGCAAACAAACGUUGGAGACUGUAAGAAUACUUUCUGAAUUGCACAUGAUCAACCAUUGAUAAGGGGUAUUCAUGCAUGAUUAUCAUCUUGGCAAGCUCCCUCCUUGUGACAUUUUGAUCAAAGGAAAAGUUUUUUAAUGUUAAUUUUCCAUCUGCCUUCCUUUGAUUUGCUAGCAACACUUGUUGACGAAUAUCCAUUUGAAAUCGUUUACUGCACCUCUCUGAAUGAUCACGCAAAUGACUUGUCCCAUUCUUAGAAGCACCACCAAGUUUUUUCUUACAAUAAUUGCAUAUUGCCUUCCAUUCAUUAUUGAUCUUCUCUUUUCUAAAAUGUUUCCAUACUUCUGAUUUUAACUUACUUGAGUUAUACCCACUAUUAUCAACUUCAGCACCCUCGUUAGUCACACUUAAUGAUAGAGUUGUAUUUUCGUCAGAUGUUGGAAUAGGAGUUUGCUGAAUUGGUGACUGAUGUGAGGUAGAAGUAGGAGGUGUUGGGGAACACGAAUUAUCUCCCAAAUUAGACAUUUCACCUUCAUUCAUAAAAAAAAAAAAUUAGAGUUAUUAUUUUUUAUAUUAACAAAUAAAGCAACUAAAUAAAUUAACUGUUACUAAAAGCAUAAGGACAACUAUUCUUUUUCACGUUUCUCAGCAUCCAUUUCUCAAGACUUUAAUAUUGUACUUAAGUUUCCUUAAAUUUCUUUAAAACAAAACUGGAAUUCCAACUUGCCAUUGGAGAUUUUAGGCCUAUCAUAUAUUAGAGAGCAUGAUUAUUUUUACUCAUUUUUUCUUGCAAAAAGAAAAUAACAGUAAAAGUCUAGUGUAAUAAUUUUUUCCUUUGAUAGUUCAUAUCAUCCAAUUCAAACAGUUACUCUAGCAUUGACUCCAAGCAACAAAAGCAUUUAAUCACAAACUGAAAAUGAUGAUUUUAUACAGACUUUUCUAGGUUGAGACCCACAAGUAAACAUAAUAUUAACUAUUCUCCCUAUUGUCACAACUAACAAGCCUCAAUAAGGUAAUACUAACAAACCUAACUAAUGACACUGGUACAUUCAAUUCAAGCAUAUUAUAUUGGUCUAGAGAUAGAUUCACAAAGAACAUUAAAAAAUUUGAAACAGAAAUUUUAUUCACAAACACAUAGUCGCCCACUUACUGAGUGAACAGUGAGGAUAUUCGAAACUGAAUGCUGCCGAAUCAGUCAACAUAGUCGUCCGAACUGCGCAGUUGAUUGUCAAGGACCUACGUUAGUUUAGAUGACCUAUCUGGUCAAUAAGACCAGAUAAAUGGAUGCGCCAAUCUUGUCCACCCAGCGUCUUCCAAAGUCCAUGUUUGGCAGAAGAGGACUAGCAGACAAUGCGUCCCAAAUUUGGUUCCAACCAGUCGCCCACCACUGCCUGAGGUCGAUCCGUCGGAAGGGAUUACGCCAGAACUGGAUGCGCCCAAAUCUGGUUCCAACAAGACCCCCAGUCUGGAUGCGCCCGAAUCUGGUUCCAACCAGUCGCCCACCACUGCUUGAAGUUGAUCCGUCAGAAGGGACUACGCCCAGAACUGGAUGCGCCCAAAUCUGGUUCCAACCAGUCGCCCACCACUGCCUGAGGUCGAUCCGUCGGAAGGGACUACGCCAGAACUGGAUGCGCCCAAAUCUGGUUCCAACAAGACCCUCAGUCUGGAUGCGCCCGAAUCUGGUUCCAACCAGUCGCCCACCACUGCCUGAGGUCGAUCCGUCGGAAGGGACUACGCCCAGAACUGGAUGCCCCUAAAUCUGUUCCAACCAGUCGCCCACCACUGCUUGAGGUCGAUCCGUCGGAAGGGACUACGCCCAGAACUGGAUGCGCCCAAAUCUGUUCCAACCAGUCGCCCACCACUACCUGAGGUCCAGUCGCCCACCACUGCCUGAGGUCGAUCCGUCGGAAGGGACUACGCCCAGUCGCCCACCUGCCUGAGGUCGAUCCGUCGAAACAAAAGGGACUACGCCAGAACCGGAUGCUCCCAAAUCAAUUAGUAAACAAACAAGAUUUUCGGCAAAAGAAACAAAAUUCAGAACCCUAAAAGAAAUUACUUAUAUAUAUAGUAAGGGUAUUUUGGUAAAUAUCUCGGGUCGGGUCGGGUUUCACAUAAAAUCGACCCCGACCCGAAUCCGACAUUUUUAAAAAUAAAACCGACCCGAACCGACCCGAAACCCGUUUUUUCAAAAAAAAAAUCCGCCCCUAAAUAAUCGGGUCGGAUCAAAACCCGACGGUUUCGGGUUAAUUUGCCGACCCUAAUAAUCAUCCAUCAUGUCAUAAAUUUAUGCAAUUAAAAAUACCUAUAGUAUCCAUUUAAAGUGAUUGUUAUAAAUUAAAAAACUUUAAAAAAUUUUAUUUCAAUUGAAAGGUUAUGACUCAAGCUAUACUUUCUUUUUUUUGCUAUUUAAUUUCUGUUUUUUUUUUUUUGUAAAUAUUUCAGUCAAUAUAUUUUAUAAAAGAGACGUGUAAAAAUUAAAAUAAAAAAACCAAUUUAAAAAAAUAUGUUACCUAUAUUGCACAAAACAUUUUGUGAUUAAAAUAAUGGUUAUUAUUAUUAAGAAUGAUAGGUGCAUGCGAUAGGAGGUAUCAAGGCUCAUUAUUUUUAGAAGAAAUUAUUUGAUAUAAUAAUAAUGAAAUUUUUUUAAUUUUAUAAGAUUAAGAUGGUAAUAUAUUUUUAUUUUUUUAAAUUAAUUUUUAAAAUUUUUAAAUAUAUAUUAAAAAAACAUAUGUCAUUAUUUUAAUUUUAUUCAUAAAAUUAAAAAAUUUUAUCAUUAAUAUAUUUAAUAAUUUAUCUAUUUUUAAUCUCCUGUUAAAAAAGAAAAAAUAAAAAUAGUUUCCCUUUUAUCAAUUUUAUAACUUUCUAUUUCUUGCUUCAAUAAAUACUUUUAUGUAUGUAGGAUAUUCUCAAUAUUGUUGGCCCACUUUAUCAAUUUGUUAUUACCCCAAAGCAAAUUAAAAAAUGUCUUCCGUUAGUUUGGUGGGUACAAAGUGACAAAAGAAAGAAACAAUGCGGAAUCGUACAACAAACGAGUAAACCAAAAUGUCUUUGGAUUCCAUUUGGUGGGGUACAAUGUGACAAAUCGUCAAAAAGAACGACGAGCAACGCGGAAUCCUACAAUAAAUGAGUAAACCAAAUUGUAAGAUGUCUUUGAAUUCUGUACGGUGGGGUGCCAAUUUACUUUGUUGAAAAUUCUACAAAGUGAACACCAAUGUUUUAACAUUACCAGUUACAUUCCUACUAUUUGAAAGGACGAAAUAUUUUUUUUUUUAAUUUUUAUUUCUUGAUUUCGUUAGGUAGGGUGCAAACGUACCAUGUUAAAAAUUCUACAAAGUGAAAAAGAAAGAGAAGGAACGCGGAACCAUCAUACAUAGCAAAGGAGUCAAGCAAAGGGAGACUUACAAAUUGAUGCAAUGCAAUGAGAAUAUUGAAUAACUAGUUUACUACCAAUGUGUGGAUUAUCUUUAGUUAUUUAAAUAUAUUUUAAAAUAUAAAUUAAUAUUAUUUAAUUAUUCAUGUAUUCAAAAAAUAUAUAAUACAUAUAUUAUAAUUAAGAUAUCAAAUCAUAAUAAUUUGAUUAUAAAUAUCUUUUGAAUAAAAUUAUAUAAAAUGAUAUAUGUGUUUUUAAAUUUUAAAAAAUAAAAGAUUAUAAGGAAAGUUACCAAUAUAAAAAUAUUCAUUUGAAAAUUUUAAAUUAGAAAAUAGAUAUUUUUAGGUGAAAUUUUAAUCAAAUAAGAUUAAUUUUUUAAGUUUUUAAAUAUUUUUAUUAUAAUUUAUUGAGAUUUUUAUUUUUAGGAAAAAUCAUACAGAAUUAAUUAUAGAUAAUUUAGAUAAGAUUUUAUUUUUAAAAAAUUUGAUAUUUAAAUUAAAGUUAUGUAUAAUAGGUAUUAUUCAUAUGUCAAAAAAAUGUCCAUUUAAGCAUUCAAGUGGUAAAUUUUAUCAUAUAUUCUUAUAUAUAUAUAUAUAUAUAUAUAUAUGAUUGAUACAAAUUACCAAUAAUAUUUAUGGAAAAAGAAAUAUCAAGGGAGAAAAUUGUUUAAAAAAAAGUUUAUAUUACUUUUUUACCCUCAAUACUGUUUAUCGUAACGAAAAAAAGUUGUUUUUUAUUUGCAAGAAUCUAAACUUUUUUUCAUUUUAACCCUGCUCAUUUGGUUUUUAGGGUCGUCGUUUUUUAAAAAUCUAUUAUUCUUUUUUAAUUUGAUUUUUUUUGUUCAUUCUAAGGUAAUUAUUGUUGGUUUAAAUUGUGGAAUGUAAUAUUUUCUAAAUUUUAAUGAAGAUAAAAGAUACACAUAAAUUUUCAAUAUGAUGUAAGAGAUUUCAUCGAUGAAUUUAUCUUUUAAAAUACAAAAAGAUGCUAUUUUGAAUCUAAACCAAAAAACAAAAAAAAAGAUUUCACAGAUAAAUUUUUUUGGGUUGUGCAAUAUACAUAUAAACUGUACAUGUUGCCAAUCUAACACGUACAAUAUGUUAGUUUUAUAUUUACAUAAUAAACUUGACGUAAAAAAAUAAAUAUAUAUGAUUUUAGACAUCAUUUAAUUUUCUAAAAUAUAUAAAAAUAAGUUUUAAACAUAUCAUUAUAAAUUAAUGUUGAAAUAUUGAAUUUUUAAUCACCAAAUAUCUUGGAAUCGGAAAUGUACAUAUAACUAGUAUGUACGUAAAUUUAAUGCAAAAUAUAUGUAAAAUAAUUCUAGUUAUAUAUGCACUAAUAAAUUUUAAAAGAUCAACAUUGUUAAUUUCAAUAGAAAAAAAGGUAUGCAUUGGAGAAAAAAUACGGGGGAAGUUAGGAGCUUUAAAAUUGCUUAAUUAUUCUUUUUUGGCCUUACACCUUUAUUUGAAUUAUCAUUUUUAAUUAUAUUAUAUUCAAUUAAUCUUAAAUUUUAAAAUUGCUUAUCUUGUGAUAUUAGUUGCAAAUAAUGAGUAUACAUAAUUAGCUAAGUUAUCAGGUGAUUUUUUUUUCCUUAAAAUUUACUGUUUUUUUGGAAAAAAUUAUUUGAUAUAUUGGUAAUAAGAUUUAUUAAUUUUACAAGCAAAAUUAAAAGGAUAAUGUAUAUUUUAUUUUUUUAAUUAAUCUUUUUAUUUUUUAAAUAUAUAUUAAAAUACAUAUAUCACCUUUUAUUUUUUUAUGAAAUUAAAAAUUUUAUCAUCAUAUAUUUAAUAAUUUUUUAUUUUUAAUCCCUUGUUUGAAAAAGUAAAAGUAAUAGCAGUUUCCCUUAAUUUCUAUUUCCUUGUUCAAUAAAUAAUUUUGCAUACGACUGUAAGUACUCAUAUUCUUGGUCCACCGCAACAAUUUGCAACUACCCUCGAGCAAAUUGGAAAAUGUCCUAGAUUCCGUUUGGUGGGGUACAAAGUGAGCAACGCGGAAUCGUACACUAAAGGAGUAAAGCAAAUUGUAAAAUGUCUUUGGAUUUCGUUUGGAGGGGGUGCAAAUGUACUUCGUUGAAAAUUCUACGAAGUGAAAAAAGAAAGAGAAGGAACGCGGAACCAUUGUCAUAGCAAAGUAGUCAACCAAAGGGAGACCUAUAAAUUGAUACAAUGCAAAGAGAAUAUUGAAUAAUUGUAACACAUUACUAAUAUUAUUUAUGGAAAAAGAAAUAUCAAAAGAAAAUUGUAUAAAAAGGAAGGUUGUAUUACUUUUUUACCCUCACCACUAUCUAACUUGAAGAACAAAUGUGUUUUUAUUUCCAAGAACCUAACCCUUUUUUUUCAAUGUAAACAUGUUCAUUUAUUUUUUAAGGUUGCCAUCUUUUUAUAAAAUCUAUUAUAUCUUUUGCAUUUGAUUUUUUUUUUUCAUUAUAAGGUAAUUAUUAAUGAUUUGAAUCGUGGAACGUAAUUGUUUUUCUAAAUUUUAAUAAAGAUAAAAAUUUACACUUAAACUUUCAAUUUGGUGUAAAAGAUUUCAUUGAUGAAUUUAUCUUCUAAAAUACAAAAGAUGCUAUCCUUCGACCUUAACAAAAAAUGGAUUUCAUUGAGUUGUGAAAUAUAAAUAUAAACUUAAUAAUAUGUACAUGCUGUUAAACUGAUAUGAACAAUAUACCAGAUUUAUAUGUACAUAAUAAACUUGAUGUAAAAAAAAUUGUGCAUGAUUUUAGACAUCAUUUAAUCUUCUGAGAUCAUCUUUGAUAAAAAUAAUGAUAUAUAGAAUACGAUGAUAAUCAUCUUAAAUUAUAUUUAUAUUAUAGAUAAAAAAAAAGAUUAUAAAGAGGAUUAUCAUUUUUUUUAUAUAAAAUGAUUAAAUUUUAAAAUUAUAAUAAAAUUUUAAAUUUUAUAAAAUUAAAAAAAAUAAUUUUUAUCAAUAAAUAAUUAUAUCUUAAUAUUUAUGCAUAUCAAAUAUAAGAUAAAAUAAUAUUAUUUAAUAUAAUUUUAUUAUAAUAUCAUUUCAUCUUAUCUUAUCAUAAUAAAAAAAUUAUAUGUACAAUUGAAUCUAAUUAUAUCUACACCGAUAAAUUAAAAAAUAAAAAACUCAACGUUGUCGAAAAUACUAAUUACAGUGGAAAGAACGAGAAUGCAUGGGAGAGAAAAAGACGAAAGAAGGCAGAAGCUUAAAAUCAACUACUUGUAUUAUUGGUUUUGCAUUUUUUUUGUCUUAUUAUACCUUUAUUUGAAUUAUUAUUUUUAAUUACAUUAUAUUCAAUUAAUCUUAAAAUUUUAAAUUGCUUGUCUUCUAAUAUUAGUUACAAAUUAUGAGUAUACAUAAUUAACUAAGUUAUUAGAUGAUUUUUUUUUCCUUAAAAUCCACAGUUUUUGGGAUAAAUCAAUUUUAUAAAAUCCAUAAAGUUAAGGAUUAAUUUCUAAAAUAUAUUUAUAAAAAUUAAUAAAUAAUUAAAUUAUUUCACUUGUAAAGUUUAAACACUCCAUUAUUAAUAUAAAAUUAAUAAUCUUUAGUUAUCAUAUAUAAUAUUAUUUUAUAACAUACGUAGAGAUUUGAUAAAAUUUAUUUAAAUGGACGUUUAAGUUGAUGGUUUCUCUUUUCGAUAUGUAGAAAAUUUUUUAAAAUUUCUUUUUGUAAUGAUGUGUAAAACACUUUCUAAUUUUAAGUUAUUUAUCAAAAAAUAUAUUUUUAAAAAUUAUUUAAUUAUCCAAAAAUUUUAAAUUUAGUUGGAAGAUCAAUUCAAUUACUCUUAAAUUGCUAACAACAAAAUAUAUUUUAAACAUAUUAAUUUUUAAAAAUACAUUUUCAAAUAAUCUAAGUAUAUAUAUAUAUUUUUAAUUUAAAAUUUCAAAUACAGCGAUAUAUUAUCUUUUAAAUAAUUUUUUGAUAAUAUAAAUAUAUAUUUUUAAAUCUAAAAAUCUCAAAUGAAAUGAUAUUAUAAAAUAAAUUUUUUAAUAGUUUAAAUAUAUAUCAAAUUAAAUUUGAAAUUUUAAAAUAUAACUUUUAUUUUUAUUAGAGAUUUCAUAAUAAUCCUUUAUUAUUUGGUUAUUUUUAAAUUUAGAAAGAUCAAAUAUUAUAUACAUUAGAAGAUAACUUACUAUUUAAUGAUACUCUCAAUGUUUUUUUUUUUUUUCAACCUUAGUGCUUGAAAAGAAAUAAUUUUUUAACCUGUGAGAUAUAAAAAAGUUUUUGUUAUAUUUUUAUAAUUUUUUUAUAUAUGAUAAUAUUUUUUAUAAAGAAACAUGUAAAAUUUAAAAUAAAAACAUUAAUUUAAAAAAGUAUCUUGUUUAUAUUCCGUAAAACAUAUUUGUGGUUAAAAUAAUGACUAUUCUUAUUAAGACUGACAAGUGCGUGCGAUGUGAGGUAUCGAUGCUCAUUAAUUUAAAAAAAAAUUAUUCGAUAAAUUAAUAAUAAAAGUUUUUAAUUUUACAAGGAGAUUAAAAAAAGUAAAAGUAAAAGUAAAAACAGUUUCCCUUUAUCAAUUUUGUAACUUUCUUUUCCUUUUUGAAUAAAUAUUUUUAUGUAUGACCAUGACUACUCAAUAUUCUUGGUCCACUGCAUCAAUUUGUUAUUACCCCUCAAACAAAUUGAAAAAUGUGGAUUCCGUUUGGUGGGGUGCAAAGUGACAAAAGAAAGACAAGCAAUGCGGAACCGUAUAAUAAAAUAGUAAAGCAAAUUGUAAAAUGUCUUUGGAUUUCGUUUGUUGGGCGAGUGGGGUGGAAACGUACUCUGUAGAAAAUUUUACAAAGUGAAAAAAGAAAGAGAAGGAACGCGGAACCAUCAUACAUAACAAAAGAGUCAAGCAAAGGAAGAAUUACAAAUUGAUGCAAUGCAUUGAGAAUAUUGAAUAAUUGUAACAUUGCUAAUAAUAUUUAUGGAAAAGAGAUAUAUCAAGUGAGAAAAUUGUAAAAAAAAAAAAAAGGAAAUUUAUAUUACUUUUUUACCCUCUCCUUUAACUAGCAUUAAAAACAAACGUGUUUUUCUUUCCAAGAACCUAACCCCUUUUAUCAAUGUAACCCUGCUCAUUUAUUUUGUUAAGGUUGCCAUUUUUUUUUUAUAAAAUCUAUCAUAUGCAUAAAAUUUUUUAAAUUCGUAUUUUUCUUUAUUUAAUGGGUAGCGACAAUUCUGUAACUCUUUAAAAAAAAUAAAAAGAUAAUUUUUUUUAAUUUUUUAUUAAUUUUUUAUAAACAUAUUUUUAAAUGAAAAAAUAUAUUAAAUAAUAGGAUCAUUUAAAACUUAUAAAUAUAUAUUUUAAAUGAAAAUAUAUUAUAUCUAAGUAUUAAUAAAUUGGUAAAGAAUUUAAAACUAAAAAAUCACCAUGAAGGCAAAAAACAAGAUGCAAGAUAAAAAGAUGCAGGAUAAAAAUUCAGUUGAGACCCAAAAUACUAUAAUGGAGACAAAUAUUAAAAAAAAACCCAAAAAAUAAAAAAAGAAAGGAUGUACAAUAUGCCAAAAUGUAGCAUCAUUUUAUUUAACAAAUAGUGUCUUUUGUUAAAGGACUAAAAAUAAACAAGCAUUUUCUGUGUAAACACCAUUUAUUAUUAUUAUUAUUAUUAUUAUUAUUAUUAUUAUCAUUAUUUUCCUAUUUUUUCUUUUUUUUUCUUUCUUCUUCUUCCUUAUUCGAUUCAAGUUGACUAAGGUAUGAGUGUAUUAAAUGCACCAUCACCAAAGUCUAAAAUACCAGCGAUCGUCACUAUCGACAACCGUUUGACACACUGCCUAACUUAGCAGGGUGAAUUUUAGGUUUAAAAAAAUAGGAUUCGAAUCCCAAAAAAAUAUGAUAUUUAAAUCCCAAAAAGCUCUAUAAAUAGAGCUUGUUACUUGCAAGAAAAAAAAACUACCAAAAAAAUUGCAAAAAAAAAGCAUUCUGUAAAAAAAAUACCAAAAAAUAAAAAUAAAAAAAUCUAGAAACACAGUCCCCUAGAAUGGAGAACCCAGCGUAAAAAAAAAACACCUACAAAAAAAAAUCAAGUUAGAAUACAUAAAAAAAAAAUUUUUUUGUCGAAACUUCCAGGCCAAAUUGUGCCGUUUAGGAUACUUUCAGGUGAAAUGGAUACUGGAUCUGUGUUUAGAGAGUUGAGGAGAACAUUUUAGGUGAUUUUGACUUUUUUCGAUCAUCGACGACAACGAUCACCUAUCGACAAUGGCGGCGGCAACCGACCGGCCACAUGCUUUUGGCUAAAGAGAAAAAAAAGAGGGGUAUUUUUUGUGGGAGAGGAGAAAUGACCAAAAAAAAUUUUGGACUUUUAUAUAAACUGCCAAUAGCCAAAAUGACGUUGUUUCAAUAAACACCCAAAAUGAUGUCGUUUUGAGCUUUAAGGAUCCACACGUCAACCUCGUGACCUAACCUAGGGUCCGCACACUCGACCCACAACCCGUUUCUCCCUCAACCUCUGACUGGUCCAACUGAACUAAUCCAGACCGAAUCGAACAGUUUCUAAACUGCUUAACCAACCCAGACCGAACCGCUAACACUAGACCACACCGUCUACCGAAUCGAGCAUUGAUCGGACCGUUGACCGAUUCGGUUCAAGUAAAAAAUAUUUUUAAAAUUUUUUUUAUAUAUAUUAUUUUUGUUAUUUUAAUUAUUAUUUUAAAUAUUUUAUGCAUGUUAAAAUAUUAAAAUCAAUAAAAAUAAAAAUUUUAUUGUUUUAUAAUAAUAAAUAAUAAAUAAUAAAAUAUAAUAAAAAGUUUUUUAUAAUUUUGAAUAAACCUUAUAAAAUAAUUGGUAAAAAAAUGUUAAUUAAAUAAAAAUAAUACAAAAUUAAUUAAAAAAUAAGAAAAGAAAAAUUUAUCCAAUGAUGGGAUUCAAAGGUAAUUCAAGUAGUGAUGCCUAUGAAAUCUCUAGGUGAGAAGAUUUUUUUCAAAUACUACCUGUGUAUUGGAGUAUUUAUAAAAAUUUUUCAAUACAAUAAAAUUUUUUUUUUGUUAAUAAUAAAUAAAAAUUAAUUAAUUUAUUAAAAAUAAUAGUAAAAAAUAAGAAAAAAAAAUUUCAUCCAAUGAUGGGACUCUAAAAAUAUUUUGAGUAGUGAUGCUUUACGAAAUUCCUAGGUGAGAAGUUUUUUUAAAAUAUUACUAGUAUAUUAGAAUAUUUAUACAAAAUUUUCAAUAUAAUAAAAUUCUUUUUUUCUUCAAAAUUUCAAUUAAAAAAAAUUAAUAAAACAAUAAAUAAAUUUUCUAAAAAAAGAAUAAAAUGUGCGCAUCAACAUGAUAACAUUCUACAUUGCAUGCACGACAUAAUUUUUUACGAAAAAUAAAUUUGAACCUCUAAGGAUGGGACUUUAAGAUAUUUCGAAAAGUGAUGCCUAACAAAUUUUUAGAUGAAAGAUAGUUUUUUUAAUGUUACCAACGUACUGGAACAUUUUAAGAGUUAUUUCAAUAAAAGGGUUUUAAUUUAUUUUUCUCGAAUAAAAUUUGAACAAUAAAAGAAAAAAAUAAUUUCUAAUAAAAAAAUCAAGAAAAUUAUUUUUCAAAUACCGAAAAUAAGAUUUUUUUUUAUCAAAAUCAAAGGAUAACACGUAGUUAAUUGAUACCGUUUUAAACGGGUAUUAUGGGGAUGCUAAUCUUUCCCUGCAUGUAACCGACUUUCGAACCCAGAUUGUUACGCGGACCUUAAAAUUAUCCCUUUUAAUAAAUUUUAAUUAAUUUUUAAAUUUCAUUAAAAUGAUAUGUUUUAAUAGGUGACCAAUCGCACCUAGCCAAAAAAGAUUGGUGGUAACCCUCAUUUUUUAUUUCGUUUUCAAAUUCUUCAGGCGAACACAAAACUGUUAUGACACCCUGUAUACAAAAAUAGAGAAUAUGUGAUUAAUAUAUGUUGAUCAGCAUCUUCUUGAAGAUAUGAAGUGAAAUCAUCCCAAUAAACUAAAAUAUGGUGUCAAUGGAUUAGAUUUCCUUGAAAUAAACUAAACAAGUUUUGCAUCCAUGAUUAAAGGUUAUUAUUAGUGAAAGGCAAAAAGAAAAUCAUGCUUUUUGUGCAUGCAGUUGGCAGAAGAUGGAGAAUUCAAUAUGGUUUAUCAUGGUUGAAAGUUCGAGUACAAACUACAAUAUCCAAAUUUUCUAUUGGACAAUGGUUAAUUCAUGAACAUAGAUCAGUUCUGCUACAAUGCAACUCCAAGUUGCUUGUAAGAGACUAUAAACACAUUAGAUCUUUCUAUACAUUAACGUAAGCAACUACUUUCUGCUAAUUUUCUAUCUAAUUCUUUUUCUUCAUUUUUUUGGUACGAACUGACACAUCUAUUUCUGUUCAUUUGUACACAUUUUUUUAGAAAGAAUUUGUUGGUGUCGAGCUCCAACUUGAAAGUAUUUUUAAAAAUACAAAAAAAAAGAUGGUUAGAGGUAAAGGUAGGGUAUGUUUCUUGUAUUUACACUUUGACACAUAAGUCAGUAAAGAUCAGGUUAGUAAAAAAGUAGAAAUGAAAGAAAGAAAUGAAUGGAAUGAACCUACCUUAGUGGUUCUUGGAUCUUUAUAAUUAUAGGUAAGCUAUGAGGGACCAUUAGGAGAUAAUAAGGAUAAGACCUAGCUGAGGUGGUACUGAUUAUGUUAUAUCGACUUGACAUGUUAGAUCAGCAUAAAUGAUAAGGAUACCCCUGAUUGUCUGUUGAAAGCUUUGAGAGGAAAAAAACCAUUAUAUCUUUUUUAACCAUUAAAUUCCCUAACACUCUAUCCCUCCAUCAAGUGGUCUAAGUAUCCAAUUAUCAAAUUUAUUACCGACAUCUCUAGCAUAAGACAAAUUAGCUGAAGGAACAAAUUGAAAGCUUGAUUCAUUAAAGGUCGACGCUAAAAGAGAAGGUCGAUUUUAGGGGAUGACUAUCUUUGAGUUAUGGUCUGACCUUGUGGUUAUCCGAUCUCGUACCUGUAUUUUAGAUUGAGUGCAUAAUCGAUUUAAAAGUUGUUAAGACGAUAAUUGUCUAGAGUGAUUUGAGGUUAGUGUUGGAGUUCGUUUGCCCAUGGUAAGACUUGUAUUUUAUUUCAAAAAUUUAUAUUUGAGCCUCUAUUUUAAACUUUUAAGGUGAAUUAGGCUAUCGGUUUACCCUAGACGAUUGUUCGAUUUAACCAAUCUGACCUGAGGUUCAUCUAGUAAGAUUAGUUUAAUAGUAUUAAAUGAGGAGAAAGGUGGUUUGAGCAAAAAAAAUUUAAAGUGGGAUAACGAAAAGUCAUCUUCUCACCUUUACUUUGACACGUGAUGCAGACCAUGUCAUUUAUCUGAUCUGUGGCACGUUUAUAUAAAGGGCUAUUAGGGCUUCAAUUUUUUACUUUUUUACUUCUUUUGCUCUCAAUCUGACCUAAAUUUUUUGAUCUCAAAAGCUUUUUAGCCUUUAAAGUUUUUUCUACACCCUUUUCAGUAUGUAUUUCUAACCAUGUCCUCUAUUAUGAGUUUUAGAGAGGUUGGAAGUUACAAAGUAGAGCCAAGGGGAGGUCAGCGCAAGUAGCAGGAUGACGAUCUGAACCUCUUCAAUUAUUAGGGGUUGUAAUUAUGCAAGGACAGCCUAUUGGUUUAAUUUAAUAUUCGAGGAAGGGUAGUGACACAAUGAGAAGAAUGUUCAUGUAAGAGAGGAGCGAGUUCUGAACACGGAGAGCUAUGUGCUUAAAUCGACUUUGAACUUUAAUAUCCACCUCCUUUCUUUAUCUCUCAGGUCGGUCCAUCUUCUAUGGUUGACCUUUUUUCCUUUUCGAUUGUUCUCUUUUUUGGGGUUCAAUCUCAUCCACCUAAUUCUUCUUUUACUUUUCCCCUUCAAUCAGUUUUUCUUGACAUCUUUUCCUCUCUUGAGGGGUCUUCACAUUUCUCUUUUUCCUCAGAGAUUGAAUACCUCGGAAUCCUUUUCCCACCUAAGAGUUAAAGUCUUCUAACAGGGGAGGUUCCAAAGAGAAACAAGAAAAAUAAAGCACCUAAGCUAGAAAAAGUGAUAACGAGGAAGAGAGCCAUGUGGUACAGGGUGAACUUGUCGAAUUCCCUAUAUAUACUCUAUGUGACCUCAGUAUGAUCUCCAAUGACGUGAUGAGUGAGCUAAAGGCAGAGUAAAUCUCGAAGACUAUCCUAACGUGUGUUUGACUCAUCAUGUUCAUGCUCUUGGUACCACUUUUCUUUUUUCAGAGAGGGGUAUAGUAUAAUAAUGUCAAACUUCUUAGACUAGGUCACUGAUGGAUUAGAGCUACAUCGACUCUAAGUGCAUUGGGAUUUUUUUGUGGUCGAUCUAAGGUUUCCACUUCAUCCUCUAUUCAUUUCAAUUUUUAAUUUAUACAAUUUGAUCAUUACUCAGGCUACCCUAAAUUCUAUUAAGUACAUAAUUGCUUUUAUUAUUCUUUGUCAAUAGUUAAAUAUUCUUCCUUCUCUCUUUUUAUUUAGGGAGUUCUUCUCUCUAAAAAAAUAUCUUAGUGACAGCAUGUGGUAUUAUAUCACAGCUUGGCUAAAUAAAAAACUUAUUGUUGAUUGCCCGAGCUUAAUAAAAAAUUGAAAGCUGCACUUUUUAUACCUUAUGAAGCAAAAGGCAAAUAAAGAUGGUGAGCUCAAGCUUGAGGCUUGGGAAAUAAGGAGCACACCCAACUUUUUUGUGGAUGUGCCAAUGGCCUUUCUAUCUUGGAUAUGUUUGAUCGAGAUAAAUUUUAGACUUUACUUGUAAGGGGAGCUCGUCAUUGAUGCCCACGAGCUGAACUCCCUGGAAGUAAUAAACAGGACUGUCAUAACGGAUUUUAGUUUAAGGGGACUCGAUCGCUAAACUUGGUGAAAAUUUUUAGAGUCGUCACCAAUAUUUUUUUGUAGGGUGUGAUUGGUCACCCAAAAAUAUUAUCUUUUAAUAAAAAUCUUAAACUUAAUUAAGAUUUACUAAUAUCAUAACGUAUAGAUCAGUGGACCUAUGGCUAGAUAUGGAUGAUAGGGAGUCACCACCAAUCUUUUUUGUUUAGGUGUGAUUGACCACUUGAAGCAGAUUUUGAUCCAUAAAAUCAGAGUUUAGAUUUGGGAGUACGGUUAUGCAUAGAGAAGGUUAUAGCACUCCCAUAGCGCCCAUCCAUAAGACGGUAUCAACUUGAUUUUAAAUUAUCCAAGCUUUAAUCAUAUUUGUGAUUUACCAGAUAAUUUAAUAUUAAAAAUAUAUCUUAAAAUUAUCCCAAUAGUUUGGUAGCAAUUUAAGAUAAUUCUCUCACCUCAGGAGUAUUCAUGAAGACUAGUGUUUCACUCUGAAGAGGCUCCAUCAUCAGAUUUAGUGAUGUACUUUUAUUCAAAAAAAUUAGUAAAGUCUCUCAAUAGUUUGGUAAGACUUACUUUGAAGUAGAUCUCUCAAUAGUUUGAUAAGAUUUUAUUGUAAAAAAAUUUAUAAAAAUUUUAAAAAUUUCAUUAAGUCUCCUAAUAGUUUGGCAAGACUUGAUUUAAAAAGCAAUCAUCCAAUCGUUUGAAGGAUGAAAACAUUUUUUGCUUUUGUUUUUGUUUUUAUUUUUAUUUUUUUUGAAAAUUGAUUUUAUGAAAUUUUUCAAUAGUUUGGUGGAUUCCAAAUUAAAUCCAUGAAAAUUCUCCAAUGGUUUGGUAGAAUUCAUGAAUUUAUUUUGUAAGGAUUUUUAUUUGAAAAAAGAUUUUUUAUUGUUAUUUAUUGAAAAGAUUUUUUUUGAUAAACUUAAAGGGAUCUUUUUUUUUGUUUUUAUUUUAUUUUGAAAACUUAUUUGAAAAAUUUUUUUUUCACUGAAAAUAUUUUUUUUAUUUUUAUACAAUCAUUUUUUUAAAUAAAAACAAUUUUUACAAAAUUUCUCAAAAAUAAAACCAGAAAAAUAAUAAAAACUAAAAAUAAAAUAAGUUGAAAAAUAUAAAAUAAAAUAAAAGCAAAAAAAUAAAGUAAAAUGAAAAAAGAAAACCUUGUGAUUUGGGUCAGGUCAGAAUGCGGGUUAGCGCACGAGUUGAUGGGUCAAGGCACGGGUCUUGCGCUACCAAAACAACACUAUUUGGGGUUAGUAUAUAAGCCAAGUUGCCCGCGUUUUCUUUAGAAGCUCAUUCCACUCUCUCUCUCUAACCUUUAAACAUUCUCUCUUUUCUCUAAAAUCCAACCGAAACCUCGUUGAAAAUUGGAGAUUCUUGCCAGUUUCUAGAAAAUCCCACCUGAAAGUUCAUACUUCACCAAAAAAUUCAUCGAAAAAUUCAUACUUCAUUGAAAAAUUCAUCAAAAAAUUCAUCCAAAACCCAGAAAAAACCUUGAAAACCCAAAAAUUUCAUAGAUUUUUUAGAUUCUUUCAAAAAUUCCCGAAAAACCUAAUCCUAAUCCCAAAAACUUGAAUUUAAACCCGUAAACAUCACACUAAAUUUUAACAAUCGAAAUCUAAAAUUCAAGAACUCAAAAGUCUCAGAAAUUGAAAUCUAACACCCAUAAUCUUUCCAAAACCAUCUUUCCCCUUCAGUGACCGUGUUCUAAAUUCUCUAAGAGCUGUUCACUUUAUAGUCAUGUCUAGGACAAAUUUUAGGAAACGAACAGAAUCAAUCUAAGCUUGAAUCCUAGAAUUUGAUUAUGCUAGAGCCUUAGUUUAGAGUUUUGAUUUAGUCCCAAUUGAAUUUGGUCAGUUAUUUAAGCUUGACUCAUCAUUGACUAUGAGAUUUUGACCUACCUAAUUCAAUUUCCAUUUCCAUAAUUCACGCCAAAAAUCAAAAAGGGAAAAAAAGAAAAAAAUGAAAAAAUGAAAAAUAGAAAUAAUGAUAAUAAUAAUAAUAAUAAUAAUAAUAAUAAUAAUAAUAAUAAUAAUAAUGUAAUACUAUACAUAUGAUAAUAACAAAAAUAAUGAAAUACAAUCUAAUUGUCCUCGAACAUGGUCCGAUUGACCUCAAACACAAUUAAGUGUCUACAGCUAUCCCUCUUUGCACGUUCCUGUCAAGCAGGGAUGGUGCAAAUACCUAGACACCCACUUUAUUCCAAUUUAAAAGUCAAAUCAAUGAGUAAAAAUGACAAAGACGAAAUCACGAGUCAAGAAUAAAAUGACCAAGAUCGAGUCGAGGUCAAAAAUAAAUAACCAAGAUGAAAUCAUGAGUCAAAAGAAAUAAUCUGGAUCGAGCCAAUAUCGAGUGACCGAGAUAAAAUCAUGAGUCAAAAUGAGGUGACCAAGAUCGAGUCGAGGUAAAAAAUAAAUGAUCAGGAUGAAACUUUGAGUCAUAAGAAAUGAUCUAGACUGAGUCAAGAUUGAGUGAUCGGGAUGAAAUCACUAGUUAAAAAUGAAACAAUAGGACCGAGUCGAGGUCAAAAUUAAAUGAUCGAGAUAAAACCAUGAGUCAUAAGAAAUGAUCUGGACUGAGCCAAUUUCGAGUGACCAAGAUGACACCAUGAGUCAAAAUGAAAUGACUAAAACCAAUUCGAGGUAAAAAAUAAAUGACCUGAAUGAAAUCACGAAUCAUAAGAAAUGAUUUGGAUUGAGCCAAGAUCGAGUGACCGAGAUGAAAUCAUGAGUCAUAAAAAAUGAUCUAGAUUAAGUCAAGAUCGAGUAACCAAGAUGAAACCACGAGUCAAAAUGAAGUGACCAAGAUCGAGUCGAGAUCAAAAAUAAAUGAUCAGGACAAAAUCAUGAUUCAUAAAAAAAUGAUCUGAACUGAGCCAAGAUCAAGUGAAUGAUGUAAAUGCAUACCUUAUCUAAGGUACAAACGUAAUGUAUGCAGUUCUGAUGUUAUAAAAUUUUAAUUGCAGUGACAAGGUUCUUAAGAUUCCACCAAUCUUUCUUAACUUCUUGGUAUUAAAGUGUAAAUUUUAUCAUCUUAUCCAUGUCAUUCUUCUCAUCUGAUCAUAACUCAUAAGUCAUGUCAACCAAUCUAUCACUGAAUUCACCAUCGAGUCAUCUUGUUUGCCCUUUUGUAAAUCAUUUUCUCAUGCUUCUUUUUAUUUAUCUCAUCUUGGAUUUCUUUCAAAAAAAUAAAAAACUUUUAUGAAAAAUGUCAUUCAUUUAUUUGCUAUCAUUCAAAUUAGUGACAGACAUGGUACAUUUUUUUGGUUCAUUCAGGAAAUGUUCAUUUGGUGAAGGGUAGGAAGAAUGGAUCUUUAUUAUAGAAAGUAGGGUCAGGAACAAUUUAAAUAGGACAUUAACAUCCAAAAUAAUGAUUGCUCAAAUAAUUUUAAACUCAAAUUCAGGAUCAUCAUUCGAAACACAUUUCAUUAAUAUCUUCAAUAUUUGAGCUAAACAUCAUCUUCAUUUUGGGGACUUUCACAUGAAAUUAUUUUUUCCAAACUUAAACUACCCUUUCAAGUUUUUAGUAUAAGUCUUCCUUUUUCCUUCUUUUUCUCUUUUCCAUUUUUUUCUUCUUUUUUUUGUUUUUUCCUUUUUUCUUUUUCUUUUUCCUUUUUGCUUCUUGAUUUUUUUUUUUGCUUUUUGCUUUUUUUUUCUUUUUUUUUUUUUUACACUUUUUUCUCAUUUCUUUUUCUCUUUCUCCUUUGUUGACAUUUUGAUCAAAGUUUCACAUAAUCUAAUGGCAAACCUGCCCUAAUUCAAUUUAUGAUUCUUCAAAUCAAGUAUUCAUAUUUGAUCAAAAUAAACUUUUAAGGGACGUAAUGUAGGCUAAAGUAAAGGGUGCCAAAGAAAGGGAUAAAAUAGGCCCAAAUUGUAUUUGAAGGGUAAUUAAAUCAAGUAUCAUUUCUUUAUGCAGAGCACUUUGACAUUUUGCCCAAUAUAUUUUCCUUUUUUUUCUUUUUUUUUUAUUUUCUCUUUAUUUUUGUUUUUUUUUAGUGGAGCAUAUUGGCAUUUUGCCUUAUCAAUUUCUUUUUUUCUUUUUUUUUUAGCGGAGCACAUUGGUAUUUUACCCCAUCAAUUUUUUUUUCAUUUAUAAAAAAAACUUGAAUAAAUUUCUCAAACUUUGCCUUUAGUGUGGGAGUGAUCCUUGGUUAGGGUUCCUCAAAAAAAAAAAAAAAAAACUCAAAAAACUCAAACGGAAUAGCAAUGGAUGAUUUUUUUUUUCUUUUUUUUUUGGAAAAUAGAAGAAAGAUGAUCAUUUUUCAUUUUAAAGAUGAAUACUCUCAACGAAGAACAUCAUUGACUAAGAGCAGAUUUGUGAACAAUUGUACGGAUCAUGUAUUGCAUCAUUUUUAAAAUUCUUCUUCAGAUUUAUCUUUUUAUUUAGUAGCACUAACAAUUUCAAAUUUAUCAAUCAAAAUAUGAUGAAUGGUGUUUUCAAAGUCAAAUCCUGAAUUAUCAUCACGAUUGUCUAAACAUUCAUUAUUUGAAAAAAUGGCUAGAAAAAAAAAGGUGUGAGAUGGUAAGAGUAAAUGAUGGAUAUUCACACAAAAAAAAUGUCAUAAAAAUGCAUCAAACAUGUCACUUUAUUAAAAUGAUGAAAAAUAAGAUGAAAUUAAAAAUAAGAUGAAAUCUAAGUACAUAAAAGAAUAUUCACAUUCUCAAAAGAUCAAAGAUGAUGAGUAGUUCCAAUCAACCUCUCCAAAAUUAUGCCUCUAGAUGAUUGGAUGAUAGGUUAUUGUUGACAUUGGAUGCUGUGUUUCCAUUGGUAUCAAAAUUUAUCAAUCCUUAUUUAAUCAGACUUUGCACUAUACGUUUCAAAAGGAUGCAAUUUUCAAUGGAAUGUCCUACCACCCCAAAAUGAUAGUCACAGUGAGUAAUGGAGUCAUACCAAUUGGGAUAGGGAGAUUCAAGUUAUUUUGUAGGAUUGGGGGCAAUCAAAUAGUUCUUGUAAAGCUCUUAAUAUAGUUUGGUAUAGCUUAUAGGGAUAAGAUCAAAUGUAAGCUUUUCCCUAUUUUGUGAUUCUUGUGCACCAUUCGUUAGGGUCGUAGGAUGAAUGAAAGACCUAAGAAGAGAUGAUAAGAGGGUCUUAGAGUUGACUUGUGAAGUAUAGUAAAAACAUAACUUACAAAAAAAUGAUAUGUAGGAUAGAUUGGCUGAGGGUAGUUUCUGGAUUACUAACUGUCGAAACUCAUAACUUGAGUCUUACUUUCUUUUUUCUUUGGUAUCUUUUUAGUAGAAAACUCUCCUUCUUCCACUUUACCGUUCUUGAUUGCAUUUUAAAUGAUCUUUCCUGAAAUCACCAUGUUGGCAAAAUUCUUGGUCGUAUUUUCUAUCAUCUUCUCAUAGUAGGAUGACUUUAGAAUGCUUAUAAAUAGCACUAUUGUUUCUUUCUCUGUUAGGGGGGUUUGACUUAAGUGGCAAUAUCUCACCACCUUUGAGCAUAUUUUUUGAAAGACUUAGAUGCUUUUGUCUCCAUACAUUGUAAUAAAAGGCGAUUAGAAGUCAUGUCUAUGAUGUGGCAAUAUUGGUUAAUAAAGGAUCGAGUCAAAUCCUUUCAUGACUUAAUGUGAGUCUUAUCCAAUUGGAUAUACCAUUUUGUAACAGAUCCAGUUAAGUUAUCCUAUAAUACAUGCAUUAGCAGUUUCUCAUUGCUGGUAUAUGUUGCCAUCUUAUGAUAAUAUAUUAUGAUAUGUAUAAUGAGGCACUCGGUACCGUCAUACUUAUCAAAUUCUGGUACCUUAAAUUUUGAAAGAAUCACAACAUCUAAAACUAGGUAAAGGUUGGCAGCAUCCAUGGAUCUAUAGAAAUCAAUGCCCUCUACAGCUCGUUAUCUUUCUUCAAUCAUACUUAUGGCUUGAUCGAUUUUAGAGUCUUCUAGGGGUACAACCAUAUGUAAUUUUUUUUCUCUUUAGUCUUAUCUAUUUUGGGAAUUUGGACUGGCUCAUCUACCUUUUCAGUGAAUAUAGGAUUGGUAUAGCUCUUAACAUUUCCUUGAUUGAAAUUUGGAAACAUGGCCUAUUAUUAAUGAAAUUUGAAGUGGUUUGAGUCUGAUGUGGAUCGAAACCUAGAGGAUAUUAUGACUCAGUAUUUUUAUGUGAGAUAUCUUCUUCUAUUACCUUUCUUCUAUUUUUUUUUCUAGAGCUUCCAAGAUUUUGCUCAAUUUUUCUUCAAGUAUCUCUUGGGCCUUUUCUAUUCUUUCAAGCCGAUCUACAUUGUCUUGCUUCAAUUUUCUGGCUCUAGCUCGAGUGUAGUACUGGUGUUAAGCUAUCCUUGAAACUUGAUUUCCCACAAUUAUAAUACAAAUUUAGAAUGAUGUUUAUGGAUCUAUCAGAUUAUGUAUGAGAAUAAAUGCAAUGAUACAUGAAUAUAUACAUAAUAAAAAAAGACUAGUAAGCAUAACAUGUAAUCUGCAUGUAUGUUUAUGAAUAUGCAUAAAAAGAAAAGAAAUAAAAGAAGACAAGAAAAUCAAUUAGUCACCUUAAAAUAAAGAAUAAACACUACAAAGCAAGUAAAAUAACAACAUGGCCUUAGAUUUAGGUUAACUAUAAAAGGUGAAAUGACAUGGCUCUAUCUACGGUUAGGCUCUUAAAGUUAACUAUAUGUGGUUUGGACAGCCUUUAAGAGGUUUUUAAAUUGUUCUUUACAUCGUGGUCCAUCAUAGACUAGUAAGGCACCCCGAUUCUUUCCUAUCAUAAGCUACAAGCAAAAAACAUCUAAUUUGAGUGAGAGUAUUUCAUAGGCCCAUGCGAAGAUGUAAAAUAUCACAAAAGCAUGGGUACUUCACUCCCUCCUAAGGGUAGAGCUCGGGUAGAGAGCUUAUAUUAUACACAUGCAAAUGAAUGACAGGUAUAUAUACAAUAAAUAAAUAGUUAAGUAGAUAUAAGUAAUAAAAAAAGCAAAUGAGUAAUUAAGCAAGUAUAAACAGUGAAAAGGAAAAAAUGAAUAAUAAAGCAAGUAUAAGCAAUGAAAAGAAAUAAAAUAAUUUUAGAUUUAUUAAGCACGACUUGGAUAAUAAGAAAUCAUUUACCGACUUGACUAUCGAGUUUUCCAGUGAAAUUGUCAAACUGUCAUAACGUAUAGAUUUGUAGACCUACGGCUAGACAUAAAUGAAAGGGAGUCACCACCAAUCUUUUUUGUUUAGUGUGAUUGGCCACCUGAAGUAGAUUCUGAUAGGUUCGGGAGUACAGUUACACAUGAAAAAGAUUAUAGUAUCCCCAUAGCACCCAUCCAUAGGAUGGUAUCGAUUUAAUUUCAGAUUAUCCAAGCCUUAAUCAUAUUUAUGAUUUACCAGAUAAUUUAAUAUUGAAAAUAUAUCUUAAAAUUAUCCUAAUAGUUUGGUAGCAAUUUAAAAUAAUUCUCUCACCUCAAGAGUAUUCAUGGAGACUAGUGUCCUACUAUGAAAAGGCUCCGUCGUCGAAUUUAUUGAUGUACUUUUAUUUUAAAAAAUUAGUAAAGUCUCCUAAUAGUUUGGUGGAACUUACUUUGAGGCAUAUCUCUCAAUAGUUUGGUGAGAUUUUAUUAUAAAAAGAUUCAUAAAAAUUUUGAAAAUUUCAUUAAGUAUCCCAAUAGUCUAGUAAGACUUAAUCUAGAAAGCAAUCCUCCGAUCAUUUGAAGGAUGAAAAUAUUUUUUGUUUUUGUUUUUAUUUUUUUAAUUGAUUUUAUGAAAUUUCUCAAUAGUUUGGUGGAUUCCAAAUUAAAUUCAUAAAAAUUCUUCAAUAGUUUAGUAGAAUUCAUAAAUUUAUUUUGUAAGGAUUUUUAUUUGAAAAAAAAGAUUUGUUAUUGUUAUUUAUUGAAAUGAUUUUUUUUUUUAUAAACUUAAAAAGAUCUCUUUUUUUGCUUUUAUUUUAUUUUGAAAACUUAUUUGAAAAGAUUUUUUUGGUUUGUUUUUUUCACUGAAAAGAUUUUUUUUAUUUUUAUACAAUUGUUUUUUUUAAACAGAAAUAAUUUUUAUGAAAUUUCUCAAAAAUAAAACUAAAAAGAAAAUAAAAACUAAAAAUAAAAUAAGCUGAAAAAUAUAAAAUAAAAUAAAAUGAAAAAAGGAAACCUUGCGAUUCAGAUCGGGUCAAAGCACGGGUCAGCGUCGUGGGUUGAUGGGCCAAGGUGCGAGUCUUGUGCUACUAAAACGGCACUAUUUUGGGUCAGUGUAAAAGCCAAGUUGCUUGCGUUUUCUUCAGAAGCUCAGUCCCUUUUCUUUCUCUAACCCUUAAACACUUUUUCUUCUCUCUAAAAUCCAACUGAGACCCUAUCAAAAACUGGAGAUUCUUGUUAGUUUUUGGAAAAUCCCACCAAAAAGUUCAUAUUUCGUCAAAAAAUUCAUCAAAAAAUUCAUAUUUCGUCGAAAAAUUCAUCCAAAACCUAGACAAAUCCUCAAAAACCUAAAAAUUUCCAAAAUUUUUCGUAUUCUUUUAAAAAGUCCCUAGAAACCUAAUUCUAAUCCUAAAAACCUGAAUUUAAACUCGUAAACCUCACACCAAAUUUUAACAAUCGAAAUCCAAAAUUUCAAAACCUAAAAAUCUCAAAAACCGAAACCUAACACCCAGAAUCUUUCCAAAACCUUCCUUCCUCUCCAGUGACGGUGUCCUAAAUUUUCUAAGAGCUGUUCACUUUAUAGUCACCUUUAAGACAAAUUUUAAGAAACGGAUAGAAUCAAUCCAAGCUUGAAUCCUGGAAUUUGAUUCCACCAUAGCCUUAAUUUAGAGUUCUAAUUUAGUCUCAAUUGAAUUUGGUCAAUUAUUUAGGCUUUAUUCAUCAUUGACUAUGAGAUUUUGACCUGCUUGAUUUAAUUUCUAUUUCCAUAAUUACCACCAAAAAUAUAAAAAAAUGAAGGAAAAAAAUGAAAAAAUAAAAAUAGAAAUGAUGAUGAUGAUGAUGAUAAUAAUAAUAAAAAUAAUAAUAAUGUAAUACUAUUCAAUAUGAUAAUAAUAAAAAUAAUAAAAAUAUGGUCCAAUUAUCAUUGGACAUGGUUCGAUCGACCCCAAAUGCAAAUGAGUGUUUACAGCUAAAAGAAGUUUAGGUCUGCAAAUUAGGGUUGGGUCUGAGAGUACAGUUACGAGUGAUACAGGUAUUAGCACCAUCACGUCGCUCGUUCAAGGAACAGUACCAAUUAAACAUAUGUAAUCUUUUAAUUUUGAUGAUGUGAUCUUUUUUUUUAUAUAUAUUUAAAUUUAAUUUCCUGAAAUUUGUUUAUAAAAAACAUCUUUUGUUGUGAAAUUAGUAUUAUUAUUAUUUCGUAUUCUAUAAAUUCUUCAACGUUUUGACGAAAUUUAUAAAAAAUCUUUAUUUAAAAAAUAUUUCAAAAAAAUUGACCAUUCACAAAAUUCUCGAAAUUUCAUUAUAAAAUCUUUUAUUUAUUUAUAAAAAAAGAUUUUAGGAACAUUUAGACUAUUUGGUGAGUUUCUAAAAUUUAUUAAACAGAAUUUAAGAUUAUCUUGACUCUUUGAAGAAAUCCUAAAAAUUUUGAACAAGUUUUAAGAUCUUCUCAAUUUUCUGACGAGAUCUUAAAUAAAUUAUUUUUUUUGUUGAUGAUAAUUAAUAGAUUUAAUUAAUUAAUUUUUAUUGUGAUUAUUUUUUUGUAAUUAUUUACUGUUUAUUAUUAUUAUUAUUUAUUAUUAAAAAAAUUAUAUUAUCUCUACUCACUUAUGAAAUCUAAAAAUAUUAAUAUUUUAUUUAUAUUAAAGAAAAUCAAACUGUUUUAAUUUUCUUUAAAAAUUACAAUUUUUUAGAAUAUUUAUUCAAAUAAUCCAUUAUCAUUAUUAUUAUUUUUUAUAUUGUUUACAUAAACCUUUAUUCUAAUAAAAAUAAUUUUGGAUUAUUCCAACUCUAUAGUAAAAUGUAAAAAAUUAUUUUUAUUUGCAAUAAUUAAAGAAAACCAAACUUUUUUCAGUUUUCUCUAAAACUUACAUUUAAAAUACUCAUUUAAACAAUUUAUCACUUUCUUUUUAUUUUAUUUAUCUUUUUUAUUUUAUUUUAUUUUUAAAUUUUAAAUUUUUUAUUUUUAGCAAAAUUUAUUUUUUAAAAUUAUUCCAACAUUUUGGUGAAAUUUAAAUAACAUUUUUGCUUUCAAUAAAGUUUUAUUUUCCUUAGAUAGCUAUUAUUAAUAUUAAUUUUUUUAAAGAUUUAUGCAUAUUAUAUUUUUUUAGGUCCAUAUUUUUUUAAUUAUUUUAUUUAUUUAUUUAUUUAUUUGUGAAAGAAUUAUUAUUAGUAAUAACAUAAAAUAAUAAUAAUAAUAAUAAUAAUAACAAUAAUAUCAUAAAAAAUAAAAGCAAAUAACCAAAAAAAAUAAAUUAUAUAAAAUAACAUAAAAUCAAACACAAAUAAAUAAAAUAAAAAUCAAAACAAAAAAUAAAAAAAGGGAAAACCUACUAAACGGGUCGGGUUGGCGCUCGGAUCCUACACGGGUUAGGCGCAGGUCAAAUGCCCAAAACGACAUCGUUUUGUGACGCCUAUAAAUAGGCCUUUUUUUGUUUUUAAUUUUUCCUUUCUUCCCUCUUUCUCUAAAAUAAGAGCUGCUUUCUCUAAAAAAGUCAUAUUCCUUUCCAACCAUCAUGGAUCCCGUUUUUCAAUCGGUUGCUGUUGUGAGUUGAUGGUUGAAAACUUCAAUUGAUGUUGAAAAGCUUAAAAUUUUUCAAAUUCUGACAUGUACCCAGAUUUUGGUCACCGAAUAGUUGAACAAUUAUUAGAAAAUUCAAAUUUUUUUAGUUUCUAGUGACCUAAAAAAUUUUCAAAUUUUCUUUUUAAAAUUCAUAAAAUGAUCUUUUGAUUUUUUUUAAACAUCUUUUCUAAAAUAGUUUUUACCAAAAAAAUUUUAAAAAGGCCCAGAUCGAAAAUUUUUGUUUUAAAAUUUUUUUUUUACUUUGCUGUUGGUUCCUUUCUCUUGGAGGAUUGUGUUAUUUUUUUUUCUUUCGUGUGUUUUUUUUAAUCCUCCACCUUUUUUUUAAACAUUAUUCUCAUCGGUUAUCCUUCUAUUUUUUUUCUUUUCUAUCUUUUUUUUUUUGUUUCCUUCAUCUUUGUUUUUUUUUUUUUCGCAAAAUCUUGGCUCUAUUUAUAAAGCUAAUUAGGAGAUCAAAAUUCCAAAAAAUCUGAGAUUUUAUGGACUUUCUAAGGUUUGUGAAAAAAAUUAUCUAGUGACCUUUAUGCUACAAGAUUAGGUUUUGGUGAAGAAGAAAAAUGAACAACUUUGGUAGUUUGAUUUCAACUGCCAAAGUUGAAACCAAUUUUUUUGACUUUUUUCUUUUUUUUUGUUAAUUUUUUGGGUAAAAUAGGUGUCCACAGUUGCCCCUCUUUGCAUAUUACUGAAAAUAAAAAAUAUGGCAAAAACAAAAAGACAGCAAUUUUAUUCGGGCAAACACAUAAAAGACGAAACAUUGAAUACAAAGUUUUUUUUUUAAAAAAAAAUUUUUGAAAGGCUCCUCUAAACAGAGGCUUGGUAAUUUUUUAAAAUUUAAAAAAACUCAUCUGACUAGAGGCUAUGAAACUUUAAAUUCAAAAAACUCAUCUAACCAGAGGCAAUGAAACUUUAAAUUGCUCCUUGGACCAGAGGUAAUGAAACUUUGAAUGAGAAAAAAAGGUUGAGAGGCAAUGAUAUUCGAAAGAUUCCUCUAAAUAGAGGGUUCACAUCUUUUCUACUUUUAAUUUUUCCUUUUGUUGGUCUUAGAUUGUCCUAGACUCAUAUAUCUGUUACGUCACAUGCAUGCAUGAAUGACAUUUUCAUAUUUUUGCAAUGUUAUGUAAUGAAUGAUGAUCAUGAUGCAAAUGCAUUUAUGAUGCAAAUGAAGAGACCAUCUUUUUUCUCUUUUUUUUUCAUUUUCUUUUAAUCCUUAAAAUUUCUCAAUGUUUAUUUCCUUUCUUUUUUCUUUUGAAUCCCAUGCAUUCCAACAGUUGAUUAAGAUUUCUCUCUACAUUUUUCAUAUUCAAUGUCUGCCACUUUUAUGACUUAUAGGUCUCAUUUUUCAUUAACCUUUGUUCUUUACUAUCUUGCUUAUCAUUUUAAAUCUCCUUUAAAAUAAUGUAUGUAUCUUUCAUGAUCGUUGUCACUCACUUAUCAUCUUUCGAAUUUUAUGACAAUACAUUGCACAUAUUCCUUUUAAUGAGAAAGACAAAGGAAGGAUAUUUUAUUUUAGUAAGAGGAACAAGUGUUUUUUACAUAAUUCAAAGUGAUAUAACAAGGAAAAUAGAUAAUCAAAUAAGGAACAUUCAAAUCAUCUUGAAUUAAUUCAUCUUAGAUUUUUUUUUAAACUCUUGAUUGAUACCUUUUAAUUUUUUCAAAAAAUGUAGCAGACCAAGCUAACCCAAAACCAAUAAGAGUUUUUGGCACAUAUUGAGAAUUGGCCCACUCCAUUUAAUGUUUUCUUAUCUAAGUCACCAUUUUAGGUUUUCAACUAAGAUAUCUUUUCGGAUCAUUUUUCCUUUUACCUUUUUUUUAAAACAUAGUACUUAUUUACUGCAUCAGCAUUAACUGGAUUUGGUAAAUCAUCCACAUCCAUUCUUGCUAAGAUCAGUGCCUCACCAGAGAAGGGAUAUUUUUUGGUCGAAUAACUCCUUGUGUUCUGUCUUAGUGGCUUAGGUCAUCUGAGAGCGGGAUUUUUUUUCAAUUUGCAUUUAAAUCCUCUCACAUAAGGUAUUUAAUGUAGUGUAACUUCUUUCCCCACUGGGGCUUCGAGCCCUAUGUCAUUUCUUUAUUGGGGGAGGAUCGUAAAAAUCUUUGCUUUUCUUAUGACCAAAGAGAAAGAAUGAACCUCUUUCACCUUGGUCAUCGAGGAAGGGGGAUGGGCUUCUUUUAUCUCAGUUAGUUUUCAUUGUAAUUUCAGCAUUAAUGUAUUUCUCUACUAUCAAUAAAACGUUGGCCAGAGUUUUAGGUGAUUCUAGUGACAAUGUCAGUUUUAGAUGGUACUUUUUAUCGUUAAGUCCACUUGUCAGAGCUGUGACAGUGGCCAUCUGUUCCAGGUCUUUAACCUGUAAAGCUUCCACAUUAAAAUGCAUGACAUAACUUUUCAAAGUUUCAUUCUGUUCUUGGUGGAUUGACAUCAAGCUUAGAGUCGUCUUUUUUGCUCUUCAGCUAUUCAUAAAUCUAGACAAAAAUGAGUGACUGAGCUUCUUGAAUGUAGUGAUUGCCCUCGGCUCCAGGCUGUUGUACUAGGACUGAGCUACGUCCUUUAACGUAGUGGCUAAACCUUUACACAUUAGAGACUUAUCUACCCUCUACAUCAUCAUAUUAGUUCUAUAGAGUUCUAAAUGAUCGAAAGGGUUGAAGUACCAUCGUAUGUUUUUAAGAUUGGUAUUUUAAAUCUUUUGGGAGGCAUGGCUCUAUCAAUUUCUUCAAUAAAAAGCAAGGUUUGCGAGAACUUGAGCUCAUCUUCGAAUGCCAUUGUUUUCGUUUUCAAUUCUUUUUUCAUGGCUUGCAUCCGAGCUUUCAAAUCUUUGUUCGAUUGAAAUCCAUGGUUUAUUUGUUUAGAUUUUGGGUCGUGGCAUGUGUUGAAUUAUGGCUGGGGUAAUGGUGAGUCGGGUUUGUGUAUUAUUCUUCUAUGGAAGCCAAGGAAGCCUCCGCCUCUUCGUAGCUCGAUUGUCCGAUAGAGACUUUUCGACCAAGUGUAAUUAAGUCUGGCACUUUCAAAACUUAUGAUGGGGUUAUAAUUUGCAGCAUCUACUUGAAAACCAGUAUUUGUGCUGUUAGAGCUUAAAAUUGUUCCAUGGUCGGGCUCGCUUGUUGUUAGGUCGGGCAGACAAAAUGCUGGUUAAGGUAAGUUUCUGUUCCAGCCAAGGCGAUUGCCUCUCCUUCAUUUAGGAUUCUCUUUCUUGGUGGCAUUGUUUUAUGCUCGACCAAUAUAAAUGAGUUCUCCUACUUGGCAUGCCAAAUGUUGGUGCCGAGCUCCGACUUGGGGUAUUCCUAAAAAUGCAAAAGAGAAGGACGGUUAAAGGCAAAGGCAUGAUUUAUUGCUUGCAUUUGCACUUCGAUACGCAAAUUGGUAAGGAUCAGGUCAAUAAGGAAGUAAGAAGGAGAGAAAGAAGUGAAUGGAAUGAACCUGUCUUAACGGUGCCUGGAUCUUCAUAUAUAUAGGUAAGCUGUGGGAGACCCUGAGGGGACAAUAAAGAUAGCAUUGAACUGAGGUGGUACUGAUUAUGUCAAACUGACCUGACAUGUCAGGUCAGUACAAAUGACAAAGAUACUUUUGAUUGUCUGCUGAAGACUUUAGAGGAAAAAAACCAUUAUACCCUUUUGACCAUCAAAUGCCCCUAACAGAAUUCCAACUAAUGACUGAAGAUUCUUCCGAUUCAAGUCAAUUUGCUACACAGAAUCCCCAUAAUCGGAGGUGCCUAUUUAUGCCAACAGCCGAAAAUUGUCAAUUGUCAGUAUCCUCAAGGCCAUGACUGGCACAACACUUUUGAGUUAUGAAAGCUAUGGUGACAAGUCUGCUCAAGUUUGCACCUCCAACCCAACGGUUAUAGGACAAGCAUGUGUGUCAGUACCCAUAUUGAUCAUUCAAUGUAGUUCUCCCAUCACCAGAUUGCCCUGCAAGGAACAUGAAAAAACUGUAAUAAAAUCAGUGAUAAUCCAAUGAAUGGAAUCAAGUUGAAAUCCAUUCAGCAGUACGCAUUACAGAUGCUACAGUUAUACCGAAAUUUCAGGUUCAGUUGACACUAAGCAAUAAUUAAAGGAGUACCUUCAGGAGGAACCCAUGAUUCAUAUUCUGGAUCAAGAUUGCUAUUAAGAAAUGAAGGCUUCUCAGGACCAAGCACUCGUUUUUUCUUUUUAUCUUUCUUCUUAGAUUGAUUUCUGGCCAAUAUUUCAGGGGUUCAUACAAUUCCUCAUGCUUUUCAUGGUACCCUCUAGUGUGCUUCAGUAACAGUGCCACAGCAUUCUGUGCGAUUUCUUCAGCUCCUGUAGAGGAUAAUGUAGAUUGGUCAGAGGAUUUGUCAUCACUUUUCUGUUUCCUUAUAAUAAGACCCGAGGCAGUAGUUUCAAUUCCUGAGUGCCUUUUAACCUGUUGAUCAUCAACACUCCCAAGAACUUUCUUCCUAUCUUUGUAAUCAAAAAAUUCGUCAACUUUAUGUGUAUCUAUUAAGAAAUGAAGGCUUCUCAGGACCAAGCACUCGUUUUUUCUUUUUAUCUUUCGUCUUAGAUUGAUUUCUGGCCAAAUGCUUUUCAUGGUACCCUCUAGUGUGCUUCAGUAACAGUGCCACAGCAUUCUGUGCGAUUUCUUCAGCUCCUGUAGAGGAUAAUGUAGAUUGGUCAGAGGAUUUAUCAUCACUUUUCUGUUUCCUUAUAAUAAGACCCGAGGCAGUAGUUUCAAUUCCUGAGUGCCUUUUAACCUGUUGAUCAUCAACACUCCCAAGAACUUUCUUCCUAUCUUUGUAAUCAAAAAAUUCGUCAACUUUAUGUGUAUCUAUUAAGAAAUGAAGGCUUCUCAGGACCAAGCACUCGUUUUUUCUUUUUAUCUUUCUUCUUAGAUUGAUUUCUGGCCAAUAUUUCAGGGGUUUCAUACAAUUCCUCAUGCUUUUCAUGGUACCCUCUUAUGUGCUUCAGUAACAGUGCCACAGCAUUCUGUGCGAUAUCUUCAGCUCCUGUAGAGGAUAAUGUAGAUUGGUCAGAGGAUUUGUCAUCACUUUCAGGGUUCUGAACCUGUUUCUGUUUCCUUAUAAUAAGACCCGAGGCAGUAGUUUCAAUUCCUGAGUGCCUUUUAACCUGUUGAUCAUCAACACUCCCAAGAACUUUCUUCCUAUCUUUGUAGUAAAAAAAUUCGUCAACUUUAUGUGUAUCUACUUCUACUACUUGCUGUGACUCUUUAAUCUUCCUGUUCUCAACAGCACCAAGCCACUGGGCCUUUGCAACAGCAUAGAUAGCCUUUUUACCCUCAGCUGUAUCACUAAUAAUAUUCUCUUCUGGUUUCUUGAUUGAUUUCAUAAAGACAUCCGCAACUCCCUCUUUCUGCGUGGAAGAAUUUGCUGGUUCUGUAGAUGUACUGAUUUUUUUGGGUUCCUUUGGAGGCUGCUUCUUUACAGCAGCAGCAGGAGGUCUCGAUUUGUGAGGUCCUGGUGCUGGUGCUUGUGCCUUUGUAUCCCUUUUCUUAGCAGCUUCUCCUGUUGGAUCAGCAAUCUUCAACAGGUAGAAGAUCCGGUCCAACUCCGACUGAAGGGCAGACGGUUCCUUCUCAAGUUGCACUGUCCGAUCAGGCACUGACAAAGAAAGAUAGGAAAUCAGCCACUUUUGCUACUUGCAUUUCAGUAUUUACUUUUUGCUUUUUUAGAUGGUGAGAAAGUAAACACAAUAGAAAAAUAGAUGACCAUAUUUAAAAAUGAGAAAAUAGCUUAAAUGUAACAAAUAUCCACACACAGUGGCUGUAUAGCAUAGAGAAGUAAAUAUUGAAAUUCUUCAUUUUUAUCAUGCCUAAAACUCAAAUGCUUAUUUAUUAAUUAUUGAAAAAUAUUUUUGCAUUUGUGAGCUAAGGCUACUUUUUGUGUUUUGCGUUCAAAGGAAAAAGUAAGUAGCAAAAGGUUGCAACUAAAAGAACCUAAGAAAAAGAAAAGAAAGAAAUAUAGGAAUACAUAUAAAAGCUAAUGUUAACAAACUGGGAAGAAACUUGAAGAAAAACCAGAAUACCAUAAUAUAGUAAAACAAGUAGUCUAUGAUUUGGAAAUCAACAAUGAGUUAACUGUUUGCGACAUAAGCACUCUACAUCUUUUAUUUGCAGAACUUUUGGGAAUAUAUUUUUUUUAUCUAAAAAUGUCUUACCUAUCCGGGACGAAAGCCCAGACAUGUAAGCAUUAAGUGCAUCUCCAGCUUCACUUUCUACUGCAGUUUCUGAUGCCAUUUUAUCUUCUCACUCAACAGCAACUCUUUCUGGCCUUCAAUUUCUUUCAUAAUGGCAUCUCUCUUAUCAAGAGGACUAUCAGCAGCUUCAAUAGACUGGAUUUCACCAAUUAGGCUUCUUCUUUGUCCGGUCAUAGAAUUCAUCAUCAUCACUGAAGAUUCACAAAUCAUUAUGCGCAUUAACUAUUAAUCUAGUUUCAUAAGACAACUAAAAAUAAACCAGAUGCAUAUCCAUACCAUAUACUUAUAAAAUAGAAUGAUGAGAGAGUGAUCAGAAAUAAAAUGUGAAAGAAAAGCAUAAAGGAAAAUUUGCAAGAUUCCAAGUUGAAAGCAUUUCCUAUUCUUUUGUUUUUUUUCUAAAUUACCAAGAUUUAAAAGUGAUGACAAACUGAAUCUAAGGGUGACUUACCAAAGCUUUGGAACCGAAUUGCCUGGACUUUAAAUAAGAUCAGAAAGCAAUAUAUGUUUGAGAACUUGCACUUCCUCAAAAGGAACGAAAGUAUUUCAGUCUUUCAGGCUCGGGUUCUUCCUCCUCAUCAGAGCUAAAUCUACUUUUGUGCCUAGUUCUCAUUGUAGUCGUAGGGUCAUCAAGGCCUUCCUCAUCAUUAGCAUUUUUUUCCAUCAUUGAUCCUUCGAAAUCUCUUUCUUUGACAUCACAUUUCAAGGAGAGCCAAUUUGGAUCAAUUGCAAAGCUAAAACUACUUUUGUCCUAGUUCUCGUUGUAGUCGCAGGGUCAUCAAGGCCUUCCUCAUCAUUACAUUCUUUCCAUCCUUGAUCCUUCGAAAUCUCUUUUUUUGACAUCACAUUUCAAGGAGAGCCAAUUUGGAUCCAUUGCAGAUUUAGGUUCCAUCAUGGCAGCACCACAUCUGUUCUCUUCGUCUUUAGUGAAUGAUAAAGUAGCAUGACAACUUGAUUCCAAAAUCUCAAUGGUUGGAUCCACUGCCUCUUCACCCUCAGAACUGUAAUUUGUGCUGGAUUCAUCAGCACUGUAAGGAUCCAUCAUGGAAGCACCACAUCUGUUCUCUUCAUCUUUGGUGAAUAAUUAUGUAGCAUGACAACUUGAUUCCAAUAUCUCAUCCACUGCCUCUUCACCAUCAGAACUGUAAUAUGUGCUGGAUUCAUCAACACUGUAAUUUGUGUUGGAUUCAUCAGAACCAUAAUUUGUGCUGGAUUCAUCAGCACUGUAACUUGUGCUGGAUUCAACCUCAUCGUCAUUUGAUCUAACAGUAUCCAUAUAUAAUACAUUAACACCACAUUUCUGCACUUUGAAAUGCUUAAUAUUGGAAACCAAAUCCGUAGCUUCAACGUAGAUUUCAAUGGAGGCCACCUCAAAAUGCUUGUUUAUGGAUGUUUUAUUGAUUCCACGUCCGAAACCAUCAAAUAAAAAGGAUCACAUGAUUGGAAUCAAAGCUUAUGUCUCGAUGCAAAGGGUUUAUUGAAUUCCAGCGAUAAGCAAAAUCGUGAUGAUCACCACACUUGGUUUUUAAUUGAUAUUUGCAAUUGACACUGAUAUCGAAGAAUUCAAGAAGGUGCUCAAAAUCAACCACAAAGCAUAGAAUAAAGCCCAAGAAUCUUUUAUUAGAACAAUCUGGAACCAACUUGACAGUUAUUGAAGAAUUUGUACUCCGAUUCUUGAAUGUCUCUGAAAUUUCACUUCCAGGUAAACAAGAAAAGAAACUUUUAUCAUAAAAAUGAUCAGUACCUUCAGAAGAUUCCAUCGCAAAUACCUGUGCCAUAUAUUGAGCUUUAAGCUGUGCAUUAGCCGUAAUGUUGUUGAUUGCAUCCCGGUCCAGAUUGAAGCAAUUAUUGAAUACAAAGCAAUGGCCAUGCAUAUAAUAAUACUCGAACAAAGAUCUCUUAGCUUUCAUAUAUCGCAAAUGUUCCAACUUGGAAACUGUCUCUAAAGAUGCACAGUUUCCUGCAUCUAAAACUUCUAAAUGUGGUGGAAGGUCUGGCAAUGAUUUGAGUCGCUUGCAAUAUCUUAAACGUAGAUGAAUUAAAUUAGGUAGUUGUUUGAUAAUCUUAGGAAUUUCCACGAUAUCUGAUCCAGAAAGAUCCAAAUCUUCCAAAAUUAUCAACCCAAAUAUAUUUGAGCAACGUAACACUUUUAUGGCUGUUUUCAUUGUCUCUAAUUUCUGGGAAACACUCCAAGUUUUAACAGCCAUUGAGAUUAAGUAGUUCAAGAGAUUUUAACUUACAAAUGCUGGUUAGAAGGCUUUUAAGCCUUGUGCAGCCUUUCAUUCUCCAAACGGAAAGCCUUUUAAGCCUUGAGAUUGAUGAAGGCACUUCUUCCAUUGGAGUGUUAUCCAGAUGUAAGCAUUUUAUGUUCUUCAGAACAACCGGAAUAUUUGUGAUGUUUGGGCAAUCACAGAGGGAGAUUUGUUCAAGGGCAUGCAACUGAAUAAUAGUGCUUGGAAGAUUAUGAAUUCGGCUACCACUCAUAUCCAAAUCAGCAAGUUGAUGGAGAAAUCCGAUUGAUGAGGGUAUUUCUUCUAGUUGAUUCUUGCACAACAGCAAUCUUUCUAAGUUUCUGGGAACUUCUGGGAAUAGGUCGAUGGAGCAAACUUCGAGAUGGAAAAUUUUAAGAGAUUCCAACUUAAAGAUAUUCUUUAAAACAGUUUUAACCCUUGAGGGGAACACGCCUAAUUCCUUGAGUUGGUGGAGGCACCCGAUUGAGUCGGGAAUUUCUUCUACCGCAGUGUUUCUGAAUCUCAAAUUUUGAAUAUGCUGUGGAAGUUCAGGAAAUUUCUUCAAAUUUAGUAAACCUUCAAAUAAUACGUAAACGUUAAGAGAUAUCAAAUGAAUCAUGGAUGGGAGUUCAACCAAGCUUUCGCAUCCAUUGAUUUUUUGUUGUUCAAUAUUUAUGGCCGCUGACAAAUUUGGGAUGCUGGUUAAAUUCUCGCAAUAAGAAAGAUCAAGCACCCUUAAAUUCGCAAGAUUCUGUGCAAUGAAGGCAAAGAAACAAUAUGAGAUUGGUUUAAACUUUAAAGCCUCUGAACUAAAAAUUGAAAAAUGUGUUGGGGUUCCGUUUAGUGGGGUACAGAGUGACAAAAGAAAGACAAGCAACGCGGAAUGGUAGAAUAAAGGAGUAAAGCAAAUUGUAAAGUGACAAAAGAAGAGGCAGGAGUCAUGGUGCCUCGAAACCAGAAGGAGCUUCAAAAAGUGACUUAAGAUUGCCUCAAAAUCUUAGUCCAGAUACAAGUAUGAAGAAAACGAUCAAUUCGGUGGUAUCACGGCCUUUUCUAAUAUCAGCCAUUCCCUUGACUCUCUGUUUUGUAAUCUGCUUUCCUUCGAACAAUCACUUGCAUCUUCAUUCCCUUCGUGGUAGCAAAUUGAGAAAGUUAAAGCUAACCUCCAGGCUGUGACCAACUUUACAAAUUUGUUCACAAGUUCUGUGAUCAGGUAUUAAAACUCUAGAGAAUAAUAAAUAUGAACAAACACAGUUUCUUCAAGUACUUGCAGGAAAUGCCUAAUCAAAUUGUUUGGUUUUCCGUCCUCGCUACGCAAUCGGUUAGUAGAAUGGUGGACUCUUAUUCCAUUAACUUAGUUCAAUCCCGAACAACCUUAAUUAUAAAAAGAAAAAAAGUUGUUGGUUUUUGUUGGGUUAAAAGCUUUCAAUCCAAUCACACUAGCGAAAGCGAAAUCAAACACACAAGAGACAACAAUUUAACGCAGUUCGGUCCAACUGACCUACAUCCACGGAUGAGAAACAAGAUCCACUAGUUGUAGAGAAUUACAAACAUAUAUCAAAUCAUCAACCUCACUCAACAAUCAAUACUCAUAAGACACUCUCAAUCUCCUCUAGUCCUAUGGAGUAUUCUCAACCCAGACAAACACAAACCCAAACCCUUGUGCACUCUUUCAACAUAACCAAACAUAUACCCAUAUGCUCUCAUACAUCAUACAUAUGUGGACUCUCUCAGUCUCCUCUAGUCCACUCACAAACAAACAUACACACCCAUAAGACGUAGAGCCCCAAUACUCCUAUGGGGUGUCUAUCCCACAAAACCCUACAAAUUUCUUACAUCUUUUUCUCAUACCUAACCCUGUAGAGACUUCACCUAUUUAUAACCAUGCAAACUUGCCUAUUAAGAAUCCCUUUCCUCUUAGAAUUCUUCUCCUGUAAGUCAAACUUGCCUAUUAAGAAUCCCUUUCCUUUUAGAAUUCUUCUCUUGCAAGUCGAACUUACCUAUUAAGAAUCUUUUUUCUCUUGGAAUUCUUCUUUUGCAAGUCUUCUUGUCCAUCAAGCAAUAUCUAACAAAUCUCAAACAAAUCUCUAACAAAUCUCAAACAAAUCUCUUAUGGGAUUUGAGUCAAUAUUCCCAACAAUCUUCACCUUGACUCAAAUUCCAUCAAUCAUCUGUCUUCAUGUUAGACAUGCUUGGCUCCACCUGCAAUGGAAGUCUUACAAUCGUCUUCUCUUCUCUUGUGUCUUCACGCUUCAUACAAAUCAAUCCUCAAUCUUCAAAAUUUAAACUCAAACUCUUCUCUUGAAUCAAGCUUCUCUAAGCUUACUUCUUCCCAUGUUUCAAACCAAGCUCUUCCCAUAUCUCGAACUGUCAACUCUUCCCAUGUCUCGAACCAUCGACUCUUCCCACAUCUUGAAUCUUUAACUCUUUUGACGUUUCGAACCUUCAAUUCUGAUACCACUUGUUGGAGAACACCACAGCUCUGAUACCAUUUGUUGGGCUAAAAGCCUUCAAUCCAAUCACACCAACGGAAGCAAAAUCAAACAAUAAAUCAAACACACAAGAGACAACAAUUUAACGUGUUUCGAUCCAACUGAUCUACAUCCACGGAUGAGAAACAAGAUCCACUAGUUGUAGAGAAUUACAAACAUACAUCAAAUCAUCAACCUCACUCAACAAUCAAUACUCAUAAGACACUCUCAAUCUCCUCUAGUCCUAUGGAGUAUUCUCAACCCAGACAAACACAAAACCAAACCCUUGUGCACUCUUUCAACAUAACCAAACAUAUUCCCAUAUGCUCCCAUACAUCAUACCUAUGUGGACCCUCUCAGUCUCCUCUAGUCCACUCACAAACAAACAUACACACCCAUAAGACGUAGAGCCCCAAUACUCCACAAAACCCUACAACUCUCUUACAUCUUUUUCUCAUACCUAACCCUGUAGAGACUUCACCUAUUUAUAACCAUGCAAACUUGCCCAUUAAGAAUCCCUCUCCUCUUAGAAUUCUUCUCUUGCAAGUCAAACUUACCUAUUAAGAAUCCUCUUUCUCUUGGAAUUCUUCUUUUGCAAGUCUUCUUGUCCAUCAAGCAAUAUCUGACAAAUCUCAAACAAAUCUCUAACAAAUCUCAAACAAAUCUCUUAUGAGAUUUGAGUCAAUAUUCCCAACAGUUUUCCUACUACAAAUGUUAAACCAAGGAUCUCCUCUAUCAGUAAUGGAUAUAUUCACACUUUACCCCUGACUUUUUUUUCAUUAUACAUUUCAUUGUUUCAACUCCUUUUUGUAACUGUCUUUUCCAUGGGUGAAUGGCGAAAGACAUAAUGGAUGUAAACAAGAUGUAGGCACCGCAAGUCGUUUCCUCGAUACUAAACAUGCUGAAUUAGUUGGCUUUCUUUUCUUAUUUUAGUUUAACUCUUCCUAUUCUUAAUGGUCGUGUUUGUUUUUCUUUCUACCACAUAAAAGUUAAACGAAACAACAUAAACUUCCAGUAUUGCAUAAUUAUAGAAGCAAAAUAUUGGACCAUCCGGCAAUAGCACCCCGCAGCAGGGUAUGUCAAUUCUCUCUACCUUGAUGACAUCAAAACAGAUAUCAAGUCGUAUUCAUGUUAAACUCUGUCAUUUAGGAAAAGGUAGGCAUUCUAAUGUGACAAAACCAAAUUGUAUUUGUCACAACCUCGACUUUAAAUCCAAAAGAAAAAUAUUUGCUGAGAACUUUUUCUGCUGGUGACAAACAAGAUAAUGGAAAUACCCAUAUUUGCAAUUUCAACAGUAUCAGAUCAGACCAUUCUUUUGCCUUCCCAAGUGGUUUUAGUGACCCUAAAGAAGGUAUCAACUAAUUAACACCUAUAUCAAGAUAAAGCAAAACCAAUCUCACACAAGUACGUAAAUAAACGUUUAAGGAGGAUCAAUUGAAGGUCUACCUGGCUGACGUGAAUGCAGUAAUCAAACUUCAUCAUAGAAAUCAGAAAUCAACUAGUACCUAGGAAAUACGGAGAAACAUCAAUUAACAACAUAACACCAACAAAACCGAAAAUUUUACACAAUUUAUGUUACUUUCAGGGAAAAUAUAAAAUAGAACUAAUGGAUUAAGAGAAUAACAUUCCUGGAAAUAAACCUUGUCCUCGUUUAAUUAGAUGCAUAAGCAAGAAAUUUGAUAAAAAUUAAUGAAAAGCUUCAAAUCUUUUUCGCUCUUGUUCAAAGAUCAUCAAAACUGAGAAACAAUCAUGCUCUAAGGUAUAAUGCUUGUGAUAUUGGGAUUUCAUGCCAUUGUAAAGACACUUCUUAUGUAUUAAAGCCAAAAUUUAGAUUCCUAAAACUUCCUUUUAUGAGACCAAUUUGAAUGAAUUGGAGAGUUUGGCUGCAUUUUAUCAUUUUAGGAUUGCAUCUGUCCUCAUUAUCUUGAGUACAUGGCAGGCAGCAGAAAUUCCAUAACUUGUUUCCAAAAACUGAUAGGUGGUUUCCCCUCCUCUUCACUAGAGCGGAAAUUUUUGUUGGAUUCAACAUUGCAGUCAGCAUAACACUCAGCAUCCACAUAAAAACAUGUACACCACAUUUCUCCACCUUGAUAUUGUGAUCUACACGCCUUCCAUCAUCUUUAGCUGUGAUGUAGAAUUCAAAACGAGGCCUCCUCACAGUGCUUGUCUUUUUGAAACAUAUUCUUGUCCAAACCAAAUGAUCAUGUUAUUGGAACCUCAAAAGAAUAUGGGCUUAUCAUAAUACAUAGGUUGAACGUCCAUCUACUUCUAAAAAUUAUGACAAUCACCGCAUUUGGUUUUUAGCUGAAUUUCGCAAACAAUUCGAACACCAUGUCUUCGUAAUUGAUCUAGAAAUCAACCACAACAGAUGGAACAAAACACAAGAAUCUCUCACUUUGCCAAUCUGGACACAGCUUGAUAGUUAUUGAAGAAUCCAUGCUUCGGUACUCAAAUCUUUCUGAAAUUUCACUACAGGCAACAACUCUAUCAAGAAUAUGAUCGGGUACUAUUUCAUGAAAUCCCCUCGACCUUUCUUUCACCCAUUCCUCUACCAUGCGCCGGAGUCUAAGAUGUGCAUUGGCCACUAUUUUGUCAACUACACCUUGAUCCAAAUCAAAGCAAUUACUGAAUAACAUAUGUACUAGGCAAGAAUUCUCCCAAAACCGUCUUCUGCCCAACACCAGUUCUAAUGAAGUACAGUCAUGUGCAUUUAGGUUUCGUAGACGUGGUGGAAGCUCAGGCAAUAUUAUAAGGUUCUUGCAACAUUUUAAGUAAAAGAGAAAUUAGAUUGGGAAGUUGUUGCAUGCUUAUGGGAGUUUUCACUAUAUUUGACCCACUCAGAUCUAGAGUCGUCAAAACAUCAAAUUUGCUAAAGCUACCGCUAAGGAUGACACCCAGAAGAUUCAAGUUUCUACUGUACCUCACACGAAUUAUGUGGUCAUUCAAGAUGGGUGUGACUUUUAUACUUAAUCUUUUCGAACAAGCAAGCUUUGUUAGACAUUGCAUAGUCUCCACGAUUGCUGGGAAAGUAUCUAAAUUUGAACAGCCUAGGCGACAAAGUUGUCGAAGACAUUUCAGCUUGCAAAUACAUGUUGGAAAGCUUUUAAUCCUUGUACAGUCAUUCACACUCAACAUGGACAGGCUUUCAAGCCUAACAAUUGAUGAGGGCACUUCUUCUAUUGCUGUGUCGUCCGGUAAUAAGAUUUCUUUGUUGCUCCAAACAUUUGGAAACUGGGUGAUGUUUGGGCAAUGACGGAGAUGGAUUGCUUUUAGGAAAUCCAUAUUUACAUGGAUGAUUUUCAAUUCUUGUGCCACUCAUAUCUAAAAAAACAAAUUCUCUGAGACAACCGAUUGAUGAAGGCACCUCUUCGAUUUGAAUAUUGCUCAAAAUUAAGUCUUUUAUGUUCUCUGAAACAUUUGGAAAACGAGUGAUGUUUGGGCAAUGAGAGAGACAGAUUUUUCUAAAAGGGAAUUCAUCUUAACAACAGUACUAGGAAGAUUUUUAAUUCGUGUAUAGCUCAUUGGUAAAGAAGCAAGUUCUCUGAGACACUCAAUUGAUGAAGGCACUUCUUCUAUUUCAGUCCCACUCAAGUUUAAUGUCUUUAAGGUUCUAGGAAUUCUGGAAAUAUUGUGAUUGGGCAGUCACUAAGACAGAGAUUUCAAGAAAUUUCAAAUGAACAAUGCAUGGAAGCUCAACCAAGCUUAUGCACCCACCAACCUCCAAUUCUUCAAUGUUUAUGGAUCUUGACAGAUCUGGGAUCUUUGUUAAAUUCUUGUAAUUUCGGAGGUCAAUCACUCUUAAAUUCACAAGAUUCUGUAGGAUGAAAAUAAAAAACUAACUACAUUAAUUUCAAGUCUGUAAUUAAAUUUAGAGUUUUAUUCAAAAUGGGAAAAAAAAAAAAAAGGAAACGAAAUAUGUUUUCUUUUUGGAUGAGCACAUUAUUAAAGUAUAUAUGCCUGAUCUUUAGGCCAAAGUUAGUUAAUAUUCGGUAAUCUUAAUUCCACAAGCUUCUCUGGACUAAAAUUUGAUGGCAAAGAUUUCAAUGGGCAAUACUCCUACUGAAAAUAACUGAGCUCACCUGGAAGAGAUUUAAGAUCCUGCUGUGAAAGCAGUGAUUUACCUUAAAAAUAGAUUCGGGGAAGACACAGAAGAACUUAAAAAUAGUUAAAAUUCAUGAUGAACCGUAAUGAGUAAGACCAAGAAAGGACAGGUUUGUCGAGAACUCGUAGUGCCUUGAAGUCUCAGUUCAAGUACAGGCAUAAAGCAAAGAAUCUCAAAGAAAAAUUGAAGCUCUGUAAAGGCCUGGUCAUCCCUCCUAUUACUGCAAAAACUUGAAUUUCAUCCUGGUUUCAUUUUGAGUAGAAGGGUCACCAUGGUCUUUUCCAAUAAUCAGCUAUCUCAUUCAAUCAUUGAUUCACCAACAUCGGGAAAAUGGCAUCCUCAUUGUCCUUGCUUCUAAUUUCUAAAUGGCUGCUCCUUUUCCGACCUCAUCGGGGCUAAAACUUCCAUUGCAGUCAUUAUAUACUGAUGUUCACGAUUGUCUUUCUCAGUGCAAGCAUCUUUGAAAAAAAGCAAUGACGAACUCAGCUUCAAGGUGAGCCUAGUCGAAUCGCGAGGAAAGCUGGGCUGGAUCUUGUUAGGAUUGCAUUUGAUCUCUUUACCUCUGCUUUAGCUGCAUAGCAAGAUGCAAUAAAACAACAUCGUUAUUAUCUUUAAUUGAAAAAUGCUCAUUCAGUGUUGGUCGAAAAUGGGCACCAAUGCAAGUGAAACCAUUAACUAAUGUAAUGACAAUCUGCUUAAACAAUUUCUAGUCAACAUAGUUGUAGUUGUUAAAAUAAAAAUACUAGUAAUUCAAUAUGCAGAAUCACUUGCAAUGAAAAUUCUGACAUCAGAUGCUAGUUAGCCAUCUGAGUUUGAUUAGGUUCUCGUAACAAUUUAUACUCGCAAAAUGCUAAUUAUCAAUUUAAUAAUUAUAUAACUACUAUUCUUAGAAAAUGAAGAUGCUGUAACAAAGGCUGGUAAUUUCCUAAGUGGAGUCAGCAUAAGAAGUACUAAAUCUCUAUGCCAUCAGAUCACAUUAUUUUAAACGUAGCUAGUUAAGAAUGUAGUAAGUACUCAAGCUCUCAUUGUUUGAUUUAUAAAUAUCCAUUGCAAUAAUGAGAGUUUACCUCAAAGCAAAAAUAAUAUAUCUUAAUUUCCGCCCAACUAGGGCAAUCCUCAAGAGUUUUCAAUAAAAAAAAAAAGACAAUUAAGCAUAAAAAAGGUUAAAUAUUAAAACUAUAAAUCGAAAGAAAAAUGUUGAAAGAUGUCCCUUCAACACUUACAGCACCACCCACCAUUACCUCUUUCCAAGUAUUAAGAAUCUAUAUGCAGCUUGAGCUUGACCAUAUCUCCAAAACAAGCAGGAUGUAACCUCCUCCUGUAAUGAUACCAAAAUAGAAAGUGAUUGACUUUCCUAUUGCAAAUACCCAAAUAAAAUGAAGAAUAAUGUUUUGUCAAAGAAGUAGAGAAAUUUUAGCCCAAAGAUGUGAUAUAAGAAAUAAAUUACAGCUGAAUUCUAUCUCAGAAUGAUAAUAUGGCCAAACACAUAAUAUUGGGUUCAUUUGAAUUUUUAACAUUGCCCGUUGAGUCUGUGUCUUUUCCCUGCUUUACUUGGACCAACGGGUAAUUUUGCAUCUUCUUUCCGAUAAACAGUGCCAAGUACUUGCAAAUCAGACUUUACAAUUGUAUUGCAAACAACAUUAUUUGACAACUUUUAGAAAAGUUUGUCAUUGCUAAUCAAACAUAUAUUGAAAUGAAACUGAGAAGACCAAUUUCAGAUGAUUUAACAUAGAAAUUUACUGAGUUUAUCUAAUAAGAUGCCUAAAAUCUUCCAUAUAACAACCCAGAAGUACAUAGAAUAAUCUUUCAUUAAUAACUACAAAAGCUAAACUAAGGUUUUGUACCAUUUUCUACGCCAUGAAGCAGAUGAAAAUCUUUUUGGCUUUCAGUAUGUCAUUCAUAUUCAAAGAUAGCAAGGAAACUAAAAUGGCUUCGGUUCGAUUUCAUCAUAGAACCAUUAUUUAGUAACUUAAUAUACAAAGAACAGUUGUAUUAAAAUGUAAAUAGUAACAAGUAAAAUUUUGGCUGGUACCUUAAAUUGCUUCUUUUGGAGCUUUGGCAUUGCCUUAGGACUCUGUUUUAUCCUCUGCCUUGGAACUGUGCUUUGCGAUCCUUUGCUUCAACCAAUCAUUUGCAUCUUCAUUCAAUUAAUAGAAGUAAAUUUAGAAAGUCAAGGCUAAUCUCAUAGUAGUAACCAUUUUUUUCAAAAUUAUUCACAACUUUACAAGCACUAAACCUUCCAAGACAAGAAUCAUUCCUUCUUAAAAUUCAUAAAUAAUUUCUCUAAGCAACUAGAGGAAAUGCUCAAUCGAAUUCAGAACUUGCACAGGUUUUCAGCUACAAAAGGUUUAACCUGGAAAUUUAACUAUCAGUAAUUGAUAUGCUCACAAUUGAUCCUUGACUUACAUCAUUAAUUUCAUUUCCUCUACUUUUCUUUUACAUAUAUAUAUAUAUAUAUAUAAUUGACCCUAUAAGUUCCCUGACAGAAUGGAGAAACAUUGUAGAUGGAAAAGAAGAUAAUUAGCUGCUCUCCUCAUUACUAAACAUGCUCAAAUAGUUUCCUUGAGUUUUUUUCUACAGAGGGGUAGUUUAAAAUCUUUAUUUCUUUAUAGGGAUAGUUUUAAAUUUUUACAUAAACGGGGUACUUCAUGCCAUGUCAAUGCCAAGUCAGAUUUUUUAAAUAAUCAUUUAUAUUUUUUAAAAAUAUUUUAAAAAAUUGAAACACCUAAACACUACCAUUACUUUGUUUACUAAACGCUAUUUUCUACUGGCCUCUGAAGCAUAGUGAAGCAGAGUAGGAACAGGGCUUCCAAUUCAACAAGAGAUUUCAUCAUGAGAUUAUGAAAUGCUAGGGAUAUUUAUCCUUUCAUUAGGAUAAAAAGGGAAGGUGGCAUUUUAAUUUGCUGAUCUUACAUGCCUUUAAUAAUAUUCCUAUGUUCUCUAACUCACUGCACAUAUUUUCUGCUGUACAUUAUAACACUAUAAAUAGCAUAAAUAUUUAUAAGUAAAAGUUUUAAGACUAGUACUUAAUAAUAUAAACGGAACCCUUCCUCUCCACUCAUAAGUCAUUUGAGCUAUGCAAGUUACAAAAACAGCUGUUAUAUUAGAAGAGAAAUUAUCCUUAGUAAUCAAAAGAAAAAUAUAAAUGCAUGCAACAACAAGGCCACCGAGAAGAAACUAGGAAAACAUUUAUCACGAUGCAAUAUAUCUGUAUUCCAUGAAAUUUGUUUGAUGUGCUUCAUAAUGACAAUAGGAUUGCAUGGAAAAAUAGACAGAAUAAAAGAUACUUACAAUUGAAGAACUGAAUAACGAUGCUGCAUACAUCUGUAGCAGAAUCAUUUUAUUUUUUGAGCCGGGCAAAUAGCUCAUCAGCUUUGGUAUGCAGGUCCUUGCCCUUUGAAUCAUCACUGCCCCUGAAAAUCCUCUUUACACAGUCAAGCUCCUUUGUUAGUGUUUCCGGACCCCCAGUCCUUUGCACAGCAUAAAAACACAUCCUUAAUAAACCCGAGUGUUGCUGAAGCAUGACCACAUCCCAUGAAGUGAAAUUGCAUUCCUGUCGUACCAGAUGGCCCCUUUAGCUAUGACUUGGCUUGACAAGAUUCCUCUGCAUACCACAAGCGGCAUAGUACCAAUAGGAACAACCAACCCAACUGCUAGUAUUGUUAGCACAAUUAAAAUUCAGUGCAUUUUCCAUAUUUAAUUAAACCAACUACAUUAGAAUUAGUUUCAGUCUGCAUUUGCCAUAUCCAAAUAAACCUAGUCCAAACAGUUGGCCACCUUCAACAAGGCAUCAAAUUAAUGUGCUUACACAAUCAAGUAAUGCGUGGCCUUAAAAGUAGCCCAAACCGUAGAAUUCACUUAGCAUCCUAACUAGAGAUGGUAGCAGCUCAUUAAUGCCAGUGAAUAGCAAAAUUAUUCCUUAAAUUCUGAAUGCAGACCUUAAAUUGUGGGUAAAAUUAUUAGAUUAUCUGCUCUCUUUUACCUUUUGGAAUUUGAAAUGACAACUUUCUAUUAUGUAUUGCAAGCAGGAAAAUAUGAAAGAUAGCACAUUUGCCCUAAAUAGCCAAAGUCUUCAAAAACUAACCUUCCACCAAAAAGCUUCGCUAGCAAACCCCUGGCAAUUGAAUCAAGCAUGUCCCCAAAAGAAUGGUGGUUGCACUAAUCCAUUUACUGAUGAAUUCCACCCAAACUGAUGUGACAUAGGAAUUAUAGCAACACUCAAGUUCACCGACCCCAUUUAACAAGCUUAACAAAAUUAGUUCAACCUAAAUAUAAAACCCAAGUCCACACAAGUGAUUGCUGUUUCUACUACAUGAACCCAAAAAUCUAUAAUUCAAAACUAUAAACCCCAAAAACUAUAAUUGAAAACUAUGAUGGAAUUAAGCAUAUAGAUGAAGAGUUUGGGAAUUUAAUUUCAAGACAAUAACAAAUCCCCAAAAGAAAAAGAGAGAUAAAGCACAUAAAUGAAGAACCCACCUAAACUUUUCCCUUUCAUACUUGCCACUGGUAUUUGAUUGAAGGAGAGUUAAAGCAUCGAAGCAGAGAAAGUGUAAUCACUUGUAUUUUGUAUGUAAAAGGAAAACAAAAAAAAAAAAUGACAGCAUGAAUAUCCCAUUUAGGUAAAUAAGUUUCAAACUUUCCUUAAAGAUGUUAAAAUAACCUUCUAUUGGAAAAAAAAAUUCUAGUUUCCUUUUUUUUUGUUUCCUUUUUGUUUUUAUUUUCCCCAAUUCUCAAUAAUGGUGCAGGUGUGAUCUACUUUUUCUACUGUGAGAUGACAACGACAAAGUUCUGACUAUCAGAUGAUAUAAACUUGCAACAUCACUGAUGUAGCUUUAAGAAAGCAUUGAAAUUGAUUACGAUUCAAGACCGCAAGAUAGUUAAAGAUUUCAUGUUAUGCUUCAUAUAAUUUUUCUGAAAAGAAAAAGGUGAACUUGCACUUUCGACUAGUUAUAGAAGCUCAUUUACCUUGAUGAUCUGCAACUGCAGAGGCAGCAGCAAUAGCAUGUAGCAAGUAGCAAAGGGAUGCAAAUCUCUAGCUUCAUAACAUCAUAUUGAAGUCAAACUCUGUAAUUGAGCUUGAAAAGGUAGCACGUAAUUAAUUUGAGGGAAAAAAAUUACAUUUGUCACAACCUAGACUUGAAAACCCAAUAUUUCUCUGAAAAUCCUUUCUAUUGGUGACAAAGAGACACUUGAAACAUUCAUAAUCUGCAGGUUCAAAAAUGUCACAUCAAGUUAAGGCUGAAUUUUCAUGAAAGUUCCCGAAAAUGCGCAAAAUACAGUCGUAAUUCUAAAAUGCAUAAUGAACAUAGGAAAAAAUAGAACCUUUUAUGGGAGAGGGGACCUUGCUUUCACAUUCCAACUGCUCCUAGGUAUCCUAAGAAAAGCAUCAACUGAAACCUAGAUCAAGAAAAUGCACAGGUUAUAAACAAAAGCAAUUUCGCACACAAGUGGUUCAGAUAAAUAUUUUGGGAAGGUGCAUGCAAAUUAGAAAUCAACUACUAUCUGAAAAGAAAAUUAGGUAAUAAUAAAACAAAACACCAACUAAAACACCACAAUAUUUGCAUACUUUACUUUAAGAGCCAAAACGAAAUUUUUAAAAAAAUUGAAAAGUAGGGAAAUUUCAGAAAAGAAAAACAAAAUUAUCUCUCAAUCAGAGGAGAAAAAUACAAUAGUUAGUUGAGAAAAUGAAAGGAGAAAAUAGAAUGAUGAGAGAGUGGUCGGAAACAAAAUGUGAAAGAAAAGCAUGAAGGAAAAUUUGAAAGAUUCAAAGUUGAAAGCAUUUCGUAUUCUUUUUUUUUUUUUUUUCUAAAUUACCAAGAUUUAAAAGUGAUGACAAAUUGAAUCUCAGGAUGACUUACCAAAAGCUUUGGAACUGAAUUGCCUGGGCUUUAAAUAAUAUCAGAAAUUUGCGAACUUGCACCUCCUCAAAAGAAACGAAACUAUUUCAGUCUUUUAGGCUCUGGUUCUUCCACUUCAUCAGAGCUAAAACAUCGUCUGUGCCUAGGUCUCAUCGUAGUCGUAGGAUCAUCAAGGCCUUCCUCAUCAUAGCUCUGUAAUUUGUGCUGGACGCAACCUCUUUGUCAUUGGAUCUUGACAGCAUCCUCAUAUAAUACAUUGACACCACAUUUUUGCACUAUGAUAUGCUCAACAUUGGAAUCAAAAUCCCAAGCUGUAACGUAGAAUUCAAUGGAGGCCUCAUCAAAAUGGUUGUUUAUGGAUUCAUUGAUCUCCCUUCCAAAACCACUACCAAAAAGGAUCACAUGAUUCGAAUCAAAGCUUUGACAGAAAGGGACAUUCCAAUUCCAAUGAUGAGUAAGUUCGAGAGGAUCACGGUCAAGGCGGUCAAGGCGCUCGGUUGUUAAUAGAUAUUGGCAACUACCGCCGCAGACUUUGAAUUUAUGAGGGCCCUUAAAAUUAACCACAAUGCAUAGAAGAAAGCCCAAAAAUCUUUUACUAGAACAAGCUGGACCCAACUUGACAGUUAUUGAAGAAUUUUUACUCCGAUUCUUGAAUGUCUUUGGAAUUUUACUUCCAGGGAAACAAGAAAGGAAACCAUUACUAUAACGAAAAAUUAUAGCAGCAACUUCAGAAGAUUUGAUCGCAAACACCUGUGCCGUACAUUGAGCUAUAAGCUGUGCAUUAGCCACAAUGUUGUUGACUGCAUCCCCGUCCAGAUUGAAGCAAUUAUUGAAUACAAAUUCACUGUUGCCAAAUUGAUGAGAUAAUAAAAAUGUCCCAGCUUCCAUAAAAUGCGCAUGUUCCCACUGGGGAACUCUCUUUAAAGAUCUGCAGUUUCCUGCUACUAAACUAUGUAAACAUGGUGGAAGUUCUGGCAAUGAUUCGAGGUUCCCACAAUUAGAUAAAUAUAGAUACUGUAAAUUAGAAAGUUGUUUGAUACUCUUAGGAAUUUCCACUAUAUCUGAUCCAGAUAGAUCCAAUCCUUCCAAAGGGACAAACCGAAAUAUAGUCGAGGAUAACUCUGUUAUGGCUGUUUCCCUUAAACCAAGAUAUUUUAGACGCUUAGUCUCUAAUAUUUCUGGGAAACACUCUAAGUUUGAACAGCCACCGAGAUCUAGUGAUACAAGAGAUUUUAACUUACAAAUGCUGGUUGGAAGGCUUUUAAGCCUUGUGCAGCCAUACAUGCUGAAAUAAGCAAGGUUUUUAAGCCUUGAGAUUGAUGAAGGCACUUCUUUUAUUGGAGUGUAACCCAAAAAUAAGUGUUCUAUGUUCUCCGGAACAAUCGGAAAAUUUGUGAUGUUUGGGCAACUUUCGAGAAAGAUUUUUCUAAGGGCAUGCAACUGAAUAGUGGCGCUUGGAAGAUUAUGAAUUCGGCCACCACUCAUAUUCAAACGAACAAGUUGAUGGAGAAACCCGAUUGACUCCGGAAUUUCUUCUAUUGCAGUGCAUGUUAAAGUCAACUCUUCGAUAUGCUGUGGAGCUCAGGAAAUUUCUUCAAAUUUUUUAAACCAUAACCGAGUAGCUAAAGCAAAGAGAUUUCGAAUGAACCAUGGAUAGGAGUUCAACCAAGCUUUAGCAUCCAUUAAUUUCCAGUCGUUCAAUAUUUUUGAAUGCAGACAAACUUCGAAUCCUGGUUAAAUUCUUGCAAAACGAAAGACUAAGCACUUUUAAAUUCUCAAGAUUCUGUGCAAUGAAAGCGAAGAAACAAUAUGAGGUUAGUUUAAACUUUAAAGCCUCUAAACUUGUAGGGUACUACAAAAAUAAAAAUUAAAAACAAUAAAUAUUAUUUUUUUAUGAAAAUAAAAUGUUAAAGAAUACCUGGUCUCCAUUCCAAAGUUGUUCAACAUUGCUACCACGCAAUCUUAAUUCAACAAGAUUCUUCGGACUAAAAUUUGACGGUAUAGAUUUCAGCAUGCAAUUCUCCCAAUGAAAAUACCUUAACUCAUCAGGAAGAGAUUCAAGACCCUGGUCUGAAGGAACCAACAUACCACUCUCCCUAGAUAAAGUAGGAUUAUAGAAUUUGAUAAUUCUAAGAUUAGGCAUCCUUGCGAAAGUAUGUGGAUGUAACUGUACUUCAUUAAUUUGAGACAGGUUUAAUAAUAUUCCCUCCACUGAUUUCGUCCCCUAUAAUCAACAGCAAACAAUAAUUUACCGUAAUGCAUCAAACAUUUAUCAAGUCAAGAUGAGCAAAAAAAAAAAGAAAAGUUAGUUCAGUUAGCUCUUACCUUGUCAUUCUCUAACAGUUUACGAACAUCAAUUGGAGUCCAUAAUCUACUGCGUUCUUCUGGCCAUUGAGAUUCUGAACGGAUAAUUUUUCUACCCAUCUCUUGUAGCAAAUCAUGCAUGCCAAGCUUGUUCUUUUUAACAUCUAAGAGGCAUUUAUCAACAAGGUUGGUAAUUCCACAAUAAGCAGUCUCAUCAUAGGAACCGUCUAGUAUUUUUGUUACACUAUCUCUACCAUACCCUUUAAAGAAAAUUGCGAUAUCAAGAAAUAUCUUUUUCUCUACAUCUUCCAGCCCAUCAAAGCUAAUCUUCAGCACAUCGUGAAUUUUCGGAUUGGAAUGUUGCUUUAAUUUAUUCAAUGCACUUGCCCAAUAUGCCAUGUCCUUAUUACAAACUGUAGAACCCAAGACUUUAAGAGCUAGUGGAACGCCUUUAGAAUAUUCCAAAAACUUAUUUGAUAGAUCCUUCAAAUCAUCAAAAAGGUGGUCUUGCUUGAAGGCAUACAUAGAAAAGAGCCGAAUAGAGUCAUUGUGACUUAAUUCCUUAACCUCAUAUAUUCCAUCAACUGAUCCAUUUGUAAGGACUUGUUUGUCUCUGGAUGUUAUAAUGAUUCUACUACCAAAACCAAAGUGGUCGUGGCUAAUUUCUAAGUUUUCUAAUUGGUCCCAAUCAUUGACAUCAUCAAGGACAACAAGAACUCUCUUACGACGGAGUCUAUCCUUAAUGAAAAAGGGCAUUCUAGGAGUACCGAUAUGGAGGCCGUGCUGGUUCAAUAAUUGGGAAAGAAGUUGAUCCCGCAUAGUGAUUGCAUUUGCACAAUAUUUUCCAAUCGUCUCUCUAACAUCUGCCAAGAAGUAACAACUUUCAAAUUGACCACAGACUUCAUCAUAUAUAGCUUGAGCAAGAGUUGUUUUGCCUAUACCAGGCAUUCCCCAUAUCCCAAUAAUACGAACAUCCUCCCCUCCAAAGCAAACAGUGAUUUGAUUUGCUCCAUAUGAGGAACUAUUCCUAGGAGAUCUUUGUAAUCACCUUUAGACAACGGUUUCAACUUGUCCACAAUAUCUUGAACAAUAUCCUCAAUGACUGAGGGCUCAGGCCUAUCGAAUAAGCAAAAAUAAAGAAACGAGUUAAGCCUAAGGUAAUGAAGAUUAUAUGAACAAAACUUACGCUUCUUAAGGGAAAUUUUUUAAAACAAAAAAAUUCAAAAGAAAAUUAACCAAUUUAGUGCAAGAAGCUUAGAGCAAGAAAAACAAACACUUAACUUAUCUCCUGCAAUGGACCACCCACUUAAGCCGGCAGCUUUAGUCAAAGCGAGUCUCCACCCCUUAACCUUGUCUAUCCUGUUUCUUUCAUGGUCAACAAAAGCUUCUUCAAAACUCCCUUUUAGUUUUCGUACAUCGGAUGGGUUAACAUGGUAGAAAAUGGGUACCACAAGUUGUCCUCGUGAAUCCCUGCAUUCCAUUAUCUUGGAGAGUUCAUCCAAGCACCAUGAUGAAGUAGCAUACUUCUGAGAAAAAACUAUUACGGAAAUCAUUGAUUUUUCGAUUGCUUCCAACAGUGCGGAAGAAAUUUCCUCUCCCCUCGGAAGUUCUUUGAAAUCAGCAUAAGCUCCAAUCCCUUUUCCUUUCAAAGCUUCAUACAGGUGACUGAGGAAGGUAUUGCGUGUGUCUUCACCUCUAAAACUCAGGAAAACAUGAUGCUUUGCUUGAGUUAAGAAAGCAGAAGCAGAGGAAGAGAAAGCCAUAACAGAGAACAAGAAGGUUUUGUGAUGUUGCGUCUGUAACGCAGUAGGAAAAAGAAGUGAAUAAUGAACGCAACUAAAAAAGACUCCAAGGCGAAAAAGAAAGAGAAGCAACGCGGAACCAUCAUCCGGCAAAGGAGUCGAGCAAAGGGAGAAUUACAGAUUGAUGCAAUGCAAUGAGAAUAUUGAAUAAUUGUGAACACAUCAGUUAAAGUAAAGCAGUUAUUAAUAAGUAAUUGCUUCAAUCGAUCAAUAUCAUCAUUUUUUAAUGAAAUAAUUUUGUGUUCAAAUUUUAUCGAUAAUUAAAAAUAUAAAUAAUAUAUUAAUACUCGUAAGUUAUUUAAGUUCAAUUAAAAUAAAAUUCGAAUAAUUAAAUCAAGUUUGAGUUCAAAUAAUUUGAUUCAAUUAAUCGAUCGAGUCAAAUUUAAAUAUUUUUAUAUUAGAUUCAAUAUGCUCACAAACUUAAUCGAGGUUUUUAUAUUUAAAUAUUUUUUUAUUAUUUUAAUUAAUAAAAUAUCUCGAAUUCAAAUUCGAACUCAAACAUAAAUAAUUAAACUUUUAUCGAAUAUAAAAAUCGAACUUAUUUUUACAUGUUAAUCAAGCUUAAUCGAACAAAUUUGAGUAGCUUGAUUUUUAUCUCAAAUUGAGUUUGAACUAAAAAAUAAAACUCGAUCAAGUUUGAAUCGAACAUCGAACAUCGAACCUUGAAUUUUGAAUUAAAUUUGAGUUCAAACUUAAUACUAUAUCGAUUCAAAUUCAAUUAAUUAUAUUUUUAUCGAUAAUUAUUUAUUAAAAUCAUUUUAAAUAUAUAAUUUAUAAUUAUUUAUUUUAAAUUAUUAGAUGUGAUAUAUUUUACUAUAACACAAAAAAUUAAAUAAUUUAUUUACUUUUGAAUUUUUGUUAAAAAAAAGAGAAAAAGCAUUUCCCUUUUAUCAAUUUUAUAAGUCUGUUCCCUUUUCAAUAAAUUUUUUUAUGUACGACAGUAAGCGAAUAUUCUUGGUCCACCGCAAGCAACGAGGAAUGGUACAUUAAAAGAGUAAAGCAAAUUGAAAAAUGUCUUUGGAUUCCUUUUGGUGGGGUACGGAGUGACAGAAGAAAGACAAAGCAACGCGGAAUUGUACGCUAAAAGAGUAAAGCAGCAAAUUGUAAAAUUAUCAUUGGAUUUCGUUUGGUAGGGUACAAAUGUAAUAUGUUAAAAAUUCAAUUAAUCUUAAAACUUUAAAAUUGCUUAUAUUGAGAUAUUAGUUAUAAGUUAUGAGUAUAAAUCAUUAAAGUUAUCAGGGGAUAGUUUUUUUCUUAAAACCACAGAUUUUUUUGUAUAAAUCAAUGUUUUUAAAUUCACAAAGUUAAGGAUUAGUUUUUAAAGUAUAUCUAUAAAAGUUAAUAAAUUAUUAAAUUAUUUCACUUGUGAGAUUUAAAUACUCCAUCAUUAGUAUAAAAUUAAUAAUCUAUUAAUUAUUUUAUUUUUAUUUUAUUUUAUAAAGAGACAUGAAAAAAUUAAAAUAAAAAACCUUAAUUUAAAAAGGUAUGUUGUUUAUAUUCUACAAAACAUUUUGUAGUUAAAAUAAAAGUUAUUAUUGUCAAAGUGACAUGUGCGUGCGAAGUGAGGUAUAUGGCUCAUUAUUUUUUAAAAAAAAUUAUUUUAUAACACAUUUUAUUUUUUAUAAAUUAAUUUUUUUCAUUUAUACUAAAAAAUAUAUAUUAUAAUUAUAAUUUUAUUUGUUAAAUUAAAAAAAUCUCAUACCAAUAUAUUUAAUAAUUUUUUUAUUUUAAUCUCUCAUUAAAAAAAUAAAAAUCUCACUUAUCAUAUGUCUCGAAUCUAUAAAUAAUUAUUUUGUAUUACGGGAAGAACUAAUAAAUAAUAAUCCAUCAUGUCCUAAAUUUAUGCAAUUAAAAAUACCUAUAGUAUCCAUUUAAAGUGAUUGUUAUAAAUUAAAAAACUUUAAAAAUUUUUAUUUCAAUUGAAAGGUUAUGACUCAAGCUAUACUUUCUUUUUUUUGCUAUUUAAUUUCUGUUUUUUUUUUUUUUUUGUAAAUAUUUCAGUCAAUAUAUGUUAUAAAAGAGACGUGUAAAAAUUAAAAUUAAAAAACCAAUUUAAAAAAAUAUGUUACCUAUAUUGCACAAAACAUUUUGUGAUUAAAAUAAUGGUUAUUAUUAUUAAGAAUGAUAGGUGCAUGCGAUAGGAGGUAUCAAGGCUCAUUAUUUUUAGAAGAAAUUAUUUGAUAUAAUAAUAAUGAAAUUUUUUUUAAUUUUAAUGGAUUAAGAUGGUAAUAUAUUUUUUAUUUUUAAAAAUUUUUAAAUAUAUAUUAAAAAAACAUAUAUUUUAAUUUUAUUCAUAAAAUUAAAAAAUUUUAUCAUUAAUAUAUUUAAUAAUUUAUCUAUUUUUAAUCUCCUGUUAAAAAAGAAAAAAUAAAAAUAGUUUCCCUUUUGUCAAUUUUAUAACUUUCUAUUUCUUGCUUCAAUAAAUAUUUUUAUGUAUGUAGGAUAUUCUCAAUAUUGUUGGCCAACUUUAUCAAUUUGUAAUUACCCCAAAGCAAAUUAAAAACUGUCUUCCGUUAGUUUGGUAGGUACAAAGUGACAAAAGAAAGAAACAACGCGGAAUCAUACAACAAACGAGUAAACCAAAAUGUCUUUGGAUUCCAUUUGGUGGGGUACAAUGUGACAAAUCGUCAAAAAGAACGACGAGCAACGCGGAAUCCUACAAUAAAGGAGUAAACCAAAUUGUAAAAUGUCUUUGAAUUCUGUACGGUGGGGGGCCAAUUUACUUUGUCGAAAAUUCUACAAAGUGAACACCAAUGUUUUUACAUUACCAGUUAGAUUCAUACUACUUGAAAGGACGAAAUAAUUUGUUUUUUUUUUUUAUUUAUUUUGAGGUUUGAGUAAGGUAAAAAAAAAAAAGAGAAGUGAAUUAUGUGUGCGAGUUUCAAUCUUGUCAUUCACGAGCCCUGUGGUCGCUUUGUGGUUCUUUUUUAUUUUAUUUUUUUCAACUUUAUUCAGUUUUUAAGCCUUUCAGCCACAACUUUAUUCUUUCCCCUCUUCUUUUUCCAUUUGUAAAUAUGAGUAUCUCAAAUUCACCCUUCAAUUUUUAUUUUAAGAUAUAGAAUAUUUGUCCACUAAAUUAUUGUAGGAAAGGCUAUGCGCAUAAUUUUUUUUUAUAUUUUAUAGAUAUCCGUUCUGUAUGCAUACUCAUAAAAUAUUAUAAAUUCAUACUUUUUUGUAUUUAAUGAACAUAGAAAAUCUUAUUUUAAAAAAAGUAAAAAAAAAUAUAAAUUUGUUUUUUAGCUUUUUUAUAUUUUUCUGUAAUUUUUUAUAAACAUAUUUUAAAAUGAAAAUUAUUAAAUAACAUGAUGAUUUAAAACUUAUAAAUAUGUAUUUUUAAAUGAAAAUAUAUUAGAUCUAAUAGAUUCCGAGAUAAUUUAGAACCUAGAAUUCACCAAAGGCAAAAAGCAAGAUGCAGGAUAUGAAAAUCAGUUGAGAUCUAACAUACCACAAAAAAAAACAAACAUAAAAUAAAAUAAAAAGAAAGGACGUAAAAUAUUCCAAAAUGUAGAUCAUUAUAUUUAAACAAAUAGUGUUUCUUGUUAAAGGACUAAUAAUAAACAAGCGUUCCCUGUAUAUAAAUACAAAAACAAAGAAGCCAUGAGAAAUUGCAUAUGUGAUUAAUGUAUGAUGAUCAGCACGUUUUUGAAGAUAUGAAGUAAAAUCAUCCCAAUAAACUAAAAUAUGGUGACCAUCGAUUAGAUUUCCUUGGAAUAAACUAAAGAAGUUCGCUUCCAUGAUUAAGAAGGGUUGUUUGUGGUGAAAGGCAAAAAGAAACUCAUGCUUUUUGUGCACGCGGCUGGCAGAAGAGGGAGAAAUCGAGAUGGUUUAUCAUGACAGGGAGUUCAACUACAAAUUACAAAAUCCAAAUUUUCUAUCGGACAAUGGUUGAUCCAUGAACACAGAUAAGUUCUGCUACAAUGCAACUCCGACUCCCUUGAAAGACAAUGCAAACACAUUAGAUCUUUCUAUACAUUAAAGUAAGAAACAGCUUUAUGCUAGUUUCCCAUCUCAAUUUUUUUUCUUCUUUUCUUUUAUACGGACGGGCACAUCUAUUUCUGUUCAUUGGUACACAAUCUCUUUAGAAAGAAUUCCAACCAAUGAGUGAAGAUUCUUCCGAUUCAAGUCAAUCCGCCACACAGAAUCCCAAAAGCAGAGGUGCCUACUUAUGCCAACGGCAUAAGCUGAAUAUUGUCAAUUGUCAGUAUCUUCAAGGCCAUGGCUGGCACAAUGAGAUAUGAAAGCUAUUGUGACAAGUCUGCUCUAGUUUGCACCAGCAACCCAACGGUUAUAGGACAACCAUGUGAGUCAGUACCCGUAUCGAUCAUUCAAUGUAGUUCUCCCAUCACCAGAUUGCCCUGCAAGGAACAUGAAAAACUUGUAAUAAAAUCAGCGAUAGUCCAAUGAAUGGAACCAAGUUGAAAUCCAUUCAGCAGUACCCAUUACAGAUGCCACACUUAUACCCAAAUUUCAGGUUCAGAUGACACUAAGCAAUAAUUAAAGGGAGUACCUUCAGGAGGAACCCAUGAUUCAUAUUCUGGAUCUGGAUUGCUAUUAAGAAAUGAAGGCUUCUCAGGACCAAGCACCCGUUUUUGCUUUGUCUCUUUCUUAGAUUGAUUUCUGGCCAACAUUUCAGGGGUUUCACACAAUUCCUCGUCCUCUGCAUGGUACCCUCUAGUGUGCUUCAGUAACAGUGCCACUGCAUUCUGUGCGAUUUCUUCAGCUCCUGUAGAGGAUAAUGUAGAUUGCUCAGAGGCUUUGUCAUCACUUUCAGGGUUCUGAAUCUGUUUCUGUUUCCUUAUAAUCAGACCAGAGGCAGUAGUUUCAAUUCCUGAGUGCCCUUUAACCUGUGGAUCAUCAACACUCCCAAGUACUUUCUUCCUAUCUUUGUAAUCAACAAAUUCGUCAACUUUAUGUGUAUCUACUUCUACUACUUGAUGUGACUCUUUAAUCUCCUUGUUCUCAACAGCACCAAGCCACUGGGGCUUUGCAACAGUAUAGAUAGCCUUUUUCCCGUCAGCUGUAUCACUAAUAAUAUUCUCUUCUGGUUUCUUGAUUGAUUCCAUAGAGACAUCUACAACUCCCUCUUUCUGCAUGGAAGAAUUUGCUGGUUCUGUAGAUGUACUGAUUUUUUUGGGUUCCUUUGGAAGCUGCUUAUUGACAGCAGCAGCAGGAGGUCUUGAUUUGUCAGGUCCUGGUGCUGGUGCUUGUGCCUUUGUAUCCCUUUUCUUAGCAGCUUCUCCUGUUGGAUCAGCAAUCUUCAACAGGUAGAAGAUCCAGUCCAACUCCGACUGAAGGGCAGACAUUUCCUUCUCAAGUUGCACUGUCCGAUCAAGCACUGACAAAGAAAGAUAGGAAAUCAGCCACUUUUGCUACUUGCAUCUCAGAAUUUACUUUUUUCAUUUUUAGAUUGUGAGAAAGUAAACACAAAUAGAAAAAAAGAUGACCAUAUUUAAAAAUGAGAAAAUAGCUUAAAUGUAAUAAAUAUCCACACACAAUGGCUACAUAGCAUAGAGAAAUAAAUUCUUCAUUUUUAUCAUCCAUAAAACUCAAAUGCUUAUUUAUUAAUUAUUGAAAAAUAUUUUUGCUUUUGUAAGCUAGGCUACUUUUUGUGUUUUACGUUCAAAGAAAAAAGUAUGUAGCAAAAGGUUUAAAAGAACCAAGGAAAAAGAAAUGAAAGAAAUUUAGGAAUAUAUAAAAAAGCUAAUGUUCACAAACAACUGGGAAGAAACUUGAAGAAAAACCAGAAUAACAAUGAUAUAGCAAAACAAGUAGUCUAUGAUUUGGAAAUCAACAAUGAGUUAACUGUUUGUGACAUCAGCACUCUGCAUCUUUGAUGUGCAGAACUUUUAGGAAUAUUUUUUUUUAAUGUAAAAAUGUCUCACCUAGCUGGGAUGAAAGCCCAGACAUGUAAGCAUCAAGUGCAUCUCCAGCUUCACUUUCUACUGCAGUUUCUGAUGCCAUUUUAUUCUUCUCAUUCGACAGCAACUCUUUCUUGCCUUCAAUUUCUUUCGUAAUGGUGUCUUUCUUAUCAAGAAGACUAUCAGCAGUUUCAAUAGACUGGGUUUCACCAACUUUUUGCAUGGUAGGUUUCUUCUUUGUCCGGUCAUAGAAUUCAUCAUCAUCACUGAAGAAUCACAAAUCAUUAUAAACAUUAACUAUUAAUCUAGUUUCAUAAGGCAACUAAAAAUAAACCAGAUGCAUAACCAUAUCAUAUACUUAAGGAAGAGAAAACCUUAAAGAAAAUGCUUAGAAAAUUGAGAAAAGUAAAUGCAAUAACUGCUAAUUAUAAAUAUGUUUUAGAUGAAUAACUAAAGCAAAUAUGAAUAACUAGAGUGAAUAGCUAAGUAUAUAAAAAAUUUUCCAUGCAUUUCAAAAAUUGUGGCACCAGAGGCAAAUAUAAAAUCUUCUUUUUAUUGUUUUGCUGUAUCUUAAAAGAUUUCUAUAUCCACCAGGAAUUUCUCAUAAAGACAAUUACCUUGAAAAGUCUUCAUCAUCAUCCUCUGGCCCUCCCUUCCUCUUACCACGAGACAUUGUUCCACCACGUGCAACCUAUGCUUUCCAACGAAUACUGUCAUUUAGUGUCUCUUCUAAGUUUUCAAGCUCUUCCAUUAUCUACCAAAAUUGUAAGAAAUAGUGUAUCAAUAAUUUUCUUUAAGUUCUCUUCACAAUCAAGGGAGAUGAGGGCCAAUAAGAACCUUAAGGCCCAAUAUUAGAGAAUCAAUUCGUAACUCCAAAUGGAAUACAUCAGACUCCUAUCCACAUAACUUUCAACAUACCUGUGUUAUUCGUUGUUCAUUUCUAGCAAUCUGAGUUUGCUGGCCUUGUGUCAACCCACCUUGAGCAAUGUCUUUCACACGUAUUGCAUCUAUCUCUUUCUUCAUAUGAGCAAUCUACAUCCAGAACAAUGAGUUGUAAAUGAUAAAUGACAAGCACUGAAAUUGACAUGGAAAGAUGAGAAAAUGACACCUCUAAGUCGAAUAAAAAAGAACUAGAAAGAAAGUUCAGACAACUAAAAGCGAGCAGCCUAAAUGAGGAAAACAAAUAUCAUUAAAUACAUUUCAUGAAAAGAAUUCUCAAAGAGACAAGGACUUGCCUUUUCAGUCCUUUUUAUUAUCUUAUCACGGGUUUUUUCCUGCUUCUCUGUAAGCUGUCCUUUGUAGGUUUGCCAACUCACUUCAUCAGCUUCGUCCUAAAUAUCCCAAUGACAGAAAAGAAAAUUAACAAAAUUAUCCAUUCAUUCUUACAUCAAAACAAUAUAAAAUUAGGGAUUGAACAGAAAAAAGUUUGAUAUAUGAGGCCAUUGUGAAAAUCGUUGGCUCUAGACCCCCCCCCCCCCCCCCCCAAAAAAAAAAAAAGAGGGACAGAAAGUGAUAAGACAGCUUAUAAUUAUAUCCAUACAUAUGCGUCAAUAAGAUAUUCAAAUAAGCAAUCAGCACUAAUUAGCCAGUAGGGAAGAAAGUCACCAAAUUCUUUAUAUUUAUCUAAUUGCUCGCUGAUGGAAUGAUGUGGAUCCUCAAAGAAGUACAACAAUUGUGUCUUUGCACGCAUCAAAAUUUUGUGUGAAAGAGUUCAGGUCUUUUUCUUUUAAAAAACAUUAAUGACAUAGAAAAUCAACAAAAAGAAAUUCCAAGAGCAUAGCACAAGACAUCAAUCACGAAAAGAAUACAAAAUUACAUCCUUCGCUAAUUAUAUUAGUUUCUAAGUAUUUCAAUCUGAUAUCACUUUAAGAUACAAGUUAUACAAACCUCUGCUUCUUCAAUAGCAUCCUCUCCCAUGCCCCAUGAGAUACCAUCAGAAAGAGAUGCUUCUGCCCUUGCUCGUCUAAGUGAAGCUUCUUGAUCUAACAACUCUUCUCGGAUCUUAGCUUCUCUGAUGACUUUCAAGUCUUUUUCCUACAACACAAAAACAUUAGAAAAGUAACAGCAAUUUAACACAGUAAAGAAAAUUGCAUAAAAUAUAAGAAGUAAAAUUUUAAUGGCUGAAACAAUAGAAAACUUCUGCUGUUUCUCUCUAAUUCUUCUUUCAAUACAACAAUAUAAUGUAACUAAAUGUUAAAGCCAAAGAGAAGGUUAUGACCCAGAACAUAUAACUCAACAAAGUAUUUCCUAAUAGCAUUUCCUUCAAAAGAUGUCAAGUAACCAAAGUAAAUAAAAUAACUCAAUUUUUUUUAUCCUUUGAAAAUGAUACAACGGGAUUCUUAAUUGUUAUUUACCGGGACUAUUACUCCUACCACCAAUUGCUUCGAUCUUCAAUCAUUUUAGAAAUUUAAAAAGAAAAACUAUUGAUUCCAUAGGGAAAGGUGGCAUGAAAUUCAUCAAUGCACAGGAAGCUCAGAGGUUUAAGAAAAUUUAGUAACCCACCCUAGCCACUGCUCUCUAAAGUAUUCCGAAAGAGAGUUCCAGUUAAAAUAUAUUCAGAUUGUUGGAUGCAGAGUCAUGAUGUUACAUUCCCAGCAAUUAAAAUGUCAGAUAUUUAUCCAUGCAUUUAUGAAUAAACUAAAAUGAAAGGGUAUGAAACAUGAUGAAGAUUUUUGCCUACAUGAUUGCCACUGCACAGGUCUGUAUAUUAGUUCAUAAAAUGGGACGGGAACAUGUGAUUGAGUAUGAUUACUGACAAGUGAGUUUCAUGAGUUUUUUAGAAACUGGAAACUGGAAAUUCUAAUAAAGAAAAGAUUUAUGCAAACAAACAAAUCUGAGGACAAAAAAGUAAUUCUAUCUGUUAAACACUUCAACCCCUAAAUUGAAAAACUAAUAUCAAAUGAAAGAACGAAAAACCAUAAAUUCGUAGCAUAAAAAUCUUACUGGUGGCAUCAACUCAGAAGGCCCUUGGAAAAUAUACAAACGAGAUGACCUGCACAAUAAGAAAGUAGAAAAAAUAACCACAACCUGACAUAAUAUCUUAUUUCUCUCCCUUGUUUCCUUUUUCUUCCAUAAGUAAACAAACAAAGACCAUCCAACAUGGUACAUGAGGUGAAUGCAAUGAAGCAUUAGAAAAGUUCAGAAAGUGUAGAGCAAACUGAACCCCAAGCUAUUAAAAAUAAAACCAAUAGAAACUUAUACACCUAAUCUGCAAACUCCCAACCCCCCUCACCACCAUCUUCCCCUAUGUUUGCAGGCCUAUAAAAAAAGAAAUGAUGAAUUUACAAGUGAAGAAAGUACGCCUUCUGAUCAAUACUUAUAUCAUUUUUUACCACCAUAAAAUCUAUGAGGCCCAAGGGAUUCUGCAUAAAGGAGCUAAGCCAAAUAGUCCUUUAGUGGGGACAAGGGACAGACCGAUAUAUGAACAUCAGAAUAACAUGCAAUGCUCAACCAAAUUUUGGAUCUAUGACUGAUAUUGCAUUUUCCCUUUACAAAAGAUACCAAUCAAAUGAGCAAUUAAAAUAAUACAAAAGAAAAUCAACCAGAUGAAAGGCAUUGAAAGAAAGAUGAAGAAAUGAAAAUAUGAGCAAAUCAAGACGCCCAAGCACAAGUAUACUUACUGGCCAAACCGAAUGACAUCACCUACGUGUAAGUCCACAUAAGUCCUUUUUGUCACCUAAUUAUUUAGGAAAGAAUAUCAACUCAGCAUGAGAUAUGACAAGCACAAGAAAUUAUAAUCUAGCAGAAAGUCCAUAAAAUUUUCCACAUAAUAUCAAACAAGCAACUUAAAGCAACUGGACAACCAAACAUCAAUUGCUUAUGAUAACAGAGGUUCAGUCAUCUUCACCCUCUACAAGAGAUAUACAAAUCCCGAACAAAUUAAGAAUAUGUAUGUUUAUCUACUCUUUGCUUGAUUGAAUCAUUAAAAAAGAAAUUAUAAGCAUCAAUAACUUCCUGGCUGAUAGAAGCAAAAAUAAUAGGAGAAGAAAGGAUUUAUGCGAGGAAGCCCAGCCAAUACUAUUGAACAUUGUAAGCAUAGCUCUAAAAUGUCCAACUGUAACAACCUAAGGCUAAAAAUUCAAAUUAUAGAUAAGAUAUCCUGAAAAUGCCCCCAAUAAAAGAGAUCAAAAUUUCAAAAGCAGCAAAUAAGUGAAAGAAUCCAAGAUAAAAAUUUCUAGCAUGAAGCAGAGAGUUGACCUGCAAAUAUUACCAUCUUAGCCAAAAAUCCAAAAAAAAAAAAAAAAAAACUGAAACAAGGUAGCAUGAUAAUAUGCAACUCAAUAAAACAAACAGAAUACAGUUGCAUGGCAAUACCUGACUCUUGUUGAUAAAAGUGCCAUGCGUACUGCCAAGAUCAUAAAGAUAGGCCUCCCCGCUGCUCCUGAACUGAAGCACUAGUAAAGAGAAACAAGUAAUUAAAAAUAACAAAAGGAAAACCAUUAGCACAUUCCUAUGAUUAACGUUCUACUUAAUCCUAGAAUUCCUAUAUUUGUGCAUAAAACCAUAAAUAUUUCAAGUGCAACAAACAGCCUACUAAUAGUAUUACAAGGAUAAGGAAGAGGUAAAAAAUUUACAAGAAUAAAAUCUCAUCAAACACCAUCUUUUUUGGGCAAUGUAAAAACACAAUUUUGUUUAGUUCAGAUGCCACAAAUUUGUUAGUGGGGUGGUGAUGAGCAAGUUUUUGUAAAAUAGAAAACACAAGUGAGUUAAUUGGAGAUUAGAGAAUGCAUUCAUUGUGCUGCCCAAGACAAAUCAAACUUCUAGAGGGUACAGAGUCUAACAUUUUAGACAAAUUUGAUUAAUUGGUUCACAAGAAUAUAACAACCCUCACAUGCUAUCAUGUCAGGCAGCCAAAUAUGGUUUAUUAUAAAGUACAAAGAGCAGCCAGACGGAAGAGUUCACCAAAUCAUAAAAGCUAUACUGCAUAAAAUAAAGAUAACUACAUCUUAGUUGGCCAACUUAAAGAAUCAAAAUUGGAGAAGGUUGAUAGCCUUCAUAAUGAACUUGAAAUAUGUUACGCCAAUAACCAUAACAUUGACGAUGUAAACUUCACAAAGUAGAAAAAAUCUAUAAAAUCUUUGUUUCUUGGGCAUCCAACUGAUUUGCCAUUUAAAAUCAUACAUUUUCUUACUUAGCUAAUUGAAUCUACUUCCUUAGAAUCCCAACAAAAUAACAUAUUGUAGUCCUUAUUUUAUUCUAGAAACAAAUAUUUCCACAAAGACAAAAAAUUAUUUUCAACUCCGCGAACCAAACUUAAGUUAUUUAAUAACUAGCUUAAUGCUCAUAGAAAAUUAAAAUAGUCAAAUAAAAAGAUUUACCAGCAUGAAACCGCGAAAUAGUGGGAUGCUCAAGCACAAAAUCGCAGAGAUCAACACGCCCAAACAUAUAGGCUCCCUUCUCGUUCCUAUAAAAACAAAUUUCACUAUUAUUCAACAAUUCCAAAAAUAAAUAAUAAAAAUGAUGGCUUCAAAGGAAAGGGUAAAGUAAUUACACUUGAAAUUGGUCAACGAUGCAGCCAUCUUUAAGGACCUCAAGGAAGAAGCGGUGAGAAGGAGGUCCACUCCACUGAGGGAUUGUGUAAGGUACAGAAGAUUGCUUUGAAUUUGAUUGCUUUUCAAUUGAAUUCGGUUCUGAAUUUGAAUUUGAUUGUUUUUCUUCGUCUAGGGAGUUAGGGUUUUUUGGAGGAAGUGGCGGAGGACCCAUGGAGGAUUUGUCUGUUGUGGGUUCGGAUUCUUCUUGGAUGAUCAGUUCGGGUUCCGUCGACGGGUUAGGGUUUCGGGGAGGUGGUGGACCCAUCGCGGAUGUCAUGGCUGCAGAGAGAGAGAGAGUGAGGCGUAGAGGCGUUGCAGAGUCCGAGGAGACUAACGCGCCACGGCGAGCUACGUUAAACAGAUCUUAAAUUGGGUUUGCACUAAAGGGGGAAAAUGGGCUGCUCGGUUUUGGGUGGAUCCAUCUUUUUUUUUUUUUUGGGGAAUAUAUGCAAGGAAAUAGACAAGGCUCAAAUUAUAGAAUUACAGACAUAUAUAAUAAGUCACAUACAAUACAAACCUAUUGACAUACUCUUGUGCUAAUUUUUUUCCUCAUUGCUUUUUUUUUUUUUUUCUCAACUACAUUUUGGUAUAAAUUAAAAAAUUGAUUCAUAAAAAUAUUAAAGAUUGAUUGAGUUCCUCCGUAAAGAAAGAGAGAUUGUCACCCAACUUUCAAAAAUCUAUAAUUAUAUAUUUUCUUCAAUUUUUUUGAUAAUAAAAAAUUAUAAAAAUUAGGAUUUAAAUUUUAUAUUUAUUGAUGUUACCUCGAAAAGAUACUAAAUGAAUCAAUUAGGCUAAACUUCAAUUUUAUAUUUUCUUCAAUUUGAUAUUGAUUUUUUUGGCCAAAUUCUUGUUAAUCUUAACAAACAAGGGUUAAAAAAUUGCAUCAUUUUGGUGAAAAUGGGAAUAAUUAAUUUCAUAGAGGCCGAAAUACUUUUACCAACUAUUUCUAAAUUGACCAAUAUUAUGUUGUUUAGUGGCUCAAUACCUACAUUGUUUUUUAUCAAAACUUUGUAUUCAAGCAUCUCCCUCAUAUUUUGCUUAUGGAAUUGCUGUCAUCUAUCACCAAAACACCAAUUAGAUACAGUCCAAAUGAUGCUGAACCAUCGAUGCUGUUGAUGAAUAAUACAAAUCUGCUGUUAAUCUUUAUUUUAAUUAAUAUACCAGAAAUGCAAAUCUUUUUCCAACUUGUAAAAAUGUGAAGCAAAUUGCACAUUUGCAGUAUAUAAAAAUCCUGGAAACAUCAAAAGGCGUUGUAAUAAUCUGAACAACCCUAAGUCCCUGGAUGAUCAAUUAUUUCCAGAGAAGUGAAACAGACAUGUACAUUCACCCAACAGUACAUUUGAUUCAUAAAAACGUAAAAAAACAAAGCACCCAAAAAAAAAAAAAAAACUAAAUGUACUUUAGAUCAUGGAGGUGGAUGUUGGUAGACAGAUUGUACUUUAGUUUCCAACAAAGAAACAUAUCUAUCAAGAACUGAAAUCACAGCUUCAAACUCGGUGACUUGCUGUUCUAUCGCAUCGAUCUGUUGAACAUACUCAUCAAAGUUCCCACUCUUGUUUUUCAACUGUUCAACAAAUACCCUUAACCCAGAUGCCACAUCCCCAAAUCCUUUAUAUUCCUCUGCCACCCUCAAAUUCAUCUUCUCCAAUAGCUCCAAAAUAUUGUUAGUUCCCCUGCAAAAACGAUGGGUAAAACAAAAAAUGGGCAACCUCAAAAGGAUAUAAAAAUUGACCCAUACAUGUCAAUUUAUGAAUGUAAUUGGAGUUUUGUAGAGAAAAUGUAGAUGGGAUUUCUUUUUUGUUGGGAGUUAUUGGGUUCGGGGAUACCUGAAGUUCGGAUUUGACCAUGGAGGAGAGGCUGGUGAAGAGAUCGUUGAGCGACUCGGCAAGCUCGUCUUGGACCUCUGGAUCUUUAUCAGCCAUCGCUGGACCCAAUUUUUUGUGUUUCUUUUCUUCAACGAUGGGAUGAAAUUGGUUGUUGAAGGAAGUAAAACAUAUUAACUAUAUUAAUGGACCAAACCCAAUGGGUUGGCUUGGGUUGGGCAAUUAGCUUGGGUUGCCUUUUCAAAGUAAAGUCCUCACUCAUUUUGGUCCAAGUCCAACUAUUUAGAUAUUUUUUAAUAUUUUAACUGAUAAUUAUUUUUAAUUUUUUUAAUAUUUAAAAUAAAUAAAUUAUUCAAUUCUUUAAAUCAAGAUAAAAUAUAUCAUACCUAAAAAUUUAAAAAAAAAUAAUUGUAAAUUGUACAUUUAAGAUGACAUCAAUAAACGAUCAUCAAUAUAAUUCGAAUUCAAAAUUUUUUUAUAAAAAAAAAAAUUUUUAAUCAAUUAAAUCAAUCACUUAUUAAUGAUAUUUUCUUUUAAUUAUUUCAUCGAGCUAGAGCCCUUCGCAACAUUAUACUAUUUCAUUUUUUUGUUUCGUCUAGUUAUUUCAUUUAAGGUUGAACGUUAGUAAGUGGAAACCAUUUAACCUGACAAAAAUCGUUUGCAUUUGGUAAAUUUGAAUUGAUUUAAUCAAUUUCAAGUAUAUGACAGUUUCACUCUCGACUUUAAUAAUUUUCUUAUCAAUUGUCAAUGUUAAAUUUUGAAAUUUGAUCGAAAAACUAAAUUACCCUAAUUAAUUAAUAAGAUAUAUUAUUAAUAUCUUUUAAUCUUUUGCUUUUUUACCCAUUUUACCAAAUGCAACCCUAGCCCCAAAUUUUUCCCUCUCAUUUGCUUUGUUUUUUGCAGCCUUGCCUUCACCGUCACACCCAUAUCACCUCACGUACCUCUCGAUCNNNNNNNNNNNNNNNNNNNNNNNNNNNNNNNNNNNNNNNNNNNNNNNNNNNNNNNNNNNNNNNNNNNNNNNNNNNNNNNNNNNNNNNNNNNNNNNNNNNNNNNNNNNNNNNNNNNNNNNNNNNNNNNNNNNNNNNNNNNNNNNNNNNNNNNNNNNNNNNNNNNNNNNNNNNNNNNNNNNNNNNNNNNNNNNNNNNNNNNNNNNNNNNNNNNNNNNNNNNNNNNNNNNNNNNNNNNNNNNNNNNNNNNNNNNNNNNNNNNNNNNNNNNNNNNNNNNNNNNNNNNNNNNNNNNNNNNNNNNNNNNNNNNNNNNNNNNNNNNNNNNNNNNNNNNNNNNNNNNNNNNNNNNNNNNNNNNNNNNNNNNNNNNNNNNNNNNNNNNNNNNNNNNNNNNNNNNNNNNNNNNNNNNNNNNNNNNNNNNNNNNNNNNNNNNNNNNNNNNNNNNNNNNNNNNNNNNNNNNNNNNNNNNNNNNNNNNNNNNNNNNNNNNNNNNNNNNNNNNNNNNNNNNNNNNNNNNNNNNNNNNNNNNNNNNNNNNNNNNNNNNNNNNNNNNNNNNNNNNNNNNNNNNNNNNNNNNNNNNNNNNNNNNNNNNNNNNNNNNNNNNNNNNNNNNNNNNNNNNNNNNNNNNNNNNNNNNNNNNNNNNNNNNNNNNNNNNNNNNNNNNNNNNNNNNNNNNNNNNNNNNNNNNNNNNNNNNNNNNNNNNNNNNNNNNNNNNNNNNNNNNNNNNNNNNNNNNNNNNNNNNNNNNNNNNNNNNNNNNNNNNNNNNNNNNNNNNNNNNNNNNNNNNNNNNNNNNNNNNNNNNNNNNNNNNNNNNNNNNNNNNNNNNNNNNNNNNNNNNNNNNNNNNNNNNNNNNNNNNNNNNNNNNNNNNNNNNNNNNNNNNNNNNNNNNNNNNNNNNNNNNNNNNNNNNNNNNNNNNNNNNNNNNNNNNNNNNNNNNNNNNNNNNNNNNNNNNNNNNNNNNNNNNNNNNNNNNNNNNNNNNNNNNNNNNNNNNNNNNNACCUCCUCUAUCAGUAAUCAAUAUUCACACUUUACCCCUGACCCUUUUUCAUCAUACGUUGCAUUCUUUCAACUCCUUUUUGUAACUGUCUUUUCCAUGGGUGAAUGGAGAAAGACAUAAUGGAUGUAAACAAGAUAUAGGCACCGCUAGUCAUAUCCUCAAUACUAAACAUGCUGAAUUAGUUGCCGUUCGUUUCUUAUUUUAGUUUAACUCUCCCUAUUUUUAAUGUUGGUGUUUGUGUUCUUUCUACCACAUUGAGAUCAUACAAUGUGCCAGAUUUAGAUUCAAGACCACAAGAAAGUUAAAGGAAAGAACAUAAACUUCCAGGAUUGCAUAAUUACAGAAGCUAAAUAUUGGACCAUUCAGCAAUAGCACCCUGCAGCAGGGGAUGUCAAUUCUUUACCUUGAUAACAUCAUAACAUAUAUCAAGUCGUAUUCAAGUUAACCCCUGUAAUUUAGGAAAAAGGUAGGAGUCCUAAUGUGAGAAAAACAAAUUUUAUUUGUCCCAACCUCAACUUUAAAUCCACAAGAAAAAUAUUUUGCUGAGAAUUUUUUCUGGUAGUGACAAACUAGAUAAUGGAAACACCCAUAUUUGCAGGUUCAACGGUAUCAGAUCAGACUAUUCUUUUGCAUUCCCAAGUGGUUUUAGUGAUCCUAAGGAAGGUAUUAACACCUAUAUCAAGAUAAAGCAAAAUCAAACUCACACAAGUGAUGUAAAUAAACGUUUAGGGAGGGUCAAUUGAAGGUUUACCUGGCUGACAUGAACGCAGUAAUCAAACUUCAUCAUAGAAUUCAGAAAUCAGCUAGUACCUAGGAAAUACAGGAAAACAUCAAUUAACAACAUAAAACCAACAAAACCAAAAAUUUUACACAAUUUAUGUUAUUUUCAGGGAAAUUAUAAAAUAGAAAUUAGUGGAUUAAGUGAACUUACAUCUCCUUGAAAUCAUCCUUGGUCUUGUUAAUUAGAUGCAUAAAGCAGAAAUUUGAUCAAAAGAAAUGAAAAAGCUUCAAUCUUUUUCAGUUUUGUUCAACCUCAUCAUCAGCCUCAUCAUCAAAGCUAAAACUUCCACUGCUCCAAAGUCUUGUUGUGAUAGUGGGAUUAUCAAGGCCAUUGUCAAAAUUGACCUCAUCAUCAAAGCUGAAACUUCCACUGCUUCAACGUCUUUUUGUGAUAAUGGGAUUAUCAUGGUUGUCAAAAUUGACAUCUUCUUGAUGUAUUAAUCUGCCAAAAUUUAGACUGCUUCCUUUUAUUGAGAGCCAAUUUGAAUGAAUUGCAGGGUUUAGCUGGCAUUUUAUCAUUUUAGGAUUGCAUUUGUCCUCAUCAUCAUGAGUGCGUGGCAGGCAAGCAGAAAUUCCGUAACUUGAUUCCAAAAACUGAAGGGGUGGUUUCCCCUCCACUCCACUAGAGCUGAAAUUUUUGUUGGAUUCAACAUUGCAGUCAGUAUAACACUCAGCAUCCACAUAAAAUACAUGUACACCACGUUUCUCCACCUUCAUAUGAUCUACUAGAAUUCAAACGAGGCCUCCUCAUAGUGCUUGUCUUUUCGAAACAUAUUCUUAUCAAACCAAAAGAUCAUGUUAUUGGACUCAAAGAAUAUGGGCUCAUCAUAAUACAUAGGCGAAGUCCGUCUACUUCUAAAAUUAUGACAAUCACCGCAUUUGGUUUUUAACUGAAUUUUGCAAACAAUUUGAACACCAAUGUCUUCAUGAUUGAUCUUGAAAUCAACCACAACAGAUUGAACAAAACACAAGAAACUCUCACUUUGCCAAUCUGGACACAGCUUGAUAGUUAUUGAAGAAUCCAUGCUUCGGUACUCAAAUCUUUCUGAAAUUUCACUACAGGCAACAACUCUAUCAAGAAUAUUGCGGGUACUAUUUCAUGAAAUCCCCUCGACCUUUCUUUCACCCAUUCCUCUACCAUGCACUGAAGUCUAAGAUGUGCAUUGGCCACUAUUUUGUCGACUACACCUUGAUCCAAAUCGAAGAAAUUACUGAAUAACAUCUGGACUAGGCAAGAAUUCUCCCAAAACCGUCUUCUGCUCAACACCAGUUCUAAUGAAGUCCAGUCAUGCGCAUUUAGGUGUCGUAGACGUGGUGGAAGCUCAGGCAAUAUUAUAAGGCUCUUGCAACAUUUUAAGCAAAGAGAAAUUAGAUUGGGAAGUUGUUGCAUGCUCAUGGGAGUUUUCACUAUAUUUGACCCACUUAGAUCGAGAGUCGUCAAAACAUGAAAUUUGCUAAAGCAACUGCUAAGGAUGACACCCAGAAGAUUCAAGUUUCUAUUGUACCUCACACCAAUUAUGUGGUCAUUCAAGAUGGGUGAGACUUUUAUACUUAAUCUUUUCGAACAAGCAAGCUUAGUUAGACAUUGCAUAGUCUCCACGAUUUCUGGGAAAGUCUCUAAAUUUGAACAGCCUGUGAGACAAAGUUGUCGAAGACAUUUCAGCUUGCAAAUACAUGUUGGAAAACUUUUAAUCCUCGUACAGUCAUUCAUACUCGACACGAACAGGCUUUCAAGCCUAGCAAUUGAUGAGGGCAGUUCUUCUAUUGCUGUCGUCCAGUAAUAAGAUUUCUAUGUUGCUCGAAACAUUUGGAAACUGGGUAAUGUUUAGGUAAUGACGGAGAUGGAUUGCUUUUAGGAACUCCAAAUUUACAAUAGUGCUUGGAAGAUUUUCAAUCCUUGUGCCACUCAUAUCCAAAAGAGCAAGUUCUUUGAGACAAUUGAUUGAUGAAGGCACCUCUUUGAUUUGAGUAUUGCUCAAAAUUAAGUCUUUUAUGUUCUCUGAAACAUUUGGAAAACGAGUGAUGUUUGCGCAACGAGAGAGACAGAUUGUUCUAAGGGAAUUCAUCUUAACAACAGUACUAAGAAGAUUUUUAACUCGUGUAUGGCUCAUUUGUAAGGAAGCGAGUUCUCUGAGACACUCAAUUGAUGAAGGCACUUCUUCUAUUUGAGUCGCACUCAAGUUUAAUGUCUUUAAGGUUCUAGGAAUUUCUGGAAAUAUUGUGAUUGGGUAGUCACUAUGACACAGAUUUUCAAGAAAUUUCAAAUGAACCAUGCAUGGAAGCUCAACCAAGCUUAUGCACCCGCUAACCUCCAAUUCUUCAAUGUUUAUGGCCCUUGACAGAUCUGGGAUCUUUGUUAAAUUCUUGCAAUUUCGGAACUCAAUCACUCUUAAAUUCACAAGAUUCUGUAGGAUGAAAAUAAAGAAUAACUACAUUAAUUUAAAGUCUGUAAUUAAAUUUAGAGUUUUACUAAAAAAUGGAAAAAAAAUAUAGAAAAGAAUAAUGUUUUCUUUUUGGAUGAGCACAAUAUUAAAGUAUAUAGACCUGAUCUUUAGCCCAAAGUUGUUUGAAGUUACUAUUCGGUAAUCUUAAUUCCACAAGCUUCUCUGGACUAAAAUUUGAUGGCAAAGAUUUCAAUGGGCAAUACUCCCACUGAAAAUAACUGAGCUCACCAGGAAGAGAUUUAAGAUCCUGCUGUGAAAGCAGUGAUUUACCUUCAUUUCCACAAAACUGAGAAUAAUAGAAUUCGAUAAACCUGAGAUCAUGCAUCUUUGCAAAAACAUCUUGAUGUAAUUGUAUUUCAUCAAUUCCAUACAUGUCUAGCAAUAUCCCUUCAAUUGAUUUACUCCCCUAUCACAAACAACAAAUUAUAAAAUAUAAAUUAAAUAAUUUUUAUCAUUUAACUUAUGAACAAGGAAAAAUAAGAUAAUGCUCUUAACUCUUACCAUAUCAUGUUUUAAAACUCGAGACACAACUGUAGGAGUCCAUAGCCUACUGCCUUCGCCCGGCUCUUUGGAUUCUUGGCGAACAAUAUUCCAACCAGUAUUAUCCGAUUCUAUAAUAUUAACCAUGCACUUAUCAAUCAGGUUACUUAUUCCAAAAAGCACGCCUUUAUAAAAACUAUUUAAUAUUUUUGCAACAACCUUAGUCUUUUCCCCUUUAAAAAAGCAUGCGAUAUAGAGAAAUAUACUCCUCUGUGUGUCAUCCAAUCCAUCAAAACUAAUCUUCAAUAGAUUAUGAAUUUUUGGGUUGGAAUGUUCCUUUAAUUUAUUUAAUGCACUUUCCCAUUGUUCUUCACACUCUGAUAAAGUGUAGAGGCCAAGACUUUAAGAGCUAUUGGAACCCCUUUAGCAUAUUCCAAAACUCUGUUUGAUAGAUCCAUAAAAUCAUCAGGAGGAUGGUUUUUCUUGAAGGCAUAUAGAGAAAAAAGAUGAAGUGAGUUAGGAUAUUUUAAUCCCUUAACUUCAUAUAUUCUAUCAACUGAUCCAUUCUUAAGUACUUGUUUAUCUCUAGAUGUUAUUAUAAUUCUACUUCCAUAACCCAAGUGAUCACGACUGAUUGCUAAUAUUUCUAAUUGGUCCAAAUCACUGACAUCAUCAAGGGCAACAAGUACCCUUUUUCGAUGGAGUCUAUCAUUCAAGAAUGUAGAUCCUAUUCUGGGAGUGCCAGUAUUGAGACUUUCUUCUUCUAAUAUUAUAGAAAGAAUAUCUCGUAGAGAAGUGAUUCCAUCACGUUUUAUUGACUCCUCUGUGACAUUGGAAACAGCAGCCAUCAAAUUUAUCAUAGACUUCAUCAUAAAUAGCUUGAGAAAGAGUUGUUUUGCCUAUACCACCCAUACCCCAAAUUCCUAUUAUUAUCAUUGGGGUGUCUUUCUUAUUAAUGGCUAACAAAGCUUCAAUUCGCUCUUUGUGAGAAUCAAUUCCAACCAAUCCUUUAGAAUCACUUGGAGACAUGCGAUGCAACUUCUUUAUAAUAUCUUCAACAAUUUUCUCCAUGUAAUCAGGUUCGGAUCUAACAAAUACAUAAAAUGAAUAAACUAAAAUCAAAAUUUUUUUUGACGGAAAUCAGGUUUUAGCGACGAAAUUUUCCGUUAUAAACUAAAAAAAUUAAAAUUAAUAUAAAUAAUAUCGAGAGGAUUGAGAAGAUUUGUUACCUGUCAGAUUUAUCUCCCACUAUAUGCCACCCCUUUAUAUAGCCUGCUUCAGUAAAAGCAUCUUUCCACCCUUGCAAUAUGUGUGCUCACUUUUCUUGAUGAUCAGCAAAAGCUUUUUCAAAACUUCCGGUACGUAUUCGAACAUAGGAAGGACUAACAUGGUAGAAUAUAGGCACUACUUCUUGUUUGUUGGCACGGUUCAGUUCCAUGAUCUUCAAAAGUUAUUGCAAGCACCAUGACGAACAAGCAUAGUUUGUUGAGAAAAUGAUUACCGAGAUCUUUGAUUCCUCGAUUGCUUUCAACAGAGCUGGAGACAGUUUCUGCCCCUUUUUCAGUUCGUUUUCAUCGAUGUAGACGCCGAUCCCUUUCCGUUUCAGAGCCUGAUAUAAAAUAAGCGGUGAAGUUGUUGCGAGUGUCUUCACCGCUGAAACUGAGAAAAACAUCAUGCUUAGGUUGAUGAGAGGAGGAAGCCAUGGAAGCAAGAUCCUGUGCUUUUAAGAUUGGCGGAGUAAAAUGAUAUCAAUUAAAGCCAGAACUGAUCCACAUACGGAGCAGUUUUUAUAAAAUUGGGGGCAACAGCCUAAACUAAGUUUAAUUUUUUUUUUUUUGUUUCUCCAAUUGUUUGUCAAACUUCAUGGCCAUGGUCAAAUUGAAACACUGAAGAAGCUUAUCCUCUCAUAAUUAAAAUCUCCAAAGAUUUUAUUUUUCUUUUUCUUUUUUCUAAAUGUUCAAUUUUCUUUGGAUGAGAUUCGGUAUGAUUUUACUUCAUUUAUUUGUAAAAAAUGAUUUUAAGGUGUUAUUUUUUAUUUGUUUGAAAAAACUGAAAUUCUUCCAUUGAUUAAUUUGUGAACCACAUAGAUAAGAGACAUUCAUGAUAUAAGCCAUUUGGCAUCUCUAAAUGUGAGCUUAACCUCUCCAAAUCCAUGCAUUUAUGCUUGAUGCUAUUUAAAAAUUUAUUAAAAAAAAUUAUUAUUUUAUAUUAUCAUAUAUAUAUAAUUUCUUCCAUCUCAAAUCUUUUGAGUUUUUUUAUUUUCAUAAAAUUUAAAAAAUUUCUGACUUUAUUUUAAUAUUAAAAUUUUAAAUUUUUUUAUAAAAAUGAAAUUCGUUAAAAAAUAAAAAUAAUAUAUUAGUUCGGGAAAAGACAGAAGAACAUAAAAAUAGUUAAAAUUUCAUGAUAAACCGUUGUGAAUAAGAUCAAGAAAAGACAGGCUUGUCGAGAACUACUGACUUAAAGUCCGAGUCUAAGUGUCACGGACCUAAGGAAGAGUCCCGAAUCCCAAAUCGAACAUAAUAAAAGGGUCAUUGGGGUAUAUAAGGGUUCACACCACCUCCGCCUUGUGAGGUGCCUUUUGUAGGACAAAACCGUGAGGCCAAGGGGACCAGAGCGGAUAAUACCUCACAAGAGUGUGAACCGAGACAGGAAGGCUGAUCUGGAACGCCUGAAGGGUGAAUGCCCGGGUCUCGAAGCCCCGCGGGUUCGGAGCUUAAGUCUCGACCUGUGACAAGUGGUAUUAAAACCAGCCUUAAACCGUUCGAUCCACACCAAGUACCUCAAGGGAGACAGGCAAGGUGGUCAGCCUCCGUGACGAGGGCAUCACGAGAUUGGGUGCAGAAGAAUGUCACAGACCUAAGAAAGAGUCUUGAAUCCCACCGCCUUGUGAGGCGCCUUUUGUAGGACAAAACUCUGAGGUCAAGGGGUCAGAGUGGACAAUACCUCACAAGGGUGUGAACCGUGGCAGGUAGACUGAUCUGGGAUACCGGAAGAGUGAAUGCUCGGGUCCCAGAGCCGCGCGAAUUCGAAACUUAAGUCUCGACCCGUAACACAAGCACAAGCAUAAAGCAAAAAAUCUUAAAGAAAAGUUGCAGCUCUUUAGGGCUUGGUCAUCCCCCCUACUACUGCAAAAACUUCAAUUCCAUCCUUGUUUCAUUUGAGUAGAAGGGUCACCAUAAUCUUUUCCGGUUUUCAGCUAUCUCAUUCAAUCAUUGGUUCACCACCGUCGGGAAGAUGUCAUCCUCAUUGUCCUUGCUUCCAAUUUCUCAACGGCUGCUCCUUUUCCAACCUCAUCAGCGCUAAAACUUCCGUUGCAGUCGGUGUAUGUUAGUGUUCACCAUUGGCUUUCUCAGUGCAAGCAUCUUUGAAUAAUAGCAAUGACAAACUCAGCUUCAAGGUGAGCCUAGUCGAAUCACGAGGAAAGCUGGGCUCGAUCUUGUUAGGAUUGCAUUUGAUUUCUUUACCUCCGCUUGAGCUGCAUAGCAAGAUGCUAUAAAAUAUGAAAAUGGGCACCAUUUCAAGUGAAACCAUAAACUAAUGUAUUGACAAUCUGCUUAAACAAUUUCUACUCCACAUAAUUGGAGUUGUUGAAGUAAAAUACUAGUAAUUCAGUAUUCAUUUCUGCACAAUCACUUGCAAUGAAAAUUCUGACAUCAAAAGCUAGCUAGCCAUCUAAGUUUGACUAAGUUUUCAUAUCAAUUUAUACUAGUAAAAAGCUAAUUGAUCAGUUUCCUAAUUAUAUAACUAGUGUUUUUAGAAAAUGAAGAUGUUGAAACAAAGGCUGGUAAUUCCCAAGUGCAUUCAGUAUAAGAAGUACUAAAUCUCUAUCCAGUCAGAUCACAUCAUUUUAAACACAGUAAGUUGAGAAUGUAGCAAGUACUCAAGCUCUCAUUGUUUGAUUCAUAAAUAUUAAAGCUAUCAAUUCAAAGAAAAAUGUCGAAAGAUGUCCCUUCAACACUCACAGUAACACCCACCAUUACCUCUUUUAAGUAUCAAUAAUCUAUAUGCAGCUUGAGAUUUACCAUAUCUGAAAAGCAACUGACAUGUGUCCUGCAAUGAUACCAGAAUAGAAAGUGAUUGACUUUCCUAUUAAAUACAAAUAGCCAACUAAAAUGAAGAAUAAUGUUUUGUCAAAGAAAUAGAUAAAUUUUAGCCCAAAGAUCUGAUAUAAGUAAAAAUUUCGAGCUGAAUUCUAUCUUGAAUGGUAAUAAGGGCAAACACAUCAUGUUGGAUUCAUUUGAAUUUUUAACAUUGGCGGUUGAGUUUGUCUUUUUCCCUGCUUCACUUAGACCAACAGGCGAUUUUCAUCUCUUUUGCCCAUAACAGUGCCAAGUACUUACGAGUCAGACUUUGCGAUUGUAUGCAAACAAACAUUAUUUGUCGACUUUUAGAAAAGCAUGUCGUUGCAAAUGAAAAAAAUUAUUGAAAUGAAACUGAGAAGACCAACUCCAGAUGAUUUAACUUACAAAUUCAUUGAGUUUAUCUAAUAAUUUACACAAAAUCUUCCAUAUAACAUCUGAAAAGUAGAUAGAAUAAUCUUUCAUUAAUAACUACAAAUGCUAUACUCAGGUUUUGCACCAUUCUCUGAUCUAUAAAGCAGAUAAAAAUCUCUUUGGCUUUCUAUAUGUCAUUCAUAUUCAAAGAUAUCAAGGCAACUAAAGUGGCUUCCGUUCAAUUUCAUCAUAAAACCAUUAUUCAGUAACUUAAUAUAUAAGGAACAGUAGCAUUAUAAUGUAAUUAGUAAUAAGUAAAAGUUUUCCACUUGGCUAGUACCUUAAAUUGUCUUCAUUUGGAGUUUUCGCAUUGCUUAGGACUCUGUUUUAACCCUCUGCCUUGGGACUGUGUUUUGCCAUCCUUUGCUUAGACCAAUCAUUUGCAUCUUCAUUAACUUAAUAGAAGCAUAUUUAGAAAGUCAAGGCUAAUCUCAGGGUAGUGACUUUUUUUUCAAAAUUAUUAACAACUUUACAAGCACUAAAGCUUCAGAUACCAGAAUCAUUCCUUAUUAAAAUUCAUAAAUAAAUUCUCCAAGCAACUAGAGGAAAUGCUCAAUCAAAUUCAGGGCAUGCACAGGCUUUUAGCUACAAAAAGUUUAACCAAGGAAUUUAUCUAUCAGUAAUUGAUAUGUUCACAAUUGAUCCUUGACUUGCAUAAUAAAUUUCAUUUCUUCUACUUUCUCUCUCUCUCUCUCUCUAUAUAUAUAUAUAUAUAUAUAUAAAAUUAAACCUAUAAUUUCCCUUACUGAAUCAAGAAACGUUAUAUUAUAGACAAAAAAGAAGAUAAUGUAGCUGCUCUCCUCAUUACUAAACAUACUCAAAUAUUUUCUUUUUCUAUUUUUUGAUCUCACCCUAUUCUCAAUGUCGGUGCAAGUGUGUUCUGUUUUUCUCUACCGUCUGAUGAUAACAACUGAGUCCUGACAAUCAGAUGAUAUAAACUUAAUACUUAACUGAUGCAACUUUAAGAGAGCACUGAAAUUGAUUAAGAUUCAAGACCACAUGAUAGUUAAAGAUUUGAUGUUAUGCUUCAUAUAAUUGUUCUGAAAAAAAAAAAAAAAAGAUAAAGGUAAACUUCCACUUUUGCCUAGUUAUAGAAGCUAAUUUACCUUGAAGAUCUGGAACUGCAGAGGCAGCAACAAUAGCAUAUUGUUGCAAAAGGAUGCAGGUCUCUAGCUUGAUAGCACCAUAUUAAAAUCAAAUUCCGUAAUUUAGCAUGAAAAGGUUGCACAUAAUUAAUUUGAAGGAAAAUAAUAACAUUUGUCACAACCUUGACUUGAAAAUCUACUAUUUUUCUUAUUGGUGACAAAGAGUAUACUCAAAACACUCAUCUGCAGGUUCAACGGUGUCAAUCAGGUUAAGGCUGAAUUUUCAUUAAAGUUCCAAAAAAUGUGCAAAAAACCUGUGAAAUGCAUAAUCAACAUGGGCAAAUAGAAAUCAACCCUUUUAUGGGAGAGGGACCUUCCUUUUGCAUUCCAACCUGCCUUACAAAUCCUACGAAAAGAAUCAGCUGAAACCUAGAUCAAGAUAACGGAAAGUUAUAAGCCAAAGCAAUUUCACACAAGUGGUUCAAGAAGGAGCAUACAAAUUAGAAAUCAACCACCAUCUAAAUGGAUCAUUAGGCAAUAGAAAACAAAACACCUACUAGAAAAACCACCAAGUUUUCAUACUAUUUACCCUACUACUUAAAAGCCAAAACAAAAUUUUUUAAAAAAAGUUGAAUAAAGUGGGGAAAUUUCAGAAAAGAAAAACAAAGCUAUCUCUCAAUCAGAGGACAAAAAUACAACAGUGAGUGAGAAAGAGAAAGGAGAAAAUAGAAUUAGGAGAGAGUGACCAGAAACAAAAUGUGAAAGAAAUGGACAAAGGAAAAUGUGAAAGAUUCUAAGUUGAACGUAUUUCUUAUUCUUUUGUUUUUCUUUUUCUAAAUUACCAAGAUUUAAAAUUAAUGACAAAUUGGAUCUAACGGUGACUUACCAAUGCUUUGUAACUGAAUUGCCUGGCCUUUAAAUAAGAUCAGAAAGCAAGAUAUGUUUGAGAAGUUGCACCUCCUCAAAAGAAAUGAAAGUAUUUCAGUCUUUUAGGCUCUGGUUCUUCCUCCUCAUCAGAGCUAAAACUUCUUUUGUGCCUAGUUCUCAUUGUAGUCAUAGGGUCAUCAAGGCCUCCCUCAUCAUUAGCUUUUUAUUUUUUUCCAUCACUGAUCCUUCGAAAAUCUCUUUUUUGACAUCAAAUUUCAAGGAGCCAAUUUGGAUCAAUUGCAGAGUUAGGUUCCAUCAUGGAAGCAUCACAUCUCUUCUCUUCAUCUUAGUGAAUGAUAAAUUAGCAUGACAACUUGAUUCCAAUGUCUCAAUGGUUGGAUUCACAGCCUCUUCAAAAUCAGACCUGUAAUUUCUACAGGAUUCAACCUCUUUGUCAUAAGAUCUCACAGCAUCCACAUAUAAUACAUUGACCCAACAUUUUUGCACUUUGAUAUGCUCAAUAUUCGAAUCAAAAUCCAUAGCUUUAACUCUAUAAUUUCCCUGACAGAAUGGAGAAACAUUAUAGACAGAAAAGAAAAUAAUUUAGCUGCUCUCCUCAUUACUAAACAAACUCAAGUAGUUUCCUUGAGCUUUUUUCUGACAGAGGAGUAGUUUAAAAUCUUUAUUUCUUAAUAGGGGUAGUUUUAAAUUUAUUUACAUAAAUGGGGUACUUCAUGCCAUGUCAAUGCCAUGUCAGAUUUUUUAAAUAAUCAUUUAUAUUUAAAAAAAAAUUGAAACACCUCAACACUAUCAUUACUGUUUUUACUUAACACUAUUUUCUACUGGUCUCUGAAGAAUAGUGAAACAGAGUAGGAAAAAGGCCUCCAAUUCAAGAAGAGAUUUCAUCAUGAGAUUAUGAAAUGCUAGGGAUAUUUAUACUCUCAUUAGGAUAAAAAGAGAAGGUGGCAUUUUAAUGUGCUGAUCUUACAUGCCAUUAAUAAUAGUCCAAUGUUCUCUGACUCUCUGCACAUAUUUUCUGCUGUAUAUUAUAACACUAUAAAUAGCAUAAAUAUUUAUAAGUUUUGAGACUAGUACUUAAUAAUUUAAUUGUAACCCUUCCUCUUUACUCCCAAGUCAUUUAAGCUAUGCAAGUUCCAAAAACUGCUGUUGUAUUAAAACAGAAAUCAUCGUUAGUAAUCAAAAGAAAAAUAUAAAUGCAUGCAACAACAAGGCCACUGAGAAGAAACUAGGAAAACAUUUAUUGCAAUGUAAUAUAUCUGUAUGCCAUGAAAUUUGUUUGAUGUGCUUCAUAAUGACAAUAAGAUUGCAUAGAAAAAUAGACAGAACAAAAUAUACUUACAAUUGAAGAACUUAAUAAUGAUGUUGCAUGCAUCUGUGGCAGAAAUCAUUUGAUUUUGAAGCGAGGUGAACAGCUUAUCAGCUUUGAUGUGCAGGUCCUUACCCUUUAAAUCUUCACUGCCCCUGAUAAUCUUCUUCACAAUCAAGCUCCCUUGUCAGUGUUUCUGGACCCCAGUAUUUUGCACAGCAUAAAAACACAUCCUUAACAAACCCAAACAUUUCUCAAGCAUGACCAGAUCCUAUGAAGUGAAAUUGCAUUUUUGUAGUACCAGAUGGCCCCUUUAAGCUAUGACCUGGCUUGAUAAGAUUCCUCUGCAUACCACAGGCAGCAUAGCACCAAUGGGAACAAACAUCGCAACCAACCCAACUGCAAGUAUUGUUAGCACAAUCAAAAUUCAACGCAUUUUCCACAUCCAAUUAAACCAACAAAAUUAGAAUUAGUUUUAGUCUGCAUUUGCCGUAUCCAACUAAACCUAGUCCAUACAGUAUCUAGUCCGUACAGUUGGCCACCUUCAACAAGGCAUCAAAUUAAUGUGAUUACACAAUAAAAGUAGCCCAAACUGUAGAAUUCAUGUAGCAUAAAUAGAGAUGGCAGCAGCUCAUUAAUCCCCGUGAAUAGCAAAAAAAAAUUCCUAAAAUUCUGAAUGCAGACCUUAAAUUGUGGAUUAAAUUAUAAGAUUAUCUACUUUCUCUUUGACCUUUUUGAUUUGAAAUGAUAACUUUAUAUUCUGCAUCACAAGCAGGGAAAAAUAUGAAAGAGGACAUUUGCCCAAAAUAGCCAAAGUCAUCAAAAACUAACCUUCCACCAAAAUGCUUCGCUAGCAACCCCUGGCAAUUGACUUAAUGUAUAACCUCAAAGGAAUGAUGGUUGCACUAAUCCAGCUACUGAUGGAUUCCACCCAAACUGAUGUGACAUAGGAAUUAUAGAAACACUCAAGUCCACCCAAGUGAUUGCUGUUUCUGCUACAUAAACCCAAAAAACUAUAAUCCAAAACUAUGACGGAAUUAAGCAUAGAGAUGAAGAGUUUGGGAAUUUAAUUUCAAGCUAACAACAAAUCCCCAAAAGAAAAAGAGAGAUGAAGCACAUAAAUGAGGAACCCACCUAAAUUGUUCCCAUUCAUGCUUGCCACUGGUCUUUGGUUGAAGAAGAGUUAGAGCAUUGAAGCAGAGAAAGCGUAAUCCCUUGUAUUUUGUAUGUAAAAGGAAAACAAAAAAAUAAUAAAAAAUAUGACAUAGCAUGAGUAUCCCAUUUAGGUAAAUAAGUUUCAAACUUUCCUUAAAGAUGUUAAAGUUUUAAGACUAGUACUUAAUAAUAUAAAUAGAACCCUUCCUCUUCACUCAUAAGUCAUUUGAGCUAUGCAAGUUACAAAAACUGCUGUUUUAUUAGAACAGAAAUUAUCCUUAGUAAUCAAAAGAAAAAUAUAAAUGCAUGCAAAAACAAGGCCACCGAGAAGAAACUAGGAAAACAUUUAUCACGAUGCAAUAUAUCUGUAUUCCAUGAAAUUUGUUUGAUGUGCUUCAUAAUGACAAUAAGAUUGCAUGGAAAAAUAGACAGAACAAAAGAUACUUACAAUUGAAGAACUGAAUAACGAUGCUGCAUACAUCUGUAGCAGAAUCAUUUUAUUUUCAAGCUGGGUGAAUAGCUCAUCAGCUUUGAUAUGCAGGUCCUAGCCCUUUGAAUCAUCACUGCCCCUGAAAAUGUUCUUUACACAAUCAAGGUCCUAUGUUAGUGUUUCUGGACCCCAGUCCUUUGCACAGCAUAAAAACACAUCCUUAAUAAACCCAAGCGUUGCUGAAGCAUGACUACAUCCCAUGAAGUGAAAUUGCAUUUCUGUAGUGCCAGAUGGCCCCUUUAAGCUAUUACUUGGCUUGAUAAGAUUCCUCUGCAUGCCACAAGCAGCAUAGCACCAAUAGGAACAAACAUCACAACCAACCCAACUGCUAGUAUUGUUAGCACAAUUAAAAUUCAGUGCAUUUUCCAUAUCCAAUUAAACCAACUACAUUAGAUUAGUUUCAGUCUGUAUUUGCCAUAUCCAACUAAACCUAGUCCAUACAGUUGACCACCUUCAACAAGGCAUAAAAUUAAUGUGCUUACACAAUCAAGUAAUGUGUAGCCUUAAAAGUAGCCCAAACCGUAGAAUUCAGGUAGCAUCCUAACUAGAGAUGGUAGCAGCUCAUUAAUGCCUGUGAAUAGCAAAAAUAUUCCUAAAAUUCUGAAUGCAAACCUUAAAUUGUGGGUAAAAUUAUAAGAUUAUCUGCUUUCUCUUUUACCUUUUGGAAUUUGAAAUGACAACUUUGUAUUAUGUAUUGCAAGCAGGGAAAAUAUGAAAGAUAGCACAUUUACCCAAAAUAGCCAAAGUCUUCAAAAACUAACCUUCAACCAAAAAGCUUCGCUAGCAAACCCCUGGCAAUUGACUCAAUGCAUAUCCCCAAAAAAAUGGUGGUUGAACUAAUCCAGCUACUGAUGAAUUCCACCCAAACUGAUGUGACAUAAGAAUUAUAGCAACACUCAAGUUCACCUAACCCAUUUAACAAGCUUAACAAAAUUAGUUCGACCUAAAUAUAAAACCCAAGUCCACCCAAGUGAUUGCUGUUUCUACUACAUAAGCCCAAAAAUCUAUAAUUCAAAACUAUAAACCCAAAAAACUAUAAUUAAAAACUAUGGAUGAAGAGUUUGGGAAUUUAAUUUCAAGACAACAACAAAUCCCCAAAAGAAAAAGAGAGAUGAAGCACAUAAAUGAAGAACCCACCUAAAUUUCCCCUUUCAUACUUGCCACUGGUCUUUGAUUGAAGGAGAGUUAAAGCAUCGAAGCAGAGAAAGCGUAAUCCCUUGUAUUUUGUAUGUUUAAGGAAAACAAAAAAAUAGUAAAAAAUAUGACAUAGCAUGAGUAUCCCAUUUAGGUAAAUAAGUUUCAAACUUUCCUUAAUGAUGUUAAAAUACCCUUCCAUUGGGAAAAAAAAAAAAAGCCCUAGUUUCCUUCUAUUUUUGGCCUUUUUGUUUUUAUUUUCCCCAAUUCUCAAUGAUGGUGCAGGUGUGAUCUAUUUUUCUACUGUGAGAUGAUAACGACAAAGUCCUGACCAUCAGAUGAUAUAAACUUGCUACUUCACUGAUGUAGCUUUAAGAAAGCACUGAAAUUGAUUACGAUUCAAGACCACAUGAUAGUUAAAGAUUUCAUGUUAUGCUUCAUAUAAUUUUUCUGAAAAAAAAAAAAAAAAGAAAAAGGUAAACUUACACUUUCAGCCAGUUAUAGAAGUUCAUUUACCUUGACGAUCUGGAACUGCUGCGGCAGCAGCAAUAGCAUGUAGUAAGUAGCAAAGGGAUGCAAAUCUCUAGCUUCAUAACAUCAUAUUGAAUUCAAACUCUGUAAUUUAGCUUGAAAAGGUAGCACAUAAUUAAUUUGAGGGAAAAAAAAAUUACAUUUGUCACAACCUAGACUUGAAAACCCAAUAUUUCUCUGAAAACCCUUUCUACUGGUGACAAAG